rnacentral:lncRNA from 1 species
AUAUUUUUUUUUGUGAUUACUAAAAGAGUGUGCCAAAAAUAAAAAAUAAUGUGCAUAAAUCGUUUUCAAAUUAAUUUAUUUAUUAUUGAGAAGGUGGGCAUCAAUAUUGUUCGUCAGAAGGACCAAAAAGUCCAUGUACUUAUGAGGAACCGGAACACCCUCCGUCAGCUUCUCAUACUCGACGGUCCAUUUCACGGAUGAGCUGCUGCAUCCCCCACUAACCUUUGGUGUGACUUGAACCGUAGCCUUGAAACUCUUGUAGUAUUUCGCCAACUCUCCUCCUACUGUUCGGAAAGUCACUGAUUUGUUUUUCUCAUCUAUGGCUUCAACUGUCUCUCUUGAAACCUCAGAAACAUUGUCUAUCAUGCAGGUAUAUAAUUAAUUAAGAAAAUAUCAAAUCAUUGGGUCCAGGUUAGGUUAUAUAGUCGAUCGAGUCUAGUAUAUGUAUAAAAUAUUUUAAGUUGGCAUGCAUAAAUUUUUUUCCAUGAAUUGUUAUUGUUACCUGCAGCAAAGUAAGUCCAUUGCUUGACUGAGCCCACAGAGCCCCAAUCACCUUGGAUGACCUGAAGGUCCUUUAUGACGUUAGGGCACAUCUUGGGCAACAGGUACCCUUUGCUACGAAAGAUUUCGUAGAACUUGUCGGCACUGGCUUUAAUCUCAGCCUGGACCUCCAUCUUUGCUAUUUGAGCCAUAGCGUUCGAUCUUUUUGCCUUUGUAAUUUGUAUGAAAUUAGCUAGCUAGAGUCUGGUGAAAAAAUGACUCCCCCUUGUUCUUUAUAUAGAAGAAAUAAAAUAGCUAGAUAAAGUAUAAUAUGCCUUCACUUCGAGCCAAUUGCAAUUGCGGAUCGGAAUUGGGGUGGUUUUUCUGACAAAUUUAAUUUAGGUUUGGAGUUCUGUUUGGUCCCUCGCUAGCUAGGGCAACUGGGCAAGUAGAUUUCUGUUUUAGCACUGUCUUGUUAAUUUGAUGCUCAUGGCCACUAUGUUAUGGUGGAUCAGAUGCGGAUUCUAUUCCAUCUUUUUCAUAAAGAGAUUAUAUACUUUCCUAAAUUAUACUGUUCUUUUCCUUUUUGUUGUUCCUGUGUUUCCAUCAAAAAAGGAAAAUACCGAUAAGACACUUAUUAGUACUAUAGUUAAGUAAUAUUUCUCUUAAGUAUCAAUUUAUUAUUUUUAUCCCUUAGUGUAAAAUGUGUAAAUAUAUCGUUGUAUCAACAAAACAAAAAAAUUUAUUUGAAAAGGGCAAAAGCCGAAAGCAUUUUGCCUUUGUUUUUUCUCCCACUAGCCUUUAAUGCCGAAAAUUUGAGUUUGUUUCUAAUUUUAUAUAAAUCAAACUCUUACAGUGAGCUGUAGACUUUGUGUUCUUUGAGAGUGGAUCCAAUUCUUGAGAGUUUAAUAUAUGAAACUCAUGAGUUAGAAAAUUACAACAAAAAUUCUCCACCACAUCUGUCAUUUUUCAUGAAUGAACGGUUGAGAUGAUAUUUAGUUAAAUAUCAACCGUUCGCUUUUGACCUUUCAUGAGCAUUAGAUCAAAGUUUGUAUACAAUAGGUGACCACUCAUUUGGGAGUGAAAAAAGGGAAUAACCCACCAUAAAGUAGGAAAAAUAAAAAAUAGGUGAGUCCUUACAGCAGUAAACAGAUAGAACUCAAGAUAAACUCUGAAACUCACACAGUUGUAGUAAUGGUAUUCUAGGAAUCAAACUGAAGAUGUUUCUUAUAUAAGAAAUUAAACAGAUACAAAUACAAAUGUUGUUGCAUACCAAAUACAUAUUUGCACACGCUCUGUUAAUGUACAAGAUAAUGAUUAAGACGAAAUCAUCCCUUAUACAUGGAAGACACCCAACUGACUCAAGCUUUGUGUCUUUUUUUUUUUAUGUACGUAUAAAUACAACGUUACUCAAAUCCCACAAUUAAAAAAAAAAAAAAGGCCUUAGUUAUAAUUCGAACCAUUUAUUACUAAUAAUAGCUGUGUCUCAUUCAGUGAGAAGAUGAGCUUCAAGGUCUUUGGUGACCUUCACUGCAAAGUCCUGAUAUGAUUCUGGAUCUGGGAUUUCCUCCUUCACCUUCUCAUAGUCAAUUAUCCAUUUCACCAAACUGCCCCCUCCAGUAGUCUUUUCUGUUACUUUUAGUGUCACCCUAAAGCUCUUAUAAUGCUUCAAGAUUUCUCCAUCCAGAACGUUGAACUUCACUGUUUUGUUUUCCUCAUCUAUCGCUUCAACCGUCUCCUUUACACUUAACGAACUCCCAUCUGUACAUAUCCAUCGUCACUUUCACAUUAUAAAAGAGUAAUUAUAUAUGAGCAAUAAUUUCUUCACACUUAGAUCCAGUUUUCUUUUUGCAUACCCUUGUUAAUUUUUCUUCUUCAUAUUCUUUUAAUAUAUUUAACCUAAAGAUCAUAAAUAAACAUAGAUGCGGACAAAAAGUUGUAUGCAUAAAUCACUUCCUGAUUAUAUAUAUGUGCACAUAAAUAAAUUAUAAAUAAGGGAAUCACCCUAGCUAAUUAAUAGUUAGGGCUUCAACUAAGUCAGUUCUAUUGCCUCCGGUGUGACUUACCCAACGUAUAAUCCCAAUGCUUGACAGAACCCGCAGUCUCCCAAUCACCUUCGUGCAGCUCAACCCCUUGUAUUUUGUCAGAGCAGAUGUUAGGAAGCAGGUGCAUUUGGCCCGAGAAAAUUUUGUAGAACUUAUCAGCAGCUGUACUUAUCUCUACCUCCGUCUCAAGCUUACCAACUAAAGCCAUAUCUUAAUUAAUUAGAAGAUCGAUCGGUUAAGGAUAUAAACCAAGGAUAAUUUAUGAUCAACAAUUGAUGAACUAAUAACAAAACAGGUUAGAGGUAGAAUUGGGAGAUAACACUUAAUCCUAGGAUUGACUUAAAUAGGAGAAAUUAUCAUUCAUGAAAAGCUACAACUUGCCUAUAAUAAAUAUUAAAAGGGAACUUAUUGGUGGUCCUGAACGUUUAAAAUUGACACCAAAAUUUACUUCCAUCACCUUUGCUACUUUAAUCGUUUUUACCUAUAUUUUGUUCAAUUUUUUUUUACACCUAUAUAUACAUAUGGGAUGGAUCCGUGAUAUCACUUUUUUUUAUACAAUUUUUUACACAAGUUUUGUGGGACCCACUCAGUAAUGUAUUUCAACAAUCCAACUGUUUAUUUUUUAGAACAUCAUUAAUAAAUCAUCCUUACAAAAAAUUAGACAAAUUCAAAACCAUGACAUUCAUUUAUAGCGAAGAAAGUGGACAAAUAUGUUUCUAUAAAGAAACCCUACAUGAUUUAUGAUGAAAUAUCUAAAAAUAGAUUGUUUGGAUCGUUAAAAUACAUUACUUACAAGUUACAAGUGAGCCUACAAAAAUUUGUGUAAAAGGAGUAUAUAAGUACACCGAUGGUGAAUAUAUAAUAAUUUUUGUGUUUGGUAGAUUUGGAGUGGUUAAAGGAAUUGGAAAUAAUAGGCACAUUUCUUUCAGGUGGGACACGACUAGAUAGUCAUUCCUAAUUAGGAUUUACCAAAUCUUAGUGACGUUCUUGUUUAUUGUAAACAAAAGAUAAAAGAAUUCAAAUGAAUCAGACAGUUAUGUCAAUUGUUAAUCACCAGUCACCACAUCACAUUAACAUUAUUUCGAAUUCUAUAUCUAUAAUUGACGAGUUUACGACUUGGAGCGUCAAAAAAAUAUGGCAAAGCAUUCAAGAUACUUGGGAAAUAAAUUAGAAGUUUCAGUAGUCCACAUAACUGUAACAAACACACAAACAAAUGAUAGAUUCACUUUAUUUUUCAUUUUCCCCAAAAUUACAUCCAAUGAUUAUCCUAUAUACGAUUGCGUAAAGAAAUUAUUGGUCUUUUUGACAAGAGCUGCAAACUAAAGCUGAAGGUGUUAGUCUGGAUCACCGCCACAUAGCUUUUCCUUUUCCUGUUAAAGGACCGCAUCACCACGCUGCCCUCAUCAUAAUCUCAUAAUUUUGAAGAAACUUGAAGAAUAAUCUUGUAGCAUCUGCAGCGAUCUAGAGGGUUCCUUCAAGCACCCUUAAAGUACGGACUGAUUUUCAUCAUCUAUGGUUUCAGUUAACUCCUUACGAAAUGUAGGUUUCUCAUAUGUUCAACAUUCCACAAGCAAAAAUUAUAUCAUGUUCCGAUGUAUAAGAUACUCUGAGCAUGUUAACUGUUGAAUCUUGAUUUUUGUAUAUUUGACCAAAUUUAAAAAAAAAGUAUAAAAUAUCCGAUACUUGGGAGCACCAUAGAACUCUUCACUAGCUUACUUCAUCCAACAUACAUAUCAACAUUCAUGGUAAAAAGACACUUGGAGCCGAACUUACGUUCAAGAUUAUUCAACCCAAUUUACCACCUUCUACUAAUUUAUAACUCUGAACUUUGUUGGGGGCGAUGUUGUUAACUUUGUUGGGGGCGAUGUUGAUAUCUCGUACGGUAUUGUUCGUGUGACUGUUAGCAAGGAGGGGAAAUUUGUUUGAUUUCAGCGCUCGUCCUCGCCUUAUUGUUACAAUGAUCUCAAAUCACCAUAUUGGCUUCUGUCCACCACAUGCAUUAAGCGUCUAUGACUAGAUCUAGUCUUCCACAACAAGAAACCCUUUCAGCGACGAAUUCUUCCUCUGAAAGUAGGAAAGUUGUCCCAGAAACAGUUGGCGACUAUAAUGUUUUCCUUUUUAGAUCAUCCCAGUACGUAGGGCCUUUAGUGAACUUAUAUGGCGAGAAAUAUGCUUGAUCGUUGUUGAUAAAUUAGAAUCAUCAAAAUAUUUCCUCGCUGAAAGUUCGUCAUUUUGUCGGUAAAAGUUGUUCCUCGCUGUUAGACAGGGGAAAAUAGAAAAAAUUCUGAAAACAUUGCGAGAAAAUUAGGAUCUAUUUAUUGAUUUGCAAAAACUCCCUCCAAACUUGUAUAAAGCUAGCAAUUUUUUUCUUUAAAUUUAAUAUUAACCGAUUAACUCUCUGAAUUAUUAUAAAGGGUAAAAGACUGUUUACUACCCUCAUGUUUCAUGGUUUUCAACAUUUAGUAUAUCAAGUUUUUUUCGUCCCAGAGUCAUACCUAAAGUGUUAAUUUUGGGACAGUCUCAUACAUCCGUUAGUCAAACUGUUAAGUAUGCCGUUAACUGAUGAUGUGAUGCCUAUGUGGACAAUGACUGGGUGCCACGUGUCAUUAAGGGAUCCACGUGGAAAUUAAAAAUUAAUUAUUAAAAAAAUUCAAAAAAAAAAAAAAAAAAACAAAAAAACAAACAAAAUAAAACCCAGAAGCCCUUCGUCUUCCUCACCCCCACCCGACAUCCCUCAAUUCCCAGAACCCCAUUGUCUUCCCCACCCGACACCCUUUAUCCAUGCUUCCUCAAUUUCCUUGUUAUGGCUGUCGUCUGCAAAUCACCAUCUACAUCUUCCUCCAGCAGCUGAAGACCUCGCCUCCUUGUCGUUGCUCGAAGAGCAGGUGAAGCAGGAUGAGCUUGACCGUGACAUGGCACUGAAUGACGACGCAUCUUUAAUAGAAGGGACGCAUAAGGAGAGGAACGAGGCCAUUUUCGAUUACUACUUUGAUUUGCAGGAAUGCUACUCUGAGGUGGAAGAAUCUGAAACAAUGAAGCGGAGAAAAUCGAGAAGCGCCGCCUGUGUGGCGAUGUCGGCGGUAGCUGAUGGAGUCGAAAUAGGUAAGCCGGGAGUCGAAUCGGGUCACCAUCGGCGGCUAUGGGUCAAGGACAGGUCGAAAGCAUGGUGGGACGAGUGCAACCAGUCGGAUUUUUUGAAAUCAGAAUUCAAACCGUCUUACCAGAUCUAGUCGAUGACGCAUCCUGUCUGUCCGUCCCUCACUCCAUCAUUUCUUUUCCCUCCCUUCUCUCCUCUGCACGAACCAAACCGUCCUACCAGAUCCGGUCGAUGACGCAGUCUGUCUUGGGCUGCUGCUACGAGCUAUCUCGUCCUCUACGUCCAUAUCCUGGACCCACCGCCUAUUCUCUGCCUUUCCGUCUUUUCUUUUUCCCUUAUUCUUCCUUUUUCCUUUUGAUUUUCCUUUUCUAUUUCCGUUUUAUUUUCAUCUCGAAAGAGACCCCAAUUUUUCUGGGUUCACAAAAGAAACCCAAUAUUAGUUGAUCUGAAUAUUUUUUUUCUUUUAACUUUAUAGUUUUCUGGAAAAUUGGGAGGAUUUGAGUCUCCUCCACCCGUUUUGAUUUUGCAUUUUCUGGUCCAAUUCGAAAUGGCCUAGAGGAGGAAGAAUUUGAUUUAAUGGUUUAUGCCCCAGAUCUCGUCAAGAUUAUUGAAACUUCAAUCCACACUUUUCAGCUUUUCCUGAAGAUGGAAGUCACUUGUUUCUUAAUUUGCUUUAAUUAAACUUCUUGUUUCGUUAUUUAAGAAUUGUGAUAGAUGUAGAGAAAUUGAGUAGCGAGAGAGAGGUGGGUAAGACGGAUUGAAGAACGAUUCUAAUUUAACUUCUUCUCUUUUCGUGGAAUAGGGGUCACGAGAGAGGCUUUUUCUGGCUUUUUCUUCUGGGUUCACAAAGAGAAGAUCCAUACUUGAAAAUACCAAAUUCUUGUUGAAAUAGAAUUUCUUUGGGAGGGAUUUUGUUGGGUUGGGUGUGCGGAGAUGAUGGGUACGGGUUGUAGAGGAGAGAAGGGAGGGUGGUGCAGGUGCAGAAAAGAGAAUGGAGGGAAGGGGUACGGGUUGCAGAAGAGAGAAGGGAGGGAGAGGGUGCGAGGGAUGAGGGAGGAGACAAAUGUUUGUUCUUUUUUUUUUUUUUUGUAUUUUUAAUUUUUUAAUUUUUUUAAUAUUGAAGUGGGCCUAAAUUGACAUGUGGUGCCCAGUAAUUGUCCACGUGGGCGCCACGUCAUCAGUUAACAGAAGUUCUAACAGAAAACUUAACGGAUGUAUGAGACUCUCUCAAAAUUAAUACUUUAGGUAUGACUCUGGGAUGAAAAAAAAUUGAUGUACUAAAUGUUGAAAACCAUGAAACUUGAGGGUAGUAAACAGCCUUUUACCCUAUUAUAAAUAACCAAUUUCUCCACUGCGUUUAGAUUUUGAAUUUUUUUCAUUCAAGUUUUCAUCAUCGUGGUCAUGCGGACAUACAAGGCAAAUGUAUAAGGGCAAAAAAGUGAUUUUCGUUUUGGUAAAUUGGGCACAAAGCCACUAUUUUACAGCUGCUAAUUGGACUUUCAGGACUAAUUCAAACAAAAGUACGAAGUCAACUACACUACUACAAAUUUUUACAUACAUAAUGCAGUUUAUGGGUCAUGUUAAAAGUUUAAUGACGCAAGGGUUUAGCGUCAUCUUUGUGGUGUCAUUAAAUAUAUUUUUUAUGACGUUGAAAAAGUGUCAUGUAUUACUUUUAAAGACGCCUAACAAGUGUCAUUGAAUUAAGAACUUGUGUUAUCUACUACCAUUUAAGACGCGGAAUAAGUGUCAUAAACAGAGGAAUGAGUUUCAUGGUAUACUAAUUAUGACAUACGCACAGUGUCAUGUAUAGCUUUUAGAGACACUUAACAAGUGUCAUUGAAAUAAAAAAGCGUGUCAUCUAUUUCAGUUCGAGACGCGGAAUAUGUGUCAUAAACAGAGGAAUGAGCGUCAUGAUAUACUAAACAUGACAUCUGUAUAGCGUCAUGUCUAUAGCACUACAACGUCAUUGAAUAUUAGCAACGACACACAAAGCUUGUCAUAAACCAUUCAAUGCAUGUCCUGAAAUAUGUUUGAUGACAUAUGUAAUGUAUUUUUAAUUUGAAAACAAGACUUACAUAAUUCAUCCAAGAAGUAAGAUAUUUACCUCAAAUAAAAUAAUAUUGUUUCAUAAAUUUGUAAUUCACCCACCACCAAAGUAUUACAAAAGACAAUAUAAUGUGUAGAGCUUUCCUUCUAAAAUAAAACUAUACGUUCACUUAAUUUAAAAUUUCACAAACUAGCUAAUCUAGAGUUUCAUCUAUUGGGCUGUAUUCAUCAACAUACUCAGCCCACUUUAUUCUUAAUGCAUCAAUUUCCUGUUGAGUGUAUGUAGCUUUUAUCCUUCAAACUGCUCCUGCAAAAAAUAAAUAAAUUGAAUGAGAGGAUCCUUACCAUAAGACAACAGAAAAACAAAUAGGAAAACUCUUUGUUGAUCACCGUGGAUCUUCCCGUCUCCCUUGUCCUCGUUCUUCUUUAUUUGUGCACAACUAAAUAGCAACCGUAAAUUAGUGGUUCAAUUUGCAGUUUAAAUUAGAGGUUAAAUAAAAAUAGAAUAAACACAUAUUUAUCCAAGACUUGAAAGCAAAGCCUAAACCUGAUGCAAUUUUUAUGAGGUCUGGGUGGAGGGCAAGUCUGUAGCAUACUAGCUGAGAUCGAACUUGUGGUGCUACAACUUAUCAUCUCAAUAAUUGAACUAAAAAAAAAUAAACAUAAAAUUUAUAAGAUUAUAUACUGAAUGAGCAGGAUACGAAAUUAUUCCUAUGACCAAAAUGAAGAUGAGUGAUAGAAAAAAGCAACACGCAUGCAGAGAAAGGGAGGGAGAGUGUACCUUUGGAGUGAUGUUUGUCAUCAUCACUGAACAAAAUUUUGAUUCUGAAAGACCUGUCAUGAUUCAUAUAAAAAAAAUCCAAGAACAAUUUUCAAAAGCAUAUAAAAAUCCUUUAGACAAACCAACUCUCUUAAAUACCAAUCCAUAAGAUUGCCUCUGCUUGCUUUACGAAUCUUGCAAAUAUCAGUCUAUUAAAUAUGAAUGAUGAAGACAAACCUACUCUCUUAAGCAUAAACCAGAUGCGUCACCACCGCCUGUCCAGAACCCAAUUCUAGGAGCGGACACUCGAGAAUGAAGACAUCAGACCAUAAUUGAAACAACUACAAACUAAACUGACCAAACCACUUAAAACCACACAACUAAGAUAAGAGUUUGUAUCAUAAAAGCAUAAGUUUGAGUGAGUGAAAAUUUGAGUACUGACAAUGGUUCACUUUUUCUUAGCAGCAGACUUGGUGACCUUGGCAUCGAUGGGAUCCUUCUUCUCAACACUCUUGAUAACACCAAAAGCAACAAUCUGGCGCAUGCCACAAACAACAAAGCAACCUAAUGGAUGGUACUCAGAAAAUGUCACCACAACCAUGGGCUUGGUAGGAAGCAUCUUCACCAUAACUGCAUCUCCGUUCUUCAAGAACUUUGUCUCCAUCUCAAUCUCCUUGCCAGACCUCCUGUCAAUCUUGGUAAGGAUCUCACCGAACUUCCCAACCUUGCGCAGUUGAUAAACAACGUGCUUUUCAAGCGUAGUGGCGUUAAAAAGAAAUAAUCUAUAACUGCUUGAGAGAUUUAAGGGAUAAAUCUUCCACUUUUCCUUUUAAAAUCUUCCGCAUAUUUUAUUGAACAACACAUUUUUUUUAGUUGCAUCAUAAUAUUACUUUAAUAACAUUUUUAAUAAAAGAAUGUCAUUAAAAAUUUUACCAAGUGUCAUGAAAGCCCUAUUUUGUAGUAGUGCUAGCAAAAAAGAAGACGAGAAAAAACAAUCCGUUGUACACAUUAGGAAUAAAAAAAGGAGAGGUUUGGGUGGGUGGUUGGGUCUGUGAAUCUCUUUCUCACUAAUUUAUGGCUUGUUACAAGCGUUUAGAUGGUGGUUGGACCCAUUGAUAAAAUGUGGUUAGAAUAAGUCUGGAUGGCAAGGGCGGAGGCUUGAAACAUGCUCUCCAACCCAAAAACCCUCCUCCAGCAGGCUAAGAAGAAGAGGGCAGCCUGAGCAACUUAUGCUCAGCCCUUACGCUAGCGGGCAAGGCUUUUUUGUUUUUUUUUGUGUCUGGCGAUUGCAAUGAACGCAUGAACUCAGCAAGUGAGCUAACAACUUCCAACUUCGAUUGUCGUGGGGCCCACUGCAUAAUCUAACAGCCACCAUCAACAUCUCUAUGACGUGACAAUUUGUGAGUCGUUAAAUUUUCAAUGGCCUAAUGUUCUGGACUAUCGGAUUUCCAAUUCCAACAGUAAAAAAUUGAAAAACUUAUCAUUUUGACAUGUGUCACAUUCUAAUGCAUAUGAUUUUAGAUAUGUUUGGAAAUGAAUGGCCAUGAUUAAUCCAACAGUUAAAAAUUAUAAAAAAGGGGAUUUUUUAUUAUUUAUUAUUCUAUAAAUAUUGAAUCAUCUUCUGCAUUUCUCUCAACACAAUAUUUAUUUUUACUACAAUCUUCUAAAUUUGUUUUCAACUUUUCAAAUCCUUUUAUUACUAAAAAAAAUGAAUGAGAAGGUACUUUGGUCGGUCGAGGAAGAUGUUGCUUUGCUUUGUUUUUCACUUUCCAAAUCCUUCUAUCACAAAGAAUAAUAUUGUUUAAAUAUCGUAGUUGGUUAUCUUAGGCCUCAUUUGGCUGCUCGGACUGUACUGACUAUUUCAGUCGGAUAGGAUAAUCUGUCAUCGGACUGUACUGACUAAAUUAGUCAGGCGUCUGGUGCAGUAUCGUAUUAAUAACCGUAUUAUUUAUAAUGUGUUUGGUACUGUACUGGAUAAGAGAUCGGAUUAUAUUAUUUUUACUAAAAAAAUUUGAUGACUAAUGAAAAAAAAAAUCACAACAACCAAAUGCAUCAAAAUAAAAAAUAAAAUAAAAAUAAUAUUGUUUGUGAUUUUGAACUUUGAUAUUGUAUUUUCUAUUUGUCCUUUAUUUAAACCAAAUUAUAAAAAAUAAAAAUAAAAAAUCCUUUCUUCCCCAGAUCUUCUCCAUCGCAUAGCCCCCAGACACCCUCACUCCCUUCUCCAGUUUUCCUUACCAGUUCAAGAAAAUCUUCCCCCUCUAUACAGAAGAAGCGGAUUGUCGGUGUUGGCAUCAAUGGCUAGUGAGAACGGCAGUUACCCAUAUCAAACUGCAGAUUAUCAACAUUUCCCAAAUUUAACGUACUGGAGAUUCCCAGUGAGAACGACAUUUACUUGAAGUAAUGAUAUGAACUGGAGAUUCCCAGUGACUAUAUGAUACCUGAUUUCCUAAAUUUAAUCCAUAAUUUUAUUUUCAAUUUAUCGAGAGGUUGCAUUGGAUUGUCGAUAUCGUUGAACGGUGUUGCAGCGAUGUUGGGCAGUAGGUGAAUGCAGGCAAUUCUAGUGCUCCGACGACGUGGGUUUCGGUCAGAUCUAGUUCAAAUCCAGGGUCGAUGGCACGUGAACCCGUGCGGGUCCCGCAUAAGGAACUAAAGAGGAGAGAGAGAGGCAAAAAAGAAGAAAAGAGAAAGGGAAGAAGAAAGGAGGAGGAAGAAGAACCUGAGAUUGACGAUUGAGCGAUUUGGUGAAUGGGUUUGAGGAGAGAGAGAAGAAGAAAGGAGAAGGAGGAAGAAGAACGAUGGUAACAGAAGUGAGAAGAGAACGAUGCGCCACACCGAUGAAGCGAGGACACGAACCCAACUAAAUAAUACAGAGAUUUCUGGAAGGAUAAAUAAGCGGGCAGACACCGGAUAAAAGAUGUGGGCCCAGUUUAAGUAAUACGGGUACUAUUUAGUACGUAGUUGCACCAAACACCCGGAUCCAUAUUACUUAUCCUAUCCGAUUCCUUAUAUGGACUACCAAACGAGGCCUUAGUAUUGUAAUACCCUGAAAAUUUUAAAUAUAUGAAUAUGUGGAGAAAAUCGAAAAUAAAUCGAUUUAUGAUUAUGAAGAAUUAAAUCGAGCAUAUUACUGAGCUUUUAUAUGAUUUUUCAAGAAUUUAUAAUAAUUUGUGUAAGUUUAGUUUUAAAUUAAACUAGUUAUGAGAUUUAAAGUUUGGACCUUAAUUAUUUAAAAUACGUAGACCUUUCGAGGUCAAAAAUCAUAUUUUUGAAUAGAGCUCGACCUCAUGAAUGCGUAGGCGCAAACUGUUCGUGAAACAGAGUUAGAACGAAGAAUUUAUUAACGUUUAAAGUUAGGGGCAUUUUAGUAAAAUAGUUAAGUUCAAGAUAAUUCCAGAUUUUUGAGAAAAAUCUGGAAGGCCACGUGUGUGGCCGAGAUUUAAAGACAGAAAAUGGGCGGUGUAGAUGGAAAAUAAAGGAGAGAAAGGAGGGAGAGAGGAGCCAAUCAGAAAAAGAGGGAUGAAAGGUGACCAAUGAGAGAAGAGAGAAAUGGGGAGAAAGGAGAGAAGAGAGACACGGGGGAUCGGGACCCGGGUCUUGGUGACCCGACCCGAUCGGCAUCAUACACUUUUCCGGUGGAUUUUCACCCCUUUUUUCCGGUGAAAUGCAUCAAACCACCCCUUGGAAACCCCCUCCACGAUCUUCCCUCUUCCUAUUGCAUCCCAAAAAUCAUAAAAUUUGGUCUUGAAAUUUGGAGAAAGAACACUCGGUGCCGCGACUUUCCUUGCUUGAAAUCCAUCAAAAUCUGAAAUGUUUUGGUUCAAUUACAACCACCAUUAGACUCCCCUUAAGAGCUGGAAUAAAGCCCAUUCAUUGGUUGGGGUGUCGGAGUUGCUAUGGAGUCGAAUUGAGGACACCCAAAUCUUAGGGUUCCGACGGAUUUUGAUGAAAUUGGAGCCUUUUCCAGGCCAAAUUGGCCUUGGUUGCAGGUGUGAAAGUUUCUCUACUCAUUGAGAUCUUCAUUUCUGUAAUUUUUGAGAAUUUUUAAAAAUAAUUGAAUUUUUAAGCGAACCGGGACGGCCGACCGCCACCCGCGGUGGCGGGUGCAGUAGCGCACGGCCAGGGAGCCUACAAGUGUGUUUUAUGCGAAUUUCGUUAUUUUAAUUAUGUUUUUGAGAUUUAAUUGAUGUGGUUUGAAUAUUACUACGUUUUUGGUAUAUGUUGGAUUAAAAGAAUAUUUUCAGGUUUGGUUUAAAUUUUGAAGUUUUGAACUACGAAAGGCUUGAUCCCUGUUGAGGGUACGUAGGCAGUCUAACGAGACGUUAGAUGCAGCCAUAAAAUAAAUGUGUUUAAAUAUUCAAGAAUUAGUAUAUAGAUGGAAAUUGAUCCAAGAGAGAAAAUAAAUUAGCUAUGUUUUUAGGUUGGGCCUAACAUAAUUAUUUUCCCGAAAUAUACAAAUAUUUCGGGGCAGUGGCAUUACAAAUAUGCUAUACUUUUGCCUUGUAUUUGAAAUUAGAUAAUCGUUUUAUUUUAAAAAAACAAACUUACUAAGUUCACACUUAAACAUAUUUAAACAAACUUACAAAGGUCAACACACUUGCAGAUAACACAAUUAAAAUUAAACAUACCAACAAACAUGGAUCACACUUACAAGGCCAAACAAAGCAUAUAUAUAUAUAUAUAUGUAUGUAUGUAUGUAUGUAUAUGUAUAUUAUAUUGAUGAACAGUAUUGCCCUUGCUCUUGUCUUUGCCCAACUGGUAGUAGAGUUGCACAGAGACAAAGUAUUGUUCAUAGUAAAAAGUACGGGCAAGCCAACUGCCUUGUUCUUACACUUGCAUUCUCCAAACGGGUGAAACUGCUAUUAUGAUCGGUCUGAAGUAGACGCGCUUAUUCUUGGGUGAGGAAAUUGUCAGUCUCCUUAACAAGAACAACAGCUAACUGGAGCUGAAGUUGGGGAUCCGGAACCCCAUCAUGUAGCUUUUCAUAUUGUAAGACCAAAUUCACCACGCUGCCCUCAUCAUGAACGCCUAAUUUUGGAGUAACUUGUAAAGUGAUCUUAAAGCUCUUGUAUCGAUCUAGAGGGUUUCCUUCAAGCACUGUGAAAGUCACCGAAUGAUUUACAUCGUCUAUGGCUUCAGUUAACUCCUUGGAAAAAGUUGGUUUCCCAUCUGCUAACAUUUCAUCACAAAAUCAAUUACUUGCUUCAUCCACAAAAAAACAUGUAGACAUAUACAGUAAGAGAACAAUCUUUGAGCCACACUUACCUUCAAUAUAAUCCCACAAGAAGACACAACCCACUUUACCCCAUUCACCUUCAAGUAAUUUAUGACUCGGAACUUUGUCGGGGCUGAUGUUGCAUAUUUCGUAUGGUGUUCGUGCGAAGAAUUCAUGGAACCUGUUUGCUUCAGACUUGAUUUCAACACUCGUCUCCACCUUGCUAGAAUUUGACAUUUUCCACUAGUACCAGAGUUGAAGGAAAAACGACUUUGGCCCUUACACUUAUAUAGAAGAAAAGAGGGAAACAAAAACUUUACAAGAACCUAAUUUGCCCAUCAGACAUGGAUGUAUUUAUUCACUAAAAAAAAUGCGUUAGUUGUAUUAUUUUACUAGAACCGAACAAUUUGCCCAGUAGAGAUGGAUGGUGGAAUGUCUUGAUCAAUAUUAUUCCUCGUUUGCUCUCGUCGUUUCUAAGAAAACAAUGUUUUGUGGUUUUAUUAAAUAGCUGGAGACAAAAUGUUUCGAUCUUGUUCGUUUCUCUGUUUGUAUGCUUUUAUACAUGUUAUUUCUAAACAAUUUGUUUGUUUUAUGGUGGGCAUCUUUAAAAGUAAGAUACCCAUUUGUUUUUAGAGAAAUGUUAUUGUCACCUAAAAAUUUAAGUGUGUAUUUAUAAUUAUUUAUAUUUAAAAAGAAAAAUAUUCUUACAAUAAAUGUACAAUUAGAUUUUUGUAGUGUAAAUUUUCUGUCUUCAAUUUCGACUACUCGAAAUAUAUGAUCCGAUUGACCCCCAACCAUUGAGGUUUAAAUAUUUAUGGCUGGGGAAGACGAAUUCACCCAAACCUCGAACUCCUUUUCUUAGGAAAUAAAUUGAAAGUUAUAAUCUAAGGCCAAAUUCAAACCGAAACAACAACAUUCUAUUCUAUAAUUUCUCCUAGUCCUGAUCGGUUAGGGAUUCUAGUUAGUUCGUUUACAAACUACGUUGGCUAAUAUAUUUCAGUUACAGCUUCAUAUAUAAAUGCAUUCUUCGUCGAAUUAACAAAUAAUCAGUUUGUAUAAUUAAUUAAGAACAAGAGGACUCGAAACAGAAGCAGCAAAACAUGACCAUGACCAACAACGACAACGUUUUGGAGCCGCCCAUCAAUUUCUCGAUGGUGGAUGAGGGCGUAUUCCGAUCAGGCUUCCCGCAGCUGUCAAACUUCCCAUUCCUCCAAUCCCUUCAACUCCGUUCCAUUAUCUAUCUCUGCCCUGAGCCCUGUUAGGGCUUAAAAAGACUUUACUACUUUGGAGAUGUUUAUCUCACAAAGAAGAAUGUAAUGCAGCGGAAUUGAUAGGCAAGAGAAAGAAAGAACACUCAAAGUUUUUACACAAGAUUUUUUAUUCACUCACAAACUAGUACAAGAGGAAACACUUAAACACUCUUAGAAGCUUUGUUGCCUCUUACUUCUCACUACUUGCUCUCUUGGUUGUUUCAAAUGGUGUGGAUGCCUUCUCCUUUUAUAGGCAUGGAUGGAACCUUGGAGAAACAUGGAAACAUCAUGCUAGAUAUAUGACAAUUCCACUACCUUCCUAUGCUAGAAUUAUCUACACUAAUCUUGUAUGUUGGUGGAAUCCUCACCAUUCUUCUAGACUCUUCCACCAACUUGAACUUUGCUAGAAUUCUCUAGCAUGUGCAUGGAUCUUUCUUUGUGCAUGGGCUAGAUCCAUUAUCUUUGCGCCAAGACAAGAUUACAAUUCAACAUCCCCCCUUAAUCUUGUCUUGUGACGCCGAUUGUGUUCCUUAAUCUGACAAAGUCUUUUUGCCUGAGUGGUUUGGUGAAUAUGUCGGCGACUUGGUCUUGUGACUUCACGUAUUCCACUUGCACAUCCUUUCUUGCAAUACACUCUCUUAUGUAAUGAUAGCGGGUAUCUAUGUGUUUGCUCAUGUCAUGGAAUAUUGGAUUCUUUGCUAGAGCUAUUGCAGACUUGUUGUCGACAUAGAUCUCUAUUGGCUAUUCUUGUGGCAUGUUUAAUUCUUUUAGCAAGUUUCUCAGCCAGAUUGCAUGAUAGACACAUGAGGUAGCAGCUAUGUAUUCAGCUUCGCAGGUAGAGAGAGUGACAAUCGAUUGCUUCUUCGACAUCCAUGUGAAUGCAGUGUUUCCCAUAAAGAACACAAAUCCAGUAGUGCUUUUUCUAUCGUCGGAAUCUCCUGCCCAAUCACUGUCGCUAUAUCCAACAAGUUUGUAGUUAUCAGAACUUGAAUAGAACAAGCCAAAGUUAAUAGUACCUUUAAGGUAUUGAAGAAUUCUUUUGGCGGUCUUCAAGUGUGUAGUUGUGAGAUUCUCCAUGUAGCGACUGACUAAUCCGACGGCAUAGAGAAUGUCUGGUCUUGUGCAUGUCAAGUAGCGCAAGCUUCCAACUAAACUCUUGAAAAAUGUUGGAUUUACACUUUCUCAUUCGUCAUGCUUGGUUAGUUUGACUCCGCACCCCACUGUCGUGCUUAUGGGCUUGCAGUCUUUCAUUUUGAACUUUUUCAGUAUCUCAUAUGUGUAGCUUUCUUGGGAGAUGAAAAUGCUUUCUUCGUUCUGCUUGACUUCAAUGCCUAGGUAGUAUGCCAUCAGCCCGAUGUCGGUCAUCUCAAAUUCUUUGGUCAUCACUCUUUUGAACUCUUCAUACAUGCUUGGAUUACUUCCGGUGAAGAUUAUAUCAUCCACAUAUAAGCACACAAUCAGAAUAUCUUCAUCUUUGACUUUAACGUAGAGAGCAUGUUCAUGAUGGCACUUGAUGAAGUUGUUUUCUUGGAAGUACUUGUCGAUGCAACUAUUCCAUGCUUGUGGCGCUUGUUUUAACCCAUAAAGGGCUUUCUUCAGCUUCAGAACUUUGUCUUCAUGCCCUUUGAUUUCAUAGCCAAACGGUUGCUGAAUGUAGACUUCUUUUUCAAGGACUCCAUUUAAGAAAGCAGACUUCACAUCCAUUUGUUGAAUCUUCCAUUUGUUUUGAGCUGCCAAAGAAAUUAGUAAUCGUAUAGUUUCCAACCGAGCAACGGGUGCAAAUACCUCAUCAUAGUCGAUUCCGGCUCUUUGACUAUAGCCCUUUGCCAUUAAUCUCGCCUUGUAUCUUUCGACCUCUCCGUUGGCAUUCUUCUUUGUCUUAUACACCCAUUUGACUCCGAUGGCUUUGUGUCAUUUCGGAGAAUAGUGAGUUCCCAUGUAUUGUUCUUAUGGAUUGCUUCAAUUUCUUCAUCCAUUGCUUUCCUCCACUUAGUAUCUUGCAUUGCUUCUUGGAAGUCAACUGGUUCACAAUCAGCAAAGAGACAGAAAAGUGUAGGAUUAUCAAGUCUUUCAGCUACCUCAUAGAGAUCUCGUAGACUUCUUAUGUGUGGUACUUCUCUUUCAUUUAGACUCCCACUUGAUGAUGCUGAUGCUGGUGAAUUGCCAUGAUUGGUUGAUGUUUGUGAAGCAGGUGGAAUAGUGGAUUCUUGUUGAACCCCUCUUGCUUGCUCCAUCAUCCCUUGUUCAUUCUCUUCUUCAAACUAAGGAAAAAAGUGAAGAUCACCUGCAUGAGAGCCAAAAUCCCAUUCUCAUUCUUCAUCGAACGUCACAUCUCGACUGAUUACCAUCUUCCCAUUGUUUGGAUUAUACAGCUUAUAGCCUUUUGAAUUUGAGUUAUAGCCGAUGAAGAUGAACUUCUCACUUUUGUCGUCGAGUUUGGUUCUCCUCUCGUCUGGUACAUGUACAUGGGCUAUGCUUCCAAAAAUUCUUAGAUGGGAGAUACCUGGUUUUCUUCCACUCCACGCUUCUUGCGGAGUCUUUCCCCACACACUUCUUGUUGGAGACCGAUUGGAUUGGUAGACAACACAUGAUACAGCUUCUGCCUACAACUCCUUAGGCAAUCUCUUACUUUUGAGCAUGCUUCGAGCCAUGUCGAGGAUGGUUCGAUUUUUCUUUCCGCCACACCAUUUUGUUGAGGGGAUCUUGGAACUGUCAAAUGUCGACGAAUUCCAUUGGCUUCACAGAAUUCUUGAAAUUCCUUCGAAGUGAAUUCUGCUCUUCGAUCAGAUCUCAUGGCUUUAAUCUUGCAACCACUUUCUUUUUCUAUAGCAGCUUUGAACUUCUUGAAUGCUCCAAAUACCUAUGAUUUCUACUUUAAGAAAUACACUCAGGUUUUCCUUGAAAAAUCAUCAAUGAAGAGAAGGAAAUAAUUUAUUUUUACCCAAAGAGCUUGGUUUUAUUGGACCGCACACAUCGGUGUGAAUGAGUUCGAGUGGCUUCUGGGCUCUUGUGGUUGACUCUUUUGGAAAGCUUUUCCUGAACUGUUUCCCAAGUAAACAUCCUUCGCAAGCUUGAUCAGGACGACUGAUGCACGGUAAGCCUCUCACCAUCUCCUUCUUGGAUAAUAACUCCAGUCCCCCAAAGUUAAGAUGCCUAAAACGAAGAUGCCAAAGCCAUGAUGUGUCUUUGUAACAUAUCUUGAGACACUUUGCAACAUUGUUUUGAAUGUUCAUGGGAAACAUCCUAUUCUUUGACAUUUUCACCUUGGCAAUUAAUCUUCCUUUGUCAUCUAUAAGAAAAAGGCUAUAAUUUUUCAUGUGAAUAUCAUAACCUUUUUCUAAGAGUUGACCCAAGCUCAAAAUGUUGCUUUUCAUAUUAGGCACGUAGUAGACAUUUGAAAUUAAUUGGUGACCACCAUUUUUUAAGGGAAUAAGGAUGUUACCUUUUCCUUUGAUGGGUAUUUUGGAUUUGUUUCCAAAAGAAACGUUGCCACUCUCCGAUUCAUUGAGCUCUACGAACAUGCUUUUUCUUCCGCACAUGUGGUUGCUAGCGCCGGUGUCAAGAUACCAUGUAUAGUCUUGGUCUCCAUCAUUGUUCUUGCAUGCUAGUAGCACAAUGCCAUUAUCUUCUUUCUUUUCUUUCACAUAAUUGACCUUCUCAUCAGGCCUGUUGCUUGGAGCUUUACAUUCCCAAGCAUAAUGCCCAAACUUUUGACAAUUGUAGCAUUGAACUUGAGAUUUUUCAUACCUCAAGUUUGAGUGUCCUCUUCCAUGACCAUUUGUUGAGCUUCCUCCUUUUUCGUAGUUGUUAUGAUUGUUGAAGUUCCAACCACGUCCACGUCCAUGUCCGCGACCUCGACCGCGACUUCUUUCGUACUGGCUUCUCUCAUUAUCCAAUCUUUCUUCUUUCUUCUUUGGCUGGACAUGCGUCUUGAGGAGCUGCUCAUCAUUCCCUUGCCUCUUCUUAUGUUUCUCUUCAUAUGCUUGUAGUGAACCCAUUAAUUGCUCUAUACUAAUUUCUUCCAAGUUUUUUGUUUCUUCAAUCGUCACGACAAUGUGCUCGAACUUGGGGUCCAACGAGCGUAGUAUCUUCUCCAUAAUUCUAACAUUUUCUAACUUUUCUCCGUUUCUUUUUAAUUGAUUGGAAACGGCUAAGACUCUUGAAAAAUAAUCAGAGAUUGAUUCAGACCCUUUCAUUUGUAGAGAUUCGAACUCACCUCUUAGUACUUGAAGACGAACCUUUUUCACUUGUUUGACUCCUUUGUAAGAGGUUUGAAGCUUCUCCCAUGCUUGCUUGGCAGAGGUUGCACUCGAGACUUUCUCAAAGCCAUUGUCAUCUAAUGCUUGGUAGAUGAGGUAGAGCCUUCUUGUCUCUCUUUCUUGAAUCUUUCAAACUCUCAUUCUGGGGUUGGGACAGAGUAGCUUCAUCUUCUGGCUCAGUGUAGCCUUUCUCCACGACUUCCCAUACAUCAUGUGCUCCCAAAAGGGCCUUCAUUUUGAUACUCCAAUUAUUGAAGUUGUUGUUGUCGAGCACUGGAACUUGGAAGGCUGUCAUAGCGUUGCUAGCCAUAGCUCUGGUACCACUUUGUUAGGGCUUAAAAAGACUUCACUACUUUGGAGAUGUUUAUCUCACAAAGAAGAAUGUAAUGCAGCGGAAUUGAUAGGCAAGAGAAAGAAAGAACACUCAAAGUUUUUACACAAGAUUUUUUAUUCACUCACAAACUAGUACAAGAGGAAACACUCAAACACUCUUAGAAGCUUUGUUGCUUCUUCUCACUUCGCACUACUUGCUCUCUUGGUUGUUUCAAAUGGUGUGGAUGCCUUCUCCUUUUAUAGGCAUGGAUGGAACCUUGGAGAAACAUGGAAACAUCAUGCUAGAUAUAUCUAGACAAUUCCACUACCUUCCUAUGCUAGAAUUAUCUACACUAAUCUUGUAUGUUGGUGGAAUCCUCACCAUUCUUCUAGACUCUUCCACCAAUUUGAACUUUGCUAGAAUUUUCUAGCAUGUGCAUGGAUCUUUCUUUGUGCAUGGGCUAGAUCCAUUAUCUUUGGGCCAAGACAAGAUUACAAUUCAACAAGCCCUACCCGGAGGAGAGUUUGGAGUUUCUUCCGUCGCAAGGCAUUCGGCUCUUCCAGUUCGGAAUCGAGGGCAAGAAGGAGCGGUCUACGUCUCCGCUGAUUCCAGCAGAGACUAUCUCCGAGGCACUGAAAGUUUUGGUUGAAAUUGAGAAUCAUCCGGUGUUGAUCCACUGCAAAUGCGGCAAGCAUCGGACUGGUUGUCUGGUGGGUUGCCUGAGGAAAUUUCAGAAUUGGUGUUUGUCUUCGGCGUUAGAGGAGUACCAGCGGUUUGCCGGCGAAAAAUCUAGGGGGACGGAUUUGAGAUUUAUCGAGACGUUUGACGUAUUGGGCCCCAGGGGGGAUGCCUUCACGGCAUUGUCCGCCAUUAUUAUUAAGCUUAUGCUUCCGGAAAGAGGCGGUUGUUGUACAAACAAGAGUUGCAAACCCAUAAACCCUAGGUGAUGUUUUAGUUUUUACGUGUUGAAAUUUUAUGCCCUUUUAGUUGUACCAUAAUGAAAAUUCCUUCAUUCGCUUAGUGACGGGUCCCACGUAUGGGAGUGAUUUUUUUGUUGUUGUUGAUUUAGCAUAAUCACGAAAUUUAGACAUGCUUAUAAAUUUAGUCCUCAAUUUAGGAGUAGGAAAUUUUUAUGAAUAUAUGACGUGCAUGUUUACUUAAAAAAUUAGAAUGAAAAAUUAUGAAUCCAGAAAGUCAAAAAUACAAUGAAAGAAAUUUAGGAGUAGGAAAUCUUUUGACAUAUUUUUUUCUAUUUUUAUUUUAUUUUUUAGUUGUUGAAUUAUCAAUGUAAAGUAGAACUCAAAUACUUUUUGACUCCACAUAACCACAUAAAAAUCAAGAAUUGAAACAGAGUAAUUCUAAUACUAGUUCGUACUCUAACCUAGUGCAAAAAGUUAGAAUUGUAAAAAUUUAGAGCUGAUCUUGGUGAAAUAUAGAACGUCAUAGGACCAUGAUUCUGGAACUCCUUUCCCUCCUUCAACUGUGGUCGGCCUGGGUCAGAUUUCUCGUUCAGGGAUUUACCUCUUCUGAAUAGUCCGCCCUUGAUGGGUCAACUCUAGUUAGUUAAUCCAAGCAUAGGAAGAUGAGACAAAAUACACACAAAGUUGUUAGGAUAUCUUUUCUUUUUAUAUUUGAGCGAUAUUCUAAUCUAAUCCAAAUUCAUGGGAGGAUUCAAAUUUGGCUACACUCGGAUUCACAUAUUCGGAUUGAUUUUAAAUUAAAUCCAGGUUGAAACAGAAGAUAUUGAAGUUGGGAUUGAAAUAGAAGAUAAAGCGUAAUAUAAAGUUACAUUACAAUAACAUGUUCUAUUAAAUGAAAGUGACUAAAGAUUGAAAAAAAUGCUACACUGCGUGAUCAACUCCGGCAACGAGCAUUAGCACUGCAUCCACGGUUGUAGGGGUUACUCUGAUUCUGAGCACCCGGCUUGCAGUUGUUGGAGGAAGCACCUCUCUGAGAGCAAGGCACAGUGUUUCUCUGCAGAGCUUCAUAGCUUAUGUUUCGUGAGGUGGCUAAGAUGUGUUGAAUUAUAAGUCUCUAGCUGAUUAGAAAUAAGUUGUGAUGUUAAUAUGUGUAUGCACUUAUGUUAAAAUACUAAGUGAGAAGAUAUAUAGAUGUAAAGGCCAUGAGUGCCAUGUGUGAUGAUCUUAUAGAUUAGCUAAAUGUGUGGCUGAGAUCUGUUAUUUUGAAUGUCCAUGAUCCAGCUCAGGUUUUGUAAAGCUAUAUAUCCUCUCUUGCACGUUGAGUGCAAGCUAGAGAGACAUUUAAUGAAAACAUUAUUCUUCUGAGUAAUUGCAGAAGAAAGAACCACCACCUUCUCUCUCUGUUUUCUUUUUCUCUUUCGAAUUUGCUCUCUUUAAAAUACUAACAUGGCCUCAGAGCCUAUGUUCGAUUAGAUCUGGGCGUGUUCUGUGCACUCAAACAUCACCGGUUUUGGGUUCGGUGAAGUUUGCCGGAGUUUAUUUGUGAUCUAAGAACUACGUGUUCCUGGAUUCACACAAGCUCACGAUGGCUGAAUCUGGGAGUACUGAAGUAAGGACCCCGAUCUUCUCCGGUGAGAACUACGAGUUCUGGAGAAUCAAAAUGGUUACCAUUUUCAAGUCACAUGGACUAUGGAGUCUGGUGGAAAAAGGAAUUUCAACUCCCGAUUCGAAGAAGAAGAAAGCUAAGACUGAUGAAGAUACAGAUGUUGAUACUGACGAUGAUGAGAAAAUGGCUGCAAUCUUCAUGAAAGAUGCAAAAGCUCUCGGAAUCAUUCAAGGCGCAGUCUCCGAUCAGAUCUUCCCUCGAAUCGCAAACGCAGAUUCAGCAAAAAUGGCAUGGGAUCUGUUAUAUGGCGAAUAUCACGGUGGGGAUCAGGUAAGAUCGGUGAAACUUCAAAAUCUUAGACGAGAAUUUGAAUACACUAGAAUGCGUGAUGAUGAAUCUUUGACUGUGUAUCUUACUCGUUUAAAUGAUCUGAUUAAUCAAAUGAAGACGUUUGGUGAAACUCUGUCAAAUGAGAGAUUAGUUCAGAAGGUGUUAAUCAGUCUCACUAAGAUGUAUGAUCCUAUAUGCUUAGUGAUAGAAAAUACCAAAUGUCUAGAAUCUGUUGAACUGCAAGAGGUACUAGCUAUAUUGAAGAGUCAAGAGCAGAGGUUUGAUUUGCAUUCCACCGAUGUAACUGAGAGAGCAUUUUCUUCUCUUACUGUUAAUUCAAAAUGGCAGAAUCGAGGUUAUGCUCAGUCUAGUAUUUUUAAAUCACAGAAAAAUUGGAAUAAAAAGGGUAAGAAGUGGGAUUCAAAACCAAAGUUUCAGCAAAAAUCAUUCACAAAUGUUGCACAGAAUAGUACUUCUUCACAAGUUAUGGGUCAAGAGAGUGUAAAACCUCAAUGUAAAGUGUGUUCAAAGUUUCAUUAUGGUGAAUGUAGAUACAAUGGGAAAUCGAAGUGCCAUAAUUGUGAUAGAUUUGGACAUUGGGCCAAAGAGUGUACUGUUGGAAAGUCUGUUCAAAAGGCAAACUGUGCAAAUCAAAUGGAGGUGACAGGAAAUCUAUUUUAUGCAAAUUGUGCAGUUGCUGAGACUAAGGUCAAUGGAGAUUGGUACAUAGAUAGUGGUUGCAGUAACCACAUGACAGGAAAUGUGGAUUUGCUGGUUGAUGUGAGAACCAACAUAGCUGGCAAAGUUCAAAUGCCAACUGGAGAUCUUGUGAAUGUAGCUGGAAUGGGAUCACUGGUGAUAGACACAAAUAAGGGCAGAAAAUAUGUGAGAAAGGUAAUGUAUUUGCCUGGUUUAAAAAAGAAUCUGCUAAGUGUAGGUCAAAUGGAUGAGCACGGAUAUUUUCUUGUGUUUGGUGGUGGAGUGUGCAGUGUGUAUGAUGGUCCAUCACUGGAAUGUUUAAUCAUGAAAGUGAAGAAGAAAGUGAACAUGUGUUAUCCACUGGUUUUAUUAUCUGAGAAUCAAGUAGUCUUAAAGGCUAGUGUCACUCACUCCACUGAGAUUUGGCAUAAGAGAUUUGGACACCUGCAUCUUGAUGGUCUCAAACAGUUGAGAGACAAGGAUAUGGUACACGGCUUACCUCAGCUUGAAGACUACAAUGGAGUCUGUGCAGGUUGUCAAUUUGGAAAACAACACAGAGAAGAGUUUCCAAGAAGUCAAGUACAGAGAGCAACUUCUCCACUUGAACUUAUACAUGUUGAUCUGUGUGGACCCAUGAAAAAUGAGUCAAUUGCAGGAAAUAAAUAUUUCAUGCUUUUGGUAGAUGAUAUGACCAGGAUGAUAUGAAUCUAUUUUCUGCGAUACAAAUCUGAUGCAUUCAACUGUUUUAAAAAAUUCAAAGCCAUGGUAGAACUACAAAGUGGUUUCAAGAUCAAGUAUCUGAGAAGUGAUAGAGGAGGGGACUUCAAAUCAUUCGAAUUUGACUCGUUCUGUGAAAAAGCUGGAAUUCAAAGGCAGUUUACCCUUGCAUAUACUCUACAGCAAAAUGGAGUAGUAGAAAGGAAAAACAAGACUGUGGUUGAGAUGGCUAAAUCUAUGUUGCAUGAGAAGAGUUUACCAUAUUUUCUCUGGGCAGAGGCAGUUCACACAUCUGUGUAUGUUUUAAACAGAUGUCCCACAAGGGCUUUGAAAAACAUCACACCUUUUGAAGCCUACUCGGGAAGGAAACCAGGAAUAGCUCAUCUGAGAGUAUUUGGUUCAGCAUGUUAUGUUCAUGUUCCAAGUGAGCACAGACAUAAACUUGAGCCUAAAAGUUUCAAAGGGGUGUUUGUGGGAUAUGCAACUUGUGAAAAGGGAUAUAGGGUGUUUGAUCCCAUAUCAAAGAAGUUGAUAUUAUCAAGGGAUAUUGUUUUUGAUGAAGAAGCUGUAUGGAAUUGGGAAGUGAACUCUGAGCAGCCUAUCUCUACUACUGAAAACCUUGUUUAUGAUGAAUUAAGAACAGGAAGAAAUGAAGGAAUGAUGCAGACUCCUACCUCAUCAACAGCAUGCUCACCUAGGAAUGUUCUUAGUAUUGGAGAUUCUGUCCAAUCUAAGGGACUUACAUCAGGUGAAUCUGUAAACAACUCAAACUUGAGUGAAAAGGAUACUCAAGCAUUUGAUCAUACACCAUUGAAGUGGAGAAAACUGGAUGACGUCUUAGCACAAUGUAAUCUCUGUAUUAUGGAUCCAGAGAAAUAUGAAGAUGCCAAACAAGAUGUGUCUUGGUUAAAAGCCAUGGAGGAUGAGAUGUUCAUGAUUGAAAAGAAUGGCACCUGGAUGCUUGUUGAUAGACCAACUGAGAAACCUGUCAUUGGGGUUAAAUGGGUGUACAAAACCAAAUUAAACCUUGAUGGUUCAGUGUUGAAGAAUAAAGCAAGGUUAGUUGCAAAGGGCUAUGCUCAAAAGCCUGGCUUGGACUACAAUGAGACCUAUGCACCAGUUGCUAGGUUAGAUACUAUUAGAACUUUGAUUGCCUUAGCUGCACACAAGAGCUGGAAGUUGUAUCAGUUAGAUGUGAAAUCGGCUUUUUUGAAUGGAGUUUUACAAGAAGAGGUCUAUGUUGAACAGCCCGAAGGUUUUGUUGUUAAAGGCAAGGAAGAAAAAGUGUACAAACUUCCUAAGGCUCUCUAUGGUCUAAAACAAGCUCCACGAGCUUGGUAUGGUGAAAUUGAUAACUAUUUCACACAGUGUGAUUUUGAGAAGAGCCUAAGUGAACCAACUCUAUACAUAAAGGCAAGGGGAGAAGAUGUCUUGAUUGUUUCCAUCUAUGUAGAUGACAUAGUCUACACUGGAAACUGUAAAACAAUGCUAGAAAAAUUCAAGGAAGAUAUGAAGAUGAAAUAUGAGAUGACAGAUUUGGGAUUGUUACAUCACUUUCUUGGAAUGGGGGUGAUCCAAACCGACUCUAGCAUCUUCAUUCAUCAGAAGAAGUAUGCAAGUUCUUUACUAAGCAAGUUCGGUCUGAAUGAGUGCAAAUCUGUGAUCACACCACUUGUGGCAACUGAGAAAUUAACUAAAGAUGAUGGAAGUGGAGCAGUAAGUGAAGAGUUAUACAGAAGCAUUGUGGGAAGUCUUCUAUAUCUCACUGCUACUAGGCUAGACAUCAUGUAUGCAUCUAGUUUACUUGCUAGAUUUAUACACUGUCCUACUAGCAAGCAUUUUGGAACUGCCAAACGUGUGCUCAGGUACAUCAAAGGGACUAUAGACUAUGGUUUGGAGUAUACAAAGGGCAAGAAAGCAAUGUUGAUUGGCUAUUGCGACAGUGACUGGGGUGGAUCAUCAGAUGAUAGCAAAAGUACAUCUGGAUAUGCAUUUUCUUUUGGAAGUGGAGUUUUUUCUUGGGCUUCAGUUAAACAAAGUUAUGUGACAUUAUCCACUGCAGAAGCAGAGUACAUAAGUGCAUCAGAGGCUACUACUCAAGCUAUAUGGCUGAGAUUUGUCUUGGAAGAUUUCGGAGAACUACAGACUGAAGCCACUUCUCUUCACUGUGACAACACUUCUGCCAUUGCAAUCACUAGGAAUUCUGUCUUUCAUCAAAAGACCAAACACAUAGACAGAAGGUAUCACUUCAUUAAAGAUGCACUGCAAGAAGGAAUCAUUGAUUUGAUUUAUUGUCCCACUGAAGAGCAGAUAGCAGAUAUUUUCACAAAACCUUUAGCCAAUGAUCGGUUCAACUAUCUCAGAAAUUUGCUUGGAGUGAAAUCAGCUCAAGACUUAAAGGGGAGUGUUGAAUUAUAAGUCUCUAGCUGAUUAGAAAUAAGUUGUGAAGUUAAUAUGUGUAUGCACUUAUGUUAAAAUACUAAGUGAGAAGAUAUAUAGAUGUAAAGACCAUGAGUGCCAUGUGUGAUGAUCUUAUAGAUUAGCUAAAUGUGUGGCUGAGAUCUAUUAUUUUGAAUGUCCUUGAUCCAGCUCAGGUUUUGUAAAGCUAUAUAUCCUCUCUUGCACGUUGAGUGCAAGCUAGAGAGACAUUUAAUGAAAACAUUAUUCUUCUGAGUAAUUGCAGAAGAAAGAACCACCACAUUCUCUCUCUGUUUUCUUCUUCUCUUUCGAAUUUGCUCUCUCUAAAAUACUAACAUCGCCUGCUAAUCUCCGAGUCCAUGCCAAACUCAUCAUCACGAUCAUCCAUACACUCUGCUACAGAACCCUCGCAGCGAGGUCUCACUGGAACCCAGCUCACCCCAUGAUCGCCGCCUGCAUCAACGGAGAUGAUCAGAGCGGCCACGAAGGCCAAGGAAAAGAUAAUCGCUGAGGAAUUGGCCAUAGGUUUUGGUAUGGUCUGUGUUUUUAGCUGCCAACUUGUAUUUUGUUGUACGCCUGUUUAAUUACAGAGGGAGACAGAUGAGGCGGCAAGAGAGAGAAGAUAAAGUUGGUGAAUUCUUAUGUGUAUAUUAUUGCACUCCAUUGUGUUAUUUAUAGUAGUAAAAAGUAUAAAAAAGGGAAAGUCCUUGUUCUUUAAUUAAUCCAUAGUAGUAAGAAGGGAAAAUCCUUAUCUUUCAGGUAAUCCAUCUUAGAUAAGACACAAUCUACAAGAUAUUCUGCAGUCCCAUAAGGAUUUUUUACACACAUUCCUAGUAAGUUUGGACUUUGAUAUAUUUAAAUUUGAUUAAAUGAAAAAUUGGAUGCUGAUUUCUUCAAGGAGGUGAUUGUGGAUGCAAAUUUCUCCCUUAUUGAUCUUGGACAAAAUUGCACCUACAAAACAAUUAACACCUUAGGAUCAAGGCCAAGAGCCUCACGCGCCCACGAUGAACGCCGGGGGGGGGGGAGCUUUGGCCGAAGAACCUCUGAUGCCAAAGUUAGAAUUUAGAGAGAAAAGUGUUUAGAGAGUAUUGAGAAUUUUGCAAGUGUGUUGGACCUAGGUUUUGGUGAAAAUGGGAGUCAAUACAUAGGGCAUAGGGUGUAACUUAUGGUUUAAUGUGUGAUUUAAUGGAUUAAUUAGGCAAUUAAUCCAUUGAUUGGUUAAUCAACACAUUUUUGGAAUAAAUAUUUUGGGGGUUAUGUAAUUUAUACCUUGUGGAAAAUAUAGAAUGAGGAUGGAUGAAAUAACUUUGAAUUUGUUACUUAUUUUGGGCACGUUUGAUUUGGUUGAAGGAUAAUUAACCGCUGCUCGCACGUAGGAAUGCCGUUGUAACUCAAGAGUAUUUUGUCUUCUUUUGUCCAAAAAUCCAUGUGUUGCCUUGUGAUUAUUUUUGGCUCCAUAGUGAUUACUUAAAUGACUUGCACUAAUUAGCCUUAGGGCUAGUUUGGUAUUCCUGUGCUUUGAAAAAAAAACUGCUUCUGCUGUGAAAUAAAGCGGUAGAGUGUUUGGUAAACUUUUUUGUAAAAGUGCUUUUAGCAAAAAAAUCAGUGUUAAAGUGCUUGGUAAAUUUUUAUAUAAAACUGCUAUGAUUAUGUUAAAUGACUAAAAAUGAUAUAAUGUUAAAUUUAAUAUAUAAUUUUUUAUUUUUUAAUCUCUAUAAUUGUCGAGUCAUCCAAACUCUUCCAUUUUCCAAAUCCCAUUUAUAAUUCUAGAGUCAUCCUUUUCGCCUAAUUUUUUUUUUCAUUUGACUUUCAGAUCCGAUAUGUUAGCGUUCCGUUGGUCAUCAGACAGGAUCACACUAAGCGUAGGCUGUUUCCGGAUCAGAUCUAGCCGAAGAGCUCUCCCCCUAUAACUUGAAUAUGGCAGUUUCCCACUAGCCGCUUAAAGGAGUACUCAAGGAUUACCCUAUUACCAAUCUCGAAUUGGCCUCCUACUGUCCUCGCUAAGAAAGAGUCUGCCCGCUUAAUUCAAUGAAGGAGUUGAUAUUUAUCUAUUAAAGUAAUUUAUCAAUUACGGAAUUCAAGGUCGGAUGAUAUCAGUUCUCUGUACCCAAGAAGUUCGGGGAAAGGAAAUAGAAGCAAUGCAGACUGAAUUUGACGAACUCCCCACCCAUACUAAAAAGCAAAUAAAGACCCAUGUUUAGCGUCCUCCACUCUAAGGACCACAUUAUUGAAUAUGAUAGUAGACAGAUGGCAUUAUCCUGUAUUGACAAAUGUCAUAAUCGUGUGAGAUCAUUGUUGAGAUGUUAGCUUAGUCAAUAAGCUACUAUGUUUACUAUAAAUAGGAGAUUGCACCACCAUGUAACUAAGUCUUUUGUAAUUCAUUACAAUCAAUAUACAAAGAUAUUUUCUCUCUAUCUCUCUUUUUCUCUAUUUCUUUCUUCCUUGUCGAUGGGUUUCUUGAUUUCUACUUCCGCAACUCUGUUAUCAUGGUAUCCAAAGCCAAGUUCUCAAUUCGAUCUUCAGAAUUAAUGCUGGAAUUCAAAGCGGGGGAUGGUCUUGUGAAGGGAGUUAGAAUUUUUUUUGAGGUGGUGGAGAUUUCUGUUCGUCGGUGCCGUGUCGGUGUACUUCAAUCUCAUCUUCAUGCUGAUUUCUUUGAAGAUUUGAUGGUAUCUGUUCUUAUUCCUCUAUAAUUCAUACUUUGUUGAUUUCAAUUCAAGGCACGAAGCCAUUCUUGAGCACGAAGCUGAUUGUCUUUUCCGGUGAAAUUGAUCAUGCAAAAUUGGUGUUCUCUUGAGUGUAUAUUGGACAAUUGUUGAUUGUAUAAGCAAGAAAUGUUAGGGCACAAUGCCAUACUCUUGAAAAUUGUUUCCAAUUGUUGAUAUUUGUUGAGUUCUGAGAUAAUUGAAAAGUUAGGGCACGAAGCCAGAUUGUUGAGAAAACUUUGGGGCACGAAGCCAGGUUCAUUUUGUAAAUCUUGAAGGUUAUUGUUGAAUUGGUGUGUAUUGAUUCUGUGGUUCAUGAUGGCGUCUUCGUUUAAGAUUGAUGGUUUGUUAGGCAUGUUUACCAUUCGUUUGCAAGAAGACAAUUUUGCCAAAUGGUCAUUUCAAUUCUGUUUUGUGCUUGAAGGGUAUGAUCUGUUCGAUCAUUUUGAUGGUACUAAUGUUUGUCCGCCUAAGUAUCUGAUUUCUUUGGAUGGUGGUGUUACUAAAGAACUCACACAAGCUUAUAAGGAAUGGAUUAAAACUGAUAAAGCUUUGUUGAGUUUACUCAUCGCCAUACUUGGUGACGAGGCUAUUGAAUAUGUUGUUGGUAGUAAGACUACAUUUGAAGCCUGGACUAAUCUUACUGAUAGAUAUGCUACAGUUUCUAGGGCUCGCAUUAAUCAUCUCAAGACUGAAUUCUAUACAAUCAAGAAAGGGUCCGAUUAUAUUGAGAAAUAUUUGCUUCGGCUGAAGAAUUUGAAAGAUCAAUUGCUUUCUGCAGGGGAAGUGAUUUCUGAUAAUGAUUUGAUAGUGGUUGCUCUAGCUGGUUUACCUUCUGAGUAUAAUAUCAUUCGUACUGUAAUUGUUGCCAGAGAAACACCACUUACUCUUAAAGAAUUUCGAGCACAGUUGCUCAGUGCUGAGAGGACUGCUGAAGAUUUACCAAGUUCUCUUCAUUAUCCAAUAGCUGGAAUGUACUGUCAAGGAGAGUCUUCGAAUUCUGGUGGCUAUAAUGGUUUUCAUGAUCACAAUACAAGUAAUGGGAGGCAGUUUUAUCAUGGAGAGUCUUCGAACUCAGGUGGUCAAGUUAGUUCUCAUUCUACUGAAAACUAUGGUUUUGUGGGGCAAUACAACAUCUCUAAUCCAAGGGGUCAUUCGAGUGGGAGCUUCUCUCAAGCACAUAUUCCUCAGCAAUAUAAGUCUCAUAGACCUAAUAGUAAUAAUGGUGGUUCCAAUGGUUCUCGGUAUAAUUCCAGAUCAAGAUUCAAUGGGGGUUUUAAUACCAGACACAAUGGAAAUAAUGGUUUUUCUAGUAGCAGUGGUUCAAACAGUAAAUGGGGCUCUUCAUGGAACAAUUGGAAUGGCAAUACUGGACAGAAAUCUCAUGUGAUACCCGAAUGUCAAAUUUGCAGUAAGAGAGGGCACACUGCUCCCAACUGUUAUUAUAGAAAUGAACAGCAGCCUAUGGUUAAUCAAGGUAUUCCUGAGUGUCAAAUUUGUGGCAAGAGAGGUCAUGUUGCUCUUAAUUGUUUCCAUCGAAGCAACUAUGCAUAUCAAUGAGCAAAUCCACCUGCAACAUUGACUGCUAUGACUGCUCAAUCUUCCUCUGAUUUUAAUGCAAACCAAGCCUGGAUUAUGGAUACUGGUGCUACCCACCACAUGACUGAGGACCUUCAUGAUCUGAAUGUUGUCACACCAUUUGAAGGAGAUCAACAAAUCACAGUUGGAAGUGGAGAAUGUCUUCCAGUGAAACAUACUGGUUCCAAUUCUCUUCACACUUCUUCUAAAACUUUGAAUCUUCUUACUGUGUUACAUGUUCCUAAUCUUGCAGCUAGUUUAUUAUCCAUUUAUACCUUGUGUAAGGAUAACAAAUGCUAUGUAAUCAUGGAUGAAUUUGGUUUUUGGGUGCAGGACAAGGCAAUAAGGGCAAUUCUAAUGAGAGGAAUGAGUAGUGGCGGUCUGUAUUACAUACCAAAGAGUUUGUUCUUCAAGCACAAUCAAUUGCGACAGUCUGAAUCUUUUCCAAAAGCUUAUCUUGGGAAAUUGGUGCAAGCUUCCUUAUGGCAUCAUAGACUAGGUCAUCCUAGUAAUGCAGUGUUACAUAGUAUGCUUUCUCAUUCUCAGAUUGUGUAUAGGUCUGAUAAAAAUCAACAUGUAUACAGUGAUUGUUUGAGUGGCAAGAUGUCUAGACAAAGUUUUUCUUCUAGUUCUCAUAUCUCUGUAAGACUUUUUGAAAGGGUUUGUAGUGAUGUAUGGGGACCAUCUCCGGUUGUAUCAAUUGAAGGCUAUAAAUACUAUGUGAUUUUUGUUGAUGACUUUACUAAGUUUACUUGGUUCUUUCCUUUGACUUAUAAAUCUCAAGUUGCAUCAGUCUUUGAGCAGUUUUAUGCCUUUAUUCAGAACCAUUUUAAAACCUCAGUACAAUACUUUCAAUCUGAUGGAGGAAGUGAAUACAUGAGUUCAAAUUUUCAGAAGUUUUUGAAAGCUAGAGGUAUUAUACAUUUAGUUUCUUAUCCUUAUACCCCUCAACAAAAUAGGAUGGCUGAGAGGAAACAUAGGCACAUAAUUGAGACUGCAAUCACACUGUUGAAUUCAGCUAAGUUACCUCAUAAUUUCUGGACACAUGCAUGUAUUCAUGCUAUCUUUCUCAUAAAUCGAAUGUCAUGUUCUUCUCUGGACAUGAAUUCUCCUUAUUUUAAACUCUUUGGAAGUCAUCCUGUGUUACAUUCUGUUAAAGUGUUUGGGACUGCAGUUUAUCCUUAUCUUAGACCCUAUGUAAAGAAUAAAUUGGAACCAAGAACUGAACAGUGUGUUUUUCUGGGAUAUAUGUUGGGUUACAAAGGUGUGGUCUGCUAUCACAGGUCCAGAAAGAGGUUGUUUAUCUCUAGGCAUGUUUUUUCCUUUUCACAAACCAUGCAUAGUUCAAAGCAGACAUGAUGUUUCAUCUUCUUCUACGAUCCAUCCUAUCAUUGUUCCUUCUGUAUUUUCUGUUCAAUUUGCAAAUUCAGCUAGUAUGGUAGAAUUGGGUGAUCAUCACGAUUUUGGUCUACUUAGAUCUUCUGCAGUACAUACUUCUCAUUGUGCACAUAACAAUGGCUCCUCUUCCAGAGUAACAUCUGCUAGUUCAUUUUCUUUACAGGCUUCAUCAAAUUCCACUACUCCACUCUCUUCAUCAGCAUCUUCACAUGCCCUGUUGCCUGUCCCAAGUUUGCCUCACCCUGAGGUACAUUCCCAUCCUGUUACUUAUGCUAAUGUACCAGUUAAUGAUGACAAUAUUGUUGCUUCUCCUCUAUCCUUGUCAACUCAUCCAAUGCAAACAAGAUUGAAGACGGGAACCAUUUCUCGAAAAGAUUACACUGCAUGUUCAGCUAGUACAUCUCUUGAAUCUUCUGACAAUUCAUUUGGUUCGAGUGUUUUUCCUUGUCUUGGUUUCACUGAUGUCUUUGAUAUUAAGGAACCUACAGAACCAUCAUCAUAUAAACAGGCUGUUACUUGUGAACAAUGGAGAGAAGCUAUGAAAGAGGAAUUCAAUGCUCUUCAUAAACAAGGAACAUGGGAACUUGUUCCAAUGCCUACUAACAAGAAUGUCAUUGGCAGUAAAUGGGUAUAUAAGAUCAAACGAGAUCAGAAUGGCAAGAUAUCAAGGUAUAAGGCGAGAUUAGUAGCUCAAGGUUUCAGUCAAGAACAUAGUUUGGAUUAUGAAGAAACUUUUAGUCUAGUGGUCAGACACAGUACUGUUCGGAUUGUUCUUGCUUUAGCUGCUACAAAUAAAUGGCCUUUAAGGCAAUUUGAUGUUAAAAAUGCAUUUCUCCAUGAAGAUUUGCAGGAAGAGGUUUUCAUGAAGCAUCCUCAAGGUUUUACAGAUUCAUCUCAUCCUGAUUAUGUCUGUAAAUUGAUUAAGUCCCUUUAUGGCCUUAAACAGGCACCUCGGGCAUGGAAUUCUAAAUUUACAACAUACUUGCCUUUUCUUGGUUUUGUGGUUUCCGAAUCAGAUACAAGUUUAUUUGUCAAGACCCAAGGUGAUGCAGUUGUUAUUCUUCUUCUCUAUGUUGAUGAUAUAAUCAUCAUUGGAUCUGAUUCAGUAUUGGUUCAACAAGUUAUUUCCAAUCUUAGAGAGGUAUUUGAUAUGAAGGAUAUGGGGGCUCUCACAUUUUUUCUUGGAUUACAUAUUACUUACCAAGUGAAUGGCGAUUUGUUUCUUUCUCAAUCGAAAUAUGCCAAAGACUUGAUAAAAAAGGCGGGUAUGACUACUUGUAAGCUUUCUCCUACUCCUUGUAAACCUCAUACACAACUAUUGCGAAAUGAAGGAACUCCACUCAUUGAUCCUACUAUUUUUCGAAGUUUAGUGGGUGCACUGCAGUAUCUGACUUUUACCAGGCCUGAUAUUGCGUUUGCUGUCAAUUAUGCAUGUCAAUUCAUGUCCAAUCCUACUGAUGUACAUUUUGAGUUAGUCAAACGCAUUCUGAGGUAUUUACAAGGGACUGUUGAGUGUGGUGUUACUUAUUCAUCUGCUGAUACUAUGGAUCUCACUGCAUUUAGUGAUGCUGAUUGGGCAUCGGAUAUCAAUACCAGAAGGCCCACAACAGGAUAUAUGGUGUUCUUGGGACAAAAUCCAGUGUCUUGGCAGUCUAGAAAACAAGGUAGUGUUUCAAGAAGUUCGACAGAGGCCGAAUAUAAAGCUCUAGCCAAUGCUACUGCAGAAAUAGCUUGGAUUCGAUUGAUUCUUAAAGAUUUGAAAGUGUUUCUGCCUUCUCCCCCACUUUUGCAUUGUGAUAAUGUUUCCACUAUUGCUCUGUGCUCUAAUCCUGUUUUUCAUACCAAAAUUAAACAUCUCGAUACGGACUUUCAUUUUGUUCUUGAACGGGUUCAAAAAGGAGAUUUACAAGUGGAGUACAUUUCUUCUACAGAUCAGGUUGCUGAUAUUCUUACAAAAUGACUUCAUGGACCUGUUUUCUUACAUCAUUGUCUUAAUCUCAAACUGGGUUCCCCAGUUGCGAUUGAGGAUGGGGUAUUGAAUAUGAUAAUAGACAUAUGGCAUUAUCCUGUAUUGACAAAUGUCAUAAUCGUGUGAGAUCAUUGUUGAGAUGUUAGCUUAGUCAAUAAGCUACUAUGUUUACUAUAAAUAGGAGAUUGCACCACCAUGUAACUAAGUCUUCUGUAUUCAUUACAAUCAAUAUACAAAAAUAUUUUCUCUCUAUCUCUCUUUUUCUCUAUUUCUUUCUUCUUCCUUGUCGAUGGGUUUCUUGAUUUCUACUUCCGCAACUCUGUUAUCACACAUUAUCCAGAAGUUCAUUCUCAUUUACCUCAAGAUCAUCGACAAGAUCGAUCUUCCAAUUUCUGAGACUGAGAUUUCUACCUUUUUUCCCCCUAGUUAUAUAACUUCCACUACCACUAGUUUCCCAAUUUCAUCUCCCCUACCAUCCAUGGCGUCUGCAAGCUCUCACAAACACCCAUCUCCUCUGUCAUCCACUACUUUCCCCAUCACUUUCCCACCUUCCUCUUGGAGUUGUAGAAGGAGCUUGCUAUGAAGAUCUGUUGUGUGAAAUUGUGCAUCUUGGAUUGAAAACUUUUUUAACACUGGGUUUUGGAUUUGUUUCCUGGUCUGCAAUGCGACGACGAGUUGAAAAAUACUCUGAUCAGAUUUCGAUUUCGAAAAUUAAAAUCUGGUAAAACAAGAAUAUCAACGAUGAAGAUUCGAUCUCAACCCAAUGAGAAGGAGAAACGGAGGAGCGUAUUUUUGAGAUUGUGAAAGUUUCAUUAAAAUCUACUGUUCACCCGCCUUCUUGAAAAAAUAAAAGCUGGUUUUGAGAAGCAGCAAAAAUGCAACUUCUGAUUUUUGCCACUUUUCAGCUUAUAAUGACCUGUGAUUUUUAAAAUAAGCAGAGUUACCAAACACAAAUUGUACUCCAAUUUUUUUUCAUCCCAGCUUUUAAAAUAAUUUAAGCAGUACCAAACCUUACCUUAUUCUAAUUGCAACAAAGAAAGCUGAAACUGGAAUAAUUCGUGAUUUGUUCAAACCAAGAAUACGAAAUCAACAACCUACUAGAAAAUAUGCUCGUAGAGAUUUACGGGUUGUUUCAGCAAGUAAUUUUGCUAAAAGCGCUUUUAUUAAAACAACGUUGAUAAAUCACUUUUAUAAUGAUAUAAGCAUGCCAAAAGAUUAAACUAGUUUACAACAUCAAUAUUAUAAUGAUAGUACUCUCAGUUCAUUCUUGCUCAUAGAAUUAAAGAGAGAAACCGAACUAAACAACAAUGCGGACUAGCUUGGUCAACUCUCAGGCCUUUAUUCUUGAAGAUAGCAAAAUUACUCAAAGUUCCAUAUCAUAUGUAUGCAUAAAUCUUGUGCUUGGCACUUAUUCCUUGAGAAGAUGUGCAUCAAUAUCUUUAAUGACAUUGACCAUAAAGCUGAGGUACUUCUGUGGAGGCGGAUCGUUCUCGUUGAGUUUUUCAUAUUCUAAAGUAAUUUUCACAAAACCUCCUUCACUCUUUGGAGUGACCUGGAAAAUGAUCUUGUAGCUUUUGUAAUUGUCCAGCACAUGUGAUCCUUCCAGAGCUGUAAGACUCACCCACUUGUUUACUUCAUCUAUUUCCACCUUUUCCUUGAAUGUCUCGACAUUUCCAUCUACACGUCACAUGGAAAAUUACAAUGAUACAUCUAUUCAUGGAGAGAUUUUUCAAUGCUCAGAACACUAGGUGGUACGACACAUUAUUAUACAAACGAAUGAAAAUUAUUUUCAAGUGUCUUUUCACUUAUAUAAUGAAAUAUAAUUUAUGUAUCCAUGUUCCGAGCACACUAAAAAUUCUCUCAUGUCCAUGAUCCGAUUCUUUAUAUAUUCAUCGUCAGGUAAUGCAAACCUAAUGGCGCAUGGAUGGCCUGGUCAAUAUAUUUCAGUUUUAAUUCUAGAAGAAUCUUAUACGUACAUAUACAUAUCACGUUAGCAUGUUUAUUUCAUAGCAGGUUAGUUUGUGUUAUUAAAAAAAAAAAAAAAUAAUAAUAAUAGUAAUAAUGUUACAGUAUUAACUAUAAACGUAACAUUAUUAUUAUACAACUUUUUUUAACAAACAAUAUUAUCUACAUUAAGGGAAAGAGGUGAGCUUAGCCUCACAAUGUUUGAACGAUGGAAAUAAAUUUGGACUUUUGACAAAAUUUAGAAUUUAUAAAUUAACAUGCACCAAUUCUCUUGUCUAGAUUCAUAAACAUAGAAAUUUAGAAUUUCCGCGUGAAAAAAGGGAGAAUUUGAGACCUCCAAUUCCCAAGUUUAAAUUUCAUGUAAAUAAGUCACUCAGUAUUACAGUCUUAUAGUAUUUCUCUUCACUUGAAAGUGAGAGGUUAUAGGUUCGAAUCUUGUUAAUGACGAAUUUGAUACCAAAUUAGGCUACCCAUUGUGUGGCUUUGCCGAACUCCCCCUCCCCUUAGUGUAAAAAUAUCGAUGUACUAAAAAAAAUCAUGUAAAUAGGUGUUAUUCCAAAUUUUUAUGAGUGAGAGUUUAAAGAUAACAAAUUCUAUAUUGAAUUUAUAUUAUUCUUUUAAGUUAGUCAAACAAGAAAAUUUACAAAUUCUAGAAAUAAAAUUUCAUAGUAAUUUUAAAUUUUCUCAUUCAAACAUAAUGUUAGAGUCAUGAUGUAACACCCGUCGCUUUUUAUUUAACAAAAUUAAUUAUUAGUUUAACUAGGUUAGGAGGAGAGAGGAGGGUGAUUAAUUUCAUAUUACCUAGGGUGUAUUUCCAGAGCUUGACAGAGCCAGAAGUUUCCCAGUCACCUUCAUGUACUGCAACAUCGUGUAUUUUAUCAGAGGCUGCUUUGGGGACGUCGUGGUGCUGGUUGCUGAUGACUUUGUACAACUUAUCAGCGUUGGCUUUGAUCUCUACCUCAACCUCCACAGUCAGCUUGCAAGCACCAGCUCUGUUGAAUAUAUCAGUCCACCUCAUCAUUCCAGCUCAGCAAUAGUUAGUUAGGCUGUUAUCAAAUUAGUUAGUUAAAUAGCUUAGGCUGUAAACUAGUCAUGAUGGCUAUAUAAACUGUAUUCUCAUAGUUGUAAAGAUUAAUUCAGUAUCAAUGUAACCAAUUACUGUCUCUCUCUCUUAUUCCCUUUUCUCUCUUCUUCUUCGGUACAUGCUCUUUCUGCAACUCUUCAUUUCUGUUAACAUGGUAUCAUCGCCAUGGAUGAUCUUUUGACUUCCGUUGUAGUACCUCUGAUGGGUAGCUGAUCUCUGUGUAAGGUUGAUGACGUUUUGCUGUUCUUGGGAGGCUUCGAUACUUGUCUAUGGAGUUUUCGUUGGUGAUGAAGAUCUGUGCGCUCCAGGUGUUUGAUAAUUUGUGUCAGCCAAUUGUCGGAGUUUGCGAGGAUUCUGGUAUAGGUGUGUCAUCGCCGGAGGUCGGUUCUUGGUGAUUUGUUGCUCUUCCGCUGUGGGUGAACAAGCUUGGAUGUUCGAGUGCGUUUUCUGGGUUUCAAGAUUCAAGUUCUCAGGUUUUGUUUCUGAUUACUAGUUUUCUUUCCAGCAUAUCAACUAUUGUGACUCAGUGAGAAUUUUGUUGGGAAUUUCGGAAGUGUCAAGGCCAAUAGCCGUAUACUUCAGAUUUGUGAAGAGUUCAAGGUCGAAUGUCAUAUUUGAGAAUCUUUAAGGCAAAUUGCCAUUUCUCAGUUGCUAUAAAAUUGUUGAUUGUAUUUCCCUAAGGCCGAUUGCCGGGAUUUUAUGUUGUCUAAAAGAUUGUCUGUUAAUUGGGUUCUCUGUGAUUGUAUGCUGUACUCCCUUAAGGCCGAUUGCCGGAGUAUAAAGCUGUCUGAAAGUUGUUUUCUUGAUGCAAAGUGUUUGUUGGGAUAGAGAGGCCGAUAGCCAUUUCCCUUUUAUGUUUCACUUCAGAAAGGCCGAUAGCCAGAAGUGUGUGUAGAACAUUAACUGAUUUAGAAGAAUAUGAAGGCCGAUUGCCAUUUCUUCUAAGAGAAAGAUUGUUUAGUAGGAUUUGAAGGUCGAUUGCCAUUGUUGAAAGAUUGCUGAAAGAUUGAAUCUUUGAUUCAUUAUUGGGUAUUGUUUGAUUGUUUGUUGGGUAUUGUACACUCAAGAAGGCCGAUUGCCAAGAGUGUCUUAGUUCAAGAUUCUGCAAAGUUGUUCAUAUUCUAUCUGCAAAAGUGAUGUGUGAUGAUAAUGGGAUGAGCAACCUGUUUUAGUUUUGGCAAGUUUGAAAGGAUGAUAACUAUAUGUGGUUGUACCUUAUCGCAAAAGAAAAUAGUAGCUACAGAGGUGUAGAAAUCAGUUUGAGGGGCUGAAAUUCUUUGGGCAGUUGAUGGAUGAGUAUGAAAUUGCAUCGUUCUUAAGUAAUUUUCAAUGCUUGCAGCCAUGGAGGAUUAAUUGGUGAGGAGCAGCAGAGCUAGGAGUAUAUGGACAAGAAGGACUUCCUAAGUUCUACAUUUCUCAAAGCACUCAUUCAAUCUCCAACUAGGAAACUCAGUUGAGAUUGAGGGGGGAUGUUGAAUAUAUCAGUCCACCUCAUCAUUCCAGCUCAGCAAUAGUUAGUUAGGCUGUUAUCAAAUUAGUUAGUUAAAUAGCUUAGGCUGUAAACUAGUCAUGAUGGCUAUAUAAACUGUAUUCUCAUAGUUGUAAAGAUUAAUUCAGUAUCAAUGUAACCAAUUACUGUCUCUCUCUCUUAUUCCCUUUUCUCUCUUCUUCUUCGGUACAUGCUCUUUCUGCAACUCUUCAUUUCUGUUAACAAGCUCCACUCACUGCCAUUUUCUUUUAUUUGUUAUUAGUAAUAUGUGAUUAGUCUGGGGAAAUUGUAGGAGACGUAUACUAACCUACAGGUUUCAACUUCUUAUAUAGAGUCGCAAAGUUGUAAAUUAACAUGUUAUAAACUGAUAGUUAUGGAGGCAGCGUGUGGAUAUGAUCCGAUCACUUAAUUAAAUAGUUAUAUAAUAAUAUUGUGUCUGUGGAUCUUCCACGCAGAGUUUUAUUAUUACACCUACCAAACUUAAGAGCACCCGCAAACUUGAUGAGACAUAUAUCAACACGUGAGAACAAUGAUUGAUCAACAUUACCUCCAUAGUAUUAUUAGAGUGAAUGAUUGUAUGAUAUUAAUUAAGCAUUAAGAUCUUGGGAACUUUAAUGAAAAAUUUCUGGUAUUAUUCAUUUUAAUAAAAAAUUAUAUUUUUACAUUAAAAAGUCAAUCUUAAUACUAUUCACUUUAUUCUUUAUUUUGUCCUUAUUGUUAAAACUCAAAAUUUUCAAGCCAUUUUCAUUAAUUUUCUUUAAGAUCUUUUGAUUUGGCAUGCGGAAGUGUGUGUUUGUAUAUUAUAUAGGGAUAAUACUAAGUUAGGUUCAUAUUAUCUUAACUAGUGAUAAAUUAAGGGUUCUUUCGAGUUAUUCGAAACAGUGGUUUAUAUUAUCUUGACAUACGUGCAACCAAACACAAAAAAGAGAGGCUGUAUUGGCUUCCAAAAUAAAACUAGAUGCAAACAAUAAUGUGGAGUUCCGGUUACUCUUUUGGAAUCAACCAAAGCUGAAUCAUUGAUGCCUACUUUCAGAAAGUUUUCCUUUUCUGCAUGCAGAUCUUUUCAAUGGAUGUAGCUCGUUUUGGGAGGUAACCACUUACUUCUUCGAGUUCAUUAAUUUUAGUCAAUCUAAAGUAAUUUAAUUAAGUUUAUUAACCUUACAAUUUUGAGCGUUAAUACUCAAUUUUGGAGGAAUUGCAUCACGUUUACGUAAAGGCAAUCGAAAUAAUAGAGUGGAAUUAAAUUUCAAUUACGGAAUACUCCAGUAUUUACUAAAUAUUGGAGAAUAAAAAAUUUGAUAGCACCCACUCAAUUUUUUUAAUCCAAUACUAAUUCAUACUCAAAUUUUGGAAUAAAAAAUCUAAUACUAAUUCGUACUCAUCAAAUGAAAGUAAAAUCUAAUUCUUCAUUUUUUAAGUACUUAAUUAUUGUAAUGUGAGUAAACGCAUGAAAAUCAUGAUUUAGAAUAUUUUCUAAUGCAGACUCUAAGUCUGAAAUUGAAAUAUAAAGAUAGCCCUUGAAGGGUCGAUUCUGGUUAAUCUAGGCAUGAGAAUACGAAAAAAUACACACAAAGUUAUUAAGAUAGCUUUCCUUUUUUAUAUUUUAGCGAUAGUCUAGUCUAAUCCAACAUUAGACCACAUUCAGUAAUUCAAACUAAGAGAAGGGGGAUUCAAACUUGGCUACACUCGGAUUCUCAUAUUAGGAUUGAUUCUGAAGUAAAAGAAUAUAACCAAGUUGAUCAAGAAAUUUCAAAAUUUCUAAUGGAAACUUAUUAGAAUUUUUUUGUGAAUGUGUUGAAGUUGGGAUUUUUUUGUUUUCGUAUUGAAGUUGGGAUUGAAACAGAAGAUAAAGCAUAAUAUAAAGUUUCAUUACAAUUAACAACAUGUUCUAUUAAAUGAAAGUGACUAAAUAUUGAAAAACAUGCUACGCCGCGUUGAUCAACUCCGGCAACGAGCAUUAGCACUGCAUCCACGGUUGUAGGGGUUGCUCUGAUUCUGAGCACCCGGCUUGCAGUUGUUGGAGGAAGCACCUCUCUGAGAGCAAGGAACAGUGUUUCUCUGCAGCGCUUCAUAGCUUAUGUUUCGUGAGGUGGCCAAGAUGCGCCUGCUAAUCUCCGAGUCCAUGCCAAACUCAUCAUCACGAUCAUCCAUGCACUCUGCUACAGAACCCUCGCAGCGAGGUCUCACUGGAGCCCAGCUCACCCCAUGAUCGCCGCCUGCAUCAACGGAGAUGACCAGAGCGGCCGCGAAAAUCAACGAAAAGAUAAUCGCAGAGGAAUUAGCCAUAGGUUUUGGUACGGUCUGUGUUUUUAGCUGCCAACUUGUAUUUUGUUGUACGCCUGUUUAAUUACAGAGGUAGAGAGAGGGGGCGGCAAGAAAGAGAAGAGAUAAUCGGUGAAAUUUUGAUGUGUAUAUUCUUUCACCCUAUUGUGCUAAUUAUAGUAGUAAAAAGGGAAAAUUUUUGUCUUUCAAGUAAUUCAUAGGAGUUAGGGAAAAUCCUUGUCUCUCAAGUAAUCCAUCUAAAAUAGGACAUUAUGUAAAAGAUAUUAUACAAUUCCAUAAGGAUUUACACAAUCAUAUUCCUAAUUAAAUUAAGACUGUGACAUAUUUAAAUUUGGUUAAAUAAAAAUUGGAUGUUGAUUUCUUUAAGGAGGUAAUUACUUAAUUGACAUGCUUUAAUUCAACCUUAUUCCAAUUGCAACAAAGACAGCUGAAAUUGAAAUAAUUCGUGAUUUAUUCAAAACCUAACAAGAAAACAAAAUCAACAACUACUACAAAAUAUGCUCGUAGAGAUUUCCGGGAUGUUUCUGCUCUUAAGUGUUUUUGCUAAAAGCUCUUUUAUCAGUACAAGGUUGAGACUUUAGUUAAAAAACUAAGUUGUUCUCGAAAAAAUAUAAGCAUGCCAAUAGAUUGAACUUGUUUACAACAUCAGCAUUAUAAUAAUAUCACACUCAAUUCAUUCUUGCUCAUAGAAUUAAAGACAAACCAAAUCAGAAACCGAAAUAAGCAACAGUGCUAACUAGCUUGCUCAGCUCUCAGGUCUUUAUUCUUGAAGAUAGUAAUAUUACUCAAUGUUCCAUAUCGUAUGUAUGCAUAAAUCUUGUGCUUGGCGCUUAUUCCUUGAUAAGAUGUGCAUCAACAUCUUUAAUGACAUUGACCAGAAAGCUGAGGUACUUCUGUGGAGGCGGAUCGUUCUCGUUGAGUUUUUUAUAUUCUAAAGUAAUUUUCACAGAACCUCCUUCACUAUUUGGAGUGACCUGGAAAAUGAUCUUGUAGCUUUUGUAAUUGUCCAGCACAUGUGAUCCUUCCAACCCUGUAAGACUCACCCGCUUGUUUGCUUCAUCUAUUUCCACCUUUUCCUUGUAAGUCUCGACAUUUCCAUCUACACGUCACAUGGAAGAGUAUAAUUAUACAGCUAUCCAUGGUCCGAUCCUUUAAAUAUUCAUCGUGUGGUAAUGUAAACCCUAUGCAUGGAGGUCUUGUCAUUUUUAAUUCUAAAAGUACAUAUAUAUGAGGUAACGCAAACCCCUAGCUUGCUAGGUUUCAAGUUAGCAUGCCUAAUUAUUUUGCAGCAGGUUAGUCUGUGGUAUUAAAAAAAAAAUGUUAGUCAUAAGUAUAACCUUAACAAUGUUUGGUUGUAAUUUGCUUGCUCCUUCAUGCAAUCUCACAGUCUCACUACCACCUCCACAAGUUUGCGGAGUAAGCAUCUUCAUUCGCCCCAAAAGGGCUUCGUUUCACUAUCUUUUACACAGCGGAGGCUGUAUAAAGCUACGACAGAACAAAAUUCGGCACCCGGGAGAGGGACGAUCUCCAGAGAUUCUUUAACAUUUUUUGUAUUUCUUUUUUUGUUGAAUCAUUUCUUGUAAUUUAAACAUUUAGCGUCAUCUUGUAAUUUAAAUAUUACCUAUGGUGUAUUUCCAGAGUUUGACAGAGCCAGAAGUUUCCCAGUCACCUUCAUGUACCGCAACAUCGUGUAUUUUAUCAGAGGCUGCUUUGGGGAAGUCAUAGUGCUGGUUGCUGAUGAAUUUGUACAGCUUAUCAGCGUUGGCUUUGAUCUCUACCUCAGCCUCCAUAGUCUCCAGCUUGCAAGUACCAGCUCCACUCACAGCCAUUUUAUUUUAUUUGUUCUUUAUAAUAUGUGAAUAACGAUAGUGUAAGUCUGGGGAAUUGUAGGAGACGUAUACAAACCUAUAGGUUUCCACUUCUUAUAUAUAAAGCCAUGUUAUAGUUACGGAGGCAGUAUGUGGAUAUUAUCCGAUCACUUAAACAGUUAAAUGAUAACAAUGUGAGAGUGGAUCUUCCACGUAAAAUUUUAUCACCACUACACACCUACCAGAAUAAAACUUUUUUCUUUUUUUUUUUAAUUAAAAGAAGAAAUGUCAAUUUCAUUCCGCAUUAUUAUCAUGGAACAAGACAUUAUUUUGAAUACAUUGAAGAAGAAAAAAAAAUAUAUAUAAUAAGUUAGAGGGGACAUGAAGCCUAGCCCUAACAAGAAGUAGAAAACUAUUUGAAACAACAAUCAAUUAAGACAACUCCUAAGAGAAACAAGAAUUUGGAAACACCGAAAGAUUAUGAGCAAAAGUCAUAACUGCACAUGACGGAUAAGAAUCACACAAAUAAUGAAAACUAACAUGAUCAACAUAAUAGUUUGCUAAACAAUUUGUUACAUGAUUUCCUUCCCGAUUAACGUGAGAAAACUGAACAUGCAUGGAAGAGAGAAUGGUAUAGUAAUUUGUCAAAUCAACCGAUAAACUAUGGUGCAUUGCCAAACAAGAAUUACACUCAUUUCAAAGAGAAUGCUGCUAACCCCUUUCGAAAGCAAUAUAAAUAACAUGAAUAAUAGCUUUAAGUUUCACUUCCAAAGCAGUAACAAUGCCAAAAAAAUCUUGUAUUAAAGCAUCAAAGAGACCCAAGUGAUCACGAAAAAUACCACAAAAACCAGCAAACUUGAUGAGACAUUUCAACACGUAUAUAUAUAAGAGGAUCAAUGAUUGAUCAACUUUACCUCCAUAGCAUUAUUGGAGUGAAUGAUUGUACGAUAUUGAGGCGUUUGUUUGGAUUUGGCACGAGGAAAUGUGUGUAUAUAUUGUAUAUAUAGUGAUAAAACUAAUUUAGGUUUAUAUUACCUUAACUAGUGAUAAAAUUAAGGGUUCUUUAGAGCUAAUAGAAAUCAAUGGUUUAUAUUAUGUUGACAUAACCUAGAGAGAGAAAAAAAAGAGGUUGUAUUGUCAUCAAAAUAAAAUUAUGACACAAACAAAUAAUGUGGAGUUCAUGUUACUUAUUUGGAAUCAAUCAAAGCUGAAUCAUUGAUGCCUAAUUUCAGAAAAGUUUUUCUUUUCUGGAUGCAGCAUCUUUUCACAGGAUUUUUUUUUCGGUUGUUGUAUUGUGAAGGAACUUCUUGGAUAGUUUUUUUUCCCUUUUACACUAGCUUAGUGUCUUCCUGCCAAAAUAAUGACACAGAAAUUUUCAUCAAAAGGGUUGGCGAUGUCGGGCAGCAAAUGUAGUUUCCCGUGAAAUUGCAAAACUUGCUCACAAUCUGAUGAUUUUGUCUCUUGGGUUGGCUCUCCCUUCUCCUAACUGCUGAAGACUGAUGAAGCAGAAAUUUAAUCAUCAAUGAAUUUCCUUGACUAAUCCAUUAUCUUUCCGUUGCCCGUUCUCUUUGAUUUGUUCAUAAUCCGAUUAUUGUUCAUUCCAAUUCCAAGCGCGUAAACGUGCCCUCAUAGUUAUGGACUUGUUCGCAUCGUUUAAUUUUCCUUGAAUACCUGACUUUGUCGCCUAUGGUUUCACAAGAAAAUAAUCUCUUUGUUAAACCAGAAAAUUUAACGGUUCAUUAAUUAGCAACUAUUUCAUUUUUUAACAAUAUUUGGCUACUCAAAGGAUGAGUAAGAGUUCCUACUCAAACCUAUUUGUUGCCGAUCCAUAGAACUUCAUGUUUAUAAUAGAGCAGUUCAUAUUAGAAAUCACUUUAUAAAAAUUGUCUCUACAAAAAAUCAAUUAGACUAAGGUCGUUUAGUAGUCGAACUGUGAAAAAACAAAGGAAAGAAAUUGGUGAAAACAUUACAAACCAUUUAUGUAUUUACUAGAAUAAAUUGACUAAAUGACCUUAAUUUUAAUUCAAUUUUUGCAGAAAUGAUCUCCACAGUGUGAUUCAUAAUAUGAACAGUUCUGUUCAUAAGCACAAACUUCAGUGAUUCGAACAUGAAAAAUUUUGAGUGGGAGUUCUUACUCAUCUUUGAGUAGCCAAGCAUUGUUCUUCAUUUUUUUUUAUGUCAGUAAUAGUCUGACAAAGAACAAUAAUAAGUAAACUGUGAAAAAAAAAAUAUUUUACAAAUGGAAAAACAAACAAAAUGAAAAAGAAAAUAAAUUAAUAUUUUAAGUUGUUUUCACUUUGAAAAUUUUGUUUUAUUCAUUCCCUCUUUAUCUAAUUCUUAGCCUUCAUGUAUUGAAUUAUGCAUUGUAUUGUAGAAUCCAAAAAAAAAAAAAAAAAAAAACUUUUUUGGAAUCCAUAUGUGUAUAAGCAUGAAAUUAUAGCCCACCCAUAUGAAAAUUUUGACUCCGCGGUUGCAUGUAAGGAUAAACAUGCCAAUAGAUUAAACUUAUUCACACUAUAACAUAAAAAUGCUAUUACACUCAAUUAUAGAAGUUGCUCAAAAGACUAAAGACAGUCCAAGUCGGAACUAAACAACAAGGCUAUAGCUUGCUCUUCUUCCAGCCUUUAUUCUUGAAGAUAUAAGAUUAUCUCCCCUCUUAAUCUCUCUUUCCAUUCCUCCUCUCCUAUUUAAAUGUUUACCGCGUCAACAUCUUGUUUUAAAUUUAUUAUAUAGAGAAAAAGACAAAAAGAAAAGUGUAAGAUGAGGAGGGAGAAUGAAAUGGUAUUGGAAGGUAGAGAAUCCUACUCCAAGUGUUCGUUAGGGGAGAGGGGGACCCUGAGAGCAGAAGACUCUUCAUCUUCAGGUUUGAGAGUAAACGCUUUACUGUUGAAGAUAUAUAGUGAUUGACACAUCAUCAUAAGUGCUACAUCAGCUAUUGGAGUUAGUUAGUUUUUUAAGAAUCAGUUACACAAGUGGCUUAGCUGAUAAGCUACAUGUGCAGACUAUAUAAAGGAAUCAGGGGUCUUUUGUAUCUCUCUUCAUCCUUAUGAAAUAACAAAACUUUUACUCAUUUCUUUCUCUAGUUCUCUCUCUAUUCCUUUUGAUCUUUCUCUCUCUAUUCCUUUGAUAUUGCUUGCAUACAUUCAUCUGUUAGUUGUUAGAUGAAUGUUAUCAUGGUAUCUUCGCCGAGGGUUCGAUCUCGUGGUGUGUAUUUCCGCUGUGUUGUGCCAAAAGAUUGUCUUGAUUGCUGUGCUGUGCUUUAGUGGGUUAAUGAGCUUUUGGCGUUUGGGAAGUCAGACUUCGAGUUUAUCAGGUGUUAUUUUUCUUUUUGCACUCCAAGUGUGUGUGUAAUUGUCGCAAUGAUGAAUCUUUUGUGAAAGACUAAAAGUUGAAGGCCGAUAGCCAUUUCUUGAUGUUUGGAAUAUGAUAUUGAAUGUCAAUAGCCAUUUCUUGAUGUUUGGAGUAUGAUAUUGAAGGCCGAUAGCCAUUUUUCUGAUUGAAUAAUUGUUGAAGCGUUUUCUGUCAAAGCAUAAAGGCCGAUAGCCAUUGCUUUUGUUUGAGUGUUUGUUGGGUUUUUUCACAAGAACAAGGCCGAUAGCCAGUAAUGUGUGUUCUUGGAGUUAUUAUACUUCUUGAAGAUUGUUUGAGUACUUGAUUUCUUGAUUCAGUUUCUAUCAACAAUAUGGCGUUUAGUUCUAUCAAAAUUGAAAGUCUUUUGGGCAUGAUCACUGUUAAGUUGAAAGAAGAUAAUUUUGUCAAAUGGGAUUAUCAGUUUCAAUAGGUGCUUAAGGGGUAUGAUUACUUUGAUUUCUUUAGUGGGGAGUCUCAGUGUCCUCCAAAGUUUGUAAUUAAUACUGAGACUGGGGUCACUAAAGAAAUUACUACUGCAUAUAAAGACUGGGUUAAAACAGAUGUCUCUCUAUUGAGUUUGUUGAUUGCUACACUUUCGGAUGAAGCUAUAGACUAUGUCAUUGGGUGUAAAACUUCUCAAGAAGCUUGGAAAUCUUUUCAGGAACGAUAUGCAUCUGUAUCUGUUGUCCGGGUUAAUCAACUCAAGACUGAGUUUCAUACUGUACAUAAAGGUGCAGAUUAUGUUGACAAGUAUUUGCUUCGAUUGAAGGUUAUCAAGGAUCAACUGGUUGCUGCAAGGGAGAGAAUCACUGAGAAUGAUUUGGUCAUUGCUGCUUUGUCUGGUUUACCUCCAGAGUUUGAAAUGAUCAGGACAGUAAUCUUAGCAAGAGACACUCUGAUUUCAAUGAAAGAUUUUCGAGCUCAACUAAUUGGGGCUGAAGGCAGUAUUGAGUCUCGACUGACAACUUUAUCAAGUUCUAUGGCUGCCAUGUAUGUUCAGGGCAAUGGCUCGAAUACACAGGGAUCUCAGGGAAAUACUCCAAGUUAUGAACAAUGGGAGAGUUCAAAUGCACAAAGGUCUCAAGGGAGGAAUAAUUACAAUAGUGGUAAUAACAACAGGAGGUAUAAUGGGAAUAAUUUCAACAAUCGAAAAUUCUCUGGUGGUUAUAAUGGUGGGAAUAAUAAUUACAGGCCAUAUUCUACUUUUGGGAAUAAUGGGAAAGGUGUUCAAAAUGGAGGUUCUCAAAGUUAUUUUUCUGGUAAUGGAAGCAAACAAGGAAACACUUGGAAUGGUGAUACAAAUUACAGAAAUGCUAUAUCUCCUGAAUGUCAAAUCUGCUAUAGAAGAGGUCAUACAGCACCAAAUUGUUACUUUGGAGCUGAUAACAAUCAAUCAUCUGGAGGGAUCUUGGUAUGUCAGAUAUGUGGGAAAAUAGGUCAUCGGGAUUUGGAAUGCUUUCAUAGAAAUAACUUCUCAUAUCAAGGCAGUGCACCACCCACAUCUCUUGUUAGGAUGGCUGCUCAAGGCUCAAAUGUUGCAACUGAAGACUCAAAUAUCCAUGGUUUUUCAGCUGCUGAUACAUAGGUAGUUGACACAAGUGCAACUCAACCACAUGACAUCACAUGUCGAAGUUUUAAAUCAUAUCACUCCUUAUAAUGGUGAUGCCACGAUCACUGUUGGUAAUGGAGAAGGUUUGGUGGUUAAAAAUAUUGGUUCUUCUGUUCUUAACACUCAACAAAAGUCACUCAUUUUGCAAAAUGUGCUACAUGUUCCACACAUUACAAUGAAUUUGUUGUCUGUUAAGAAAUUAUGCAGAGAUAAUAAUUGCUGGUUUGUAUGUGAUGAUCUGAUCUUCUUGAUACAGGACAAAGCAACUCGAAGGAUUGUGUACCAAGGCCAGAGUGAUGAUGGGGAGCUCUUCAAGAUACCAAUAACAGUGCUGUCGAGAUCCAGAGUACCAAGUAUUGAAAGAUGUGCUGCUUUUGUUAGAAAGAAGCUAAAGACUGCAGUUUGGCAUAAAAGGUUGGGUCAUCCAUUUGAAGAAGUGCUUACUGCAAUGUUGAAUAAGUCUAAAGUAUUAGCUAGUAUAGAUUUGUCUCCAUCUAUAUGUACUGCUUGUAUUCAAGGCAAAAUGACUAAGUUGCCUUUCUCUGUAAGUCCCGAUAGGUCAAAAGUUGUAUUUGAAAGGAUACAUUCAAAUAUAUGGGGUCAUUCACCGCAUAGGUCAAUAGAGGGUUAUAGGUAUUACAUAAGCUUUGUAGAUGACUGCUCUCAAUUUGUAUGGAUUUUUCAGAUGGUUAAUAAAUCCGAUGCUUUUCCAAUCUUUACCAAGUUUCUUACAUUUCUUGAGAAUCAGUUUAAUGCUUUUGUUAAAGUUCUUCAAUCAGAUGGUGGAGGUGAGUAUAUGAGUAAUGUGUUUAGACAGUUGUUGGAGAUAAAAGGAAUUAUACACCAAGUUUCAUGUCAUCAUACACCACAACAAAAUGGUCUUGCUGAACGAAAACAUAGACAUUUGGUUGAGAUUGCUAUUAGUUUGCUAUCAGAUGCUCAAUUACCUUCAGCAUUCUGGUAUCAUGCUUGUUUUCAUGCUGCAUUCUUAAUCAAUAGGAUGCCAUCUAGAACUUUGAAGAUGUAGUCUCCCUAUCAAGUUGUGUUUGGUUGUGUUCCUGAAGUGCAGCAUCUUAAAGUCUUUGGUACUGCAGUUUAUCCUCUAUUGAGACCAUUUAAUAAAAAUAAAUUGGAGCCAUGGUUAGCUCAAUGUGUAUUUCUUGGUUUUGCUCAUGGAUAUAAAGGAGUUAUUUGUAAUGAUAUCAAGACUAGAAAGUUCAUUCUGUCAAGGCAUGUAGUACAUGAUGAAGAUGUAUAUUCGUUUAAACAAGUUUUGCCAUCUAAGGAUUCUACACCUACAAAUAGGUGUUCUCAGACACUUGUUUUGAUUCAGUUACAAGUUCCAAGUGAAAAAGUCCUGCCUCAUACACACAUACAACAUGAUUCACAAGCAGCUAGUUCUAUACAUAUAUCAGCAAGUGAUACUGGUUCACAUCACAGUAUUCCUGUAAAUGGUGACAGUAUAAAUAUGGUUGGUGAAUUGAAUGUUUCUAGUUCGGACAAUACACAGGUGAUUCAACCUAGUGAUCAGGAUACAAAUUCGACUGAUACCACUACUCUACAUGCAUCUCCAAGCUCUUCCCAUCAUCACUCUGGUACACAAUCCUUGUUGCAUGUCCACUCCGAGUCACAACUUGAGGUAAUCCUUCCUGAUUUAUCUCCAUUUGAUCUCAUUUUACAUACUGCACCAUCGACUUACUCAAUGGUCACUAGAUUGAAGAGUGGAACAAUUGAGAGACAAAAUUAUGCUGCUUUAAUAGCACAAUGUCCUGAGCUUUGUUCUCUCCAAAUCACUAAUGAAGAACCUUUCACGGGUGGCUAUUCCUUUCUUUCUGAGAUCACUGAUGCUUCAGAACCGAAGACAUUUCGGAAAGCGGCUACUAAUCCACAGUGGCAAAAGGCAAUGCAGGAGGAAUAUGAUUCACUUCGAGCACAAGGAACUUGGCUAUUGGUUCCUGCACCUGAAGAUAGAACAAUUGUAGGAAGCAGAUGGGUGAAGUGAAGAAAAACCCCGAUGGCAGUGUCUCUGAUGUGAAAAUUACUUGACACACAAAUUAAACCCUAUUGAUGACAAUUGUAGCAAAGAUGUUAGUAGGGAUCGUUCUAAACCGGGAAUUAACUAGGGCUGCUAAUCUACUCAAAUUAAACUCUAAAACACUAAACUAGACUUAAAAACACAAGAAUAGACUCUAUAGACUCUAAACUGACCUAAGACACUCAAAUCUGCAAAACUAAGUGAAAUUGACUCAAUUCUAAACCUAACAAGUGAAUUGGACGAAAUUAAAACUUACUUUGACUCAAAAGAUUAAAAGAAAACAGAUUGUAACUUAACUAACUUAGAAAACACUUAAAAGACUCAAAACAGCACAAUACUAACAAUUAGACUCAAAACAGAUUCUAGAGAUGAAAUUGGACGAAUUUAAGACUAAACUAAGACCCAAACAAUGGUUAUGGACUAAACCUAACCUAUAUUGACUCAAAACACUCUAAAGAACCUAAUUAGGACAGAUUCUGACCUAAUAACAUAAAACAGAAAAGGGUGUUUGAUUUCUGACGAAAUUGAAUUAAAACUAAACAAAUUGCAAAUCAAAGUAAACUAAAACGAAAUUAAGAUGAAUUCAAGGGUGAAAAGCUAGUUAGAGGAUCCUUCUCCACACAUGAACAUAUGCAACAUAAAUCGAUUUCCAGUAUUGUUUCUUUAAACCAUGAACGACAAUGCCCCAAAUUAAUCGUGAAUGCACAAAUUAACUCUCAGAUUUCCCUAAAUUCAUUGAAUUGGAUGAAUGCAUGCAACAACCCAAAUUAUUCUUCUCAAGUUCCCUAUAUGAACAUCAUGAUAGAGAUACAUUCAAAGAUCAUUAAAUUCCAUGGAAAUCAUAAGCAUUGACAAGGCAAUUAUAACUAUGAACUGCAUGAUACUUUUGCCAAGAAUCUACUUAACACGAUUGUGACUAACAAUCUCCACUACUUGUAAUUAUAAGUUUCUAACGAUUAGGUGAAAGUCCCUUAUAAUUUAGCAUCAGAUUCAAGCAUGCAAACUAAGUAGGCCUCCUUAAUCAACACACAAGAAUAAGUUAUCAAUCAAAUAGAUAAGUAAAUCGCAUUCAUGUUUUACGAAACAAUAACUGAAAGGAAUCAAUUCAUAUUAACAUAUGUCCAUGGCUUCAAAUUCACCACUAACUAAUAAGAGUUUAGUUCCACAUGUUCAUAACAAUUGAAACGCAAAUUAAAAUAAACAUCGAAACUGAAACGAGGGAAGAAAAAACUAUGAAAACUCCCAAGGAUGCAGAUGGCUUGCGCACAAGGCCCUCCUUCAUCAAUGGAAUGCACGACAAGGUUCUCCUUCUUCUCCAAAAGGUGCGGCAGAGAUGUAUAUGGAUGUAGGAUGGUGUUUUGUGAUGUAGAAUGGUGAUUAGGGUUGCGGCAAGGUGUUUCUGAAUGGUGAAGGGUGGUGACAAAUUUAGGCCUUAAAAACACAUAUAUAUAGGCAUGGCAAAGCUAGGGUUUUCACAAAAUUUGAUGGGAAAAGGUUAGGGUUUUGGAGAUAAAAGGCUUGGCCCAUUCAAAGGAGAAAAGAAUUAGGGUUUUAUGCAGAUUCCUAGGCUUCUAGAACACUAGGUGCGGCACAACCCUAGGGUGGAUGGACUAGGGUUUAAAUUUAGCAGAAAAUAAAGGAUUAGGGCCCUAGGGUGCGGCAUGGGCUUAGAACAAAGCUGAAAAAGGAUUAGGAAACUUCAAAUUCAAGAGUAGAAACUUUCAAGAAUGGAAACCUCCAAGAAUAGCAACUUCCAACUUUAGAAACUUUGGUUUCCAAUUCUGAACUCUUUGCUCUUCAUGUUCAUUUCUUCAUUUCUUCCCUCCUUUGAUCUUCAAUUUCGUUCAUCCCUUUGGCUCCAAGCAUGUGAUAUCCAUUUUAUGCUCAAAACUGCUUCAAAAGGCUCCAAAUUGCACUUUCUCGCCAACUUUGUCAUUUGGACCUAAAAACACACGAAAAUAGCUUAAAACACUAUAAUAACCACAAACUAACUAUAAAAGUGCAAGAAAACAAGCUAACUAAGUUGCAUAAAUAUGCUCCUAUCAGUCUCCCAGUAUAAAGCAAGGCUUGUAGCUCAAGGGUUCUCCCAAGAACAUGGUAUUGACUACUUGGACACAUUUAGUCCUGUUGUUCGACAUACUACUGUAAGGAUUAUUCUUUCUUUAGCUGCCAUGAAUCAUUGGACUCUUCGACAAUUAGAUAUCAAGAAUGUUUUUCUACAUGGAGAUUUACAAGAAGAAGUUUAUAUGCAGCAACCACAAGGGUUUAUUGAUCCAUCAUAUCCUUCUCAUGUUUGCAAAUUGGUCAAGUCAUUAUAUGGCUUGAAACAGGCUCCACGCGCGUGGAAUUCAAAGUUUACAAGUUAUUUGACAGUUAUGGAGUUUCAUGCCUCAGCUUCUGAUACAAGUUUGUUUGUCAAGAAGGAUGACUCUGAUAUCAUCAUCUUAUAACUUUAUGUUGAUGAUAUCAUCUUAACUGGUUCUAAUCCUUUGAAGAUCCAAAAAGUGAUUCAAGAAUUAUCUGAGGUAUUCGAGUUGAAGGAUAUGGGACAGCUUACAUAUUUUUUGGGUUUACAAGUUCAAUAUAAAGCGGAUGGCAGUGUUUUUGUUAAUCAGUCUAAGUAUAUCAAAGAUCUUGUCCAUAAAGCAGAUAUGGAAUCGUGUAAACCAGCAACCACUCCGUGUAAACCUCAUCAUCAAAUGUUACACUCUGAGGGACAAUUGUUGACAUAUCCAACUUCCUAUAGAAGCAUUGUGGGAUCUUUACAAUAUCUGACCUUUACUAGGCCUGAUAUUGCCUUUGCUGUAAACACAGUAUGUCAGUUUAUGUCCUCACCAACUGAUGUUCAUUUUGGCGUUGUUAAACGCAUCAUUCGUUAUCUUCAAGGAACCAUGAAUAUUGGUAUUACUUUUUCUGCAAACACAGUUUCAAAGCUUACUGUGUUUUCUGAUUCUGAUUGGGCUGCAGACUUGAAUACUUGUCGGUCUAUCACUGGUUAUGUUGUGUACUUAGGCAAUAAUCCAAUUUCUUGGCAAUCGAAGAAACAAAACUCGGUAUCCAGGAGUUCUACUGAGGCUGAAUAUAAAGCCUUAGCACAUACUGCUGCAGACAUAGCUUGGAUUCGCAAUAUAUUGAAGGAUUUGGAUGUACUUUUGGAUGCUCCACCAACAAUUCACUGUGACAAUAUGUCCGCUAUUGCCUUAAGUGCCAAUCCGGUGUUUCAUUCAAGAAUCAAACACCUUGAUACAGACUACCAUUUUGUACGCGAACGAGUGCAGCAAGGCGAUCUGGAGGUGUUGUAUAUCCCAACUGAGGAGCAAACUACCGAUGUUCUUACCAAAGGUCUUCACAGUCCUUCACUUGUCAAACAUUUUUACAAUCUCAAGCUGGAAAAUCCCGGUUGAGAUUGCGGGGGGAUGUUGAAGAUAUAUAGUGAUUGACACAUCAUCAUAAGUGCCACAUCAGCUAUUGGAGUUAGUUAGUUUGUUAAGAAUCAGUUACACAGGUGGCUUAGCUGAUAAGCUACAUGUGCAGACUAUAUAAAGGAAUCAGGGGUCUUUUGUAUCUCUCUUCAUCCUUAAUGAAAUAACAAAACUUUUACUCAUUUCUUUCUCUAGUUCUCUCUCUAUUCCUUUCGAUCUUUCUCUCUGUAUUUCUUUGAUAUUGCUUGCAUACAUUCAUCUGUUAAUUCUUAGAUGAAUGUUAUCAUUUACAUCCUACACCAUGCUAAUAAUAUCCACCAAUUCUCUAUUUUAUUUAAAAAUAAAUAAAAAAUAUAUAUGAGGUAACGCAAGCUCUAGCUAGGUUUCAAGUCUACCAUGUUUAUUUUGUAGCAAGCAAGUGGAAUUAAUUAAGAAAAAUUUCAGUUUGGGUUAGGAGGAUAGAGGAGGGUGAUUAAUAUUACCUUUGGUGUAUUUCCAGACUUCACAGAGCCCGAAGUUUCCCAGUCCCCUUCAUUUACUGCAACAUGGUGGUACAGUAUCAGAGGCUCGGGAAUGUACACGUGGUGCUGGUUGCUAAUGACUUUGUACAAACGAUUUAUCAGCGUUCGCUUUGAACCCCCCAGUCUCCAGCUUGUAAUCACCAGCUCCACUCACAGCCAUUUUUUAUAAAGGAAAUUAAUGAAAAUGAUUCGAAAAUUUUGAAUUUUAACUAUAAUAAUAAAUAAAUGGUAAAGUAAAUAGUACCAUGAUUGAUUUUUAGUGUAAAUAUAUUAUUUUUCCUUAAAAUAAACAAUAUCAGAAGUUUUUCGUUCAAAUUCUCUUUUUUUUAAUUAGUAAUUAAUAUUAAAGUUCAUCUAAGAUUAUUUUUUAAAGGAGAUAUAUAUUAAAAGUAUCAAAUAGAAAAACAAGACAGCAUCAUUUAAAAAAAGGAAAACUAAUGAAAAUUGCUUGAAAACUUUGAGUUUUAACGAUAAAGACAAAAUAAAAAGUAAAGUAAAUAGUACCAGGUUUGACUUUUUAAUGUAAAAAUGUGGUUUUUCGUUAAAGUGAACAAUAUCGCUGGUUUUUCGUUAAAACUCCCUUCAAAAAAAGGGAAAGGGAUCAUUUUCGGAUUUGUUCUACCUAAUCAUCCUCAUCAAAUAAUCCGAGCUUUUAAAAUUUGAUCUAACGGCUAAAGUUAUUAUAACUUUUAGAAUUAGCCCGUAUUUUUAACCGUUUAAUCAAAUUUUAAUGAUCUGAAUUAUUUGAUGAUGAGAAUUAGAUAAAAAAGAUUGAAUGAUCGCUUUUCCAAAAAAGGAAAAAGAAAAACAAGACAGCAAGUUUCUUUUAACAGAUGAAUUUUAUUAGAGGUGGAACUGGUGUCCAACAUCCCAGGUGUUUUCUGAUAGCAUAACCCAAUAACGUCAAAUCCAUUAAUUUGAUUAUUUAAUAAAUGGCUCCCACAAUAGGAUUUGGAUCCUCUCCGAGGCAAUUGGUCGGAUCCUUCUGAUCAAUGUUUGUGGACUGUUAGAUUUUUAUUCAACGACUAUAAAUAAGGGGACAUUCUAAAGUUAUAAUAAUUGUAGUCGUUGGAUAAAAAUUCAACGGUCCAUAUACAUCGAUCUGGAGGAUCCCGACUCGAAGAGGAUCCAAAUCCCCCACAAUACACCAAUCACGUACCCCACCCAACCAAUUUACACAAUUUUUAACAGUAGGUCCCACAAUAUAUAAGAAAAAAGAAAUUUGACUCAUCAUUUGAAAAAAUAAAAAAAAAUUAACAUUUAACUUCAAAUACUCAUUUUAGUCAUUAAAUAAAAUUUAACAAUUUAUAAAUGAGUAAUGUUAGAGAAGCUAAUUUUUUAGACUAAAUUUUAUAAAUUAUAUGUAUUUGUUAACGAUUAAAUUAUUAUUUAAGUGUUGCUUAAUGUUUAUAUAGAGCCACAACCCACAAAGUCCUAGACAAAUAGCAUGUUUUAGUUAUGGAGGCAGUUGUGGUGGAUAUGAUCUGAUCACUUGAAGAAAAUGACGAGUCUGCGGAUCCUUGUGCAUCUUCAUCUUUGACAUGGGAGGUUUUAUGACUAGACCUACCAAAUUUAAUCACAACAGCGAACUUGAUAAUGAGACAUCAAUAAUUCAACGAUUCAGAAAACUUCAAUUAAAUUGGGACCCAUAAAUAAAUAUGCUAUUACUUCUUUUGUAAUCAAAGCUGGAUCAUUGAUGCCUAAUUCAGAAAGAGAAGUGUUAUUGGCACUUCAAAAGUCUCAUUGUACACUCUUUACAAGUGUAUUUUUCUUUCUUAAUAUAGAAAAUUUGGAGUGUAGAAUAAGAUUUUUGAAAUGCUACUAACAAUUCCCUUAAAAAAAAAAAAGGUUUUUAUGUUUUGCAUGCAACAUUUGGACACAGGAAUAUUCUUUGGGAUUCUAAUUGCGCAUACGUAUUAUCUUUCAAAUAUAUAAAAUUUGAAGUGCAAUUAAAUUUUUAGAAUGUAAAUAAAAGGGGAAACUUGAUAUAACUUCAAUUUUUUGAGCCAAUAGUAAGAAUAGUCCAAUUUAUUAAAAUAAGUCCAAUUCUUUAAAUUUAAUUAUUUUAUUAUCAAUAAUUAUCUCUUAAAAGAAAAAACUUAUUGUAAAAAUCAAAUUUCUUCCUAAUUAUCUCUUUGAUUAUUUCUUUUUAUUUAUUUAUUUGUUAUUUCUUGUUCUUCCUCCUGCUUUAACCCAUUUAUAGAUUUUUUUAAAUUUUUAUAAUCAACCUAUAUCAUAGGUUAAUUGUAUUUAUCUACCUAUAUGACAUAUUCUCUUUCAUAGUCAACAUGUCACAUAUUAAUGUGUCUUGCUUGUAGGUAUAUUAUAUUUUUUUCUACUUUUUAGUUAGGUUUCAUAUCUCACUUAUAGGUAUAAUAUACAUUCAUAUAUUUGCUACUUGAGUUAGGGUUUACUGUUUUGCAGAUAGAUUUAUGUUAGUAUAUUAAUUUUUUUUUGUUUAUAAGAUAUUAGUUAGAUAUUUUGGAGUUGAAAAAUGCAUAAUAUUAAAAUAUUUUAAUUGAUUUUUAAUAUUUUUAGAAAAUAUAAAAGGAGUAUAAAAGAAAUAAAAACAUAUAAUUAGAUAACUGGAGUCACUUCUAAAAACACUCUAUGUUUUUUGACCUGGAUCUAAAAGCCCCUAAAUAAAAUUACCUUCUUUUAUUGGUUUUUUUUUAAGGCUCGCAAAAAUGGUUGUCUUUGUUGUUUGGCGAAGGAACUUCAUGGAUAUCAUCAUAUUGUGGUCUUCUUUUUCACUUGUAUUGCUAAAAAAUAACUAAUUACAAAUCAAUUUUCAUCAAAAGGGUUGUUAAAUAAGAUAUUAAUUAAUGCUAUUUUUUUUCUUGAUACUGUUUGGGUCUCUCAACCUCGAUCUAUUAUUUUGCAUUUUAUUUCUUCCAUGAUCAUAUGUGUCUCCAUUGUUUAACAACAACUAAAAAUACUAUUGUUUCUUUAAAAAAAGUACUAUGUAUUUGACUAAGGCGAUUUUAUAUGACGAUGAGCAACAAAGUGGAGAUGGUGCACUACACCUUUUAUUUUGCAUACCAUAGUUCAUACAUUACAAUCUCACAUAUGAUAUCCCUUCACGUACAUUUGUUACAAGGCAACUUACAAAGCAAAGCAUUUUAAUUACUUGUAAUCAAGCAAAAGGCACGCAUUAUUAACACAAAUAUUAUAUACUAACGAUGGACGUCACACUGUUUCACCAUUGCAUUCUUUUCCUUUCCUUAAUUUAUCAUGCCUUGAUAAAGUGAGCAUCAAGAUCCUUGACGAUGUUAACCAUCAAACCGACGUAUUUGUCCGGACUGCAACAUCCUCAGUCAGUUUCUCAUAUUCAGUCGACAAUUUUGCAAUGUUGUCUUCAUUCUUUUGAGUGAAUUGAUAGACUGGCUUGAAGCUCUUGUAAUACUGGAAGACAUCUCCUUUCAGUCCAUUCAGUGUUAUGGAUUUGUUCUCGUUGUUUGACUACACUUUUUCCUUGAAUACUCGAACUUCGUCCCCUAUGUAUUCACAAGAAAGUGGUCUCUAUAUUGACCAAGGAACAAUAUAAAGGGAGCGUUUGAUAAAUAAUUUGUUUUAAGUUUUCACAAAAAUGAAAAUUGAAGUUAUUUUUGUCAGUUUUCUAAAUUUAUAUUAGUAAUUUUUAUUUUUUGAAGACUGAAAUAACAUGAGAUGGUUGAAUUAUUGCGGCACACCUCGAUUCUUUACCAACAUAUUUUGUUCUAAUUAUCCAUUAUAUCAAUAUAUAUUUUUCACGUAUGGGUUAAAAGUUGUUCGCUUGUGAAUCAGGGUUUAGUUAUUGCGAUCCUUCUAGUAUUGCUGGAUUAUGAUUAACAUAUAAUUGUGUUCUGAUCUUAGAGAAAAAAGGUACAUACCAUGUUAAAUACAUGAAGGUAUUUAUAUAUAAAUAUAGAGCUCGUUUGGAUGUGCUUUUAAAAUGGUUAAAAACACUUUUAGAGAAAGAAAAAAAUUUGUUCCAAAAGCACUUAAAUUGCUUUCUGCAAGAAGCAACAGUUAUGUGCUUUUCCAGGAAGCACUUUAAAUGCUUUUCCAGAAUUAACUUACAUUUUUACCAAGGAUUGGUUUUAAAAACAUUUUCACAAAAAAUGUUUUCAAUCAUUUUAAAAACAUAUCUAAACAAACACAUAUAUUAUGCACGUAUACUGAAAUUCCAACUUUUGAUAGAUCGAGCCAUGAGUUUCCUCCUUCAUGCACGUGAACUCCCUGGAUACUUCCAGAAUAAAUUUUUGGGACGUGUGGCGAGCCUGGCUAUUGAAGAUAUUGUAGAACUUCUCAGCAGGUGCCUUAAUUUCAAUCUCUGUUCGUGCAGAGUCAUGUUUAUGAUCAGUUGGGAUGGUGCUCAACAAUGCGUCGCCAAGGCCUGUUCUAAAGAAAACUUAAGGUCACCCCUCUACUGCUACAGUUAAAUUAUGCAAUAUUAAUUUAUGCUAUAACUUUGAAAAAGUAGUGCUUCGAACGAUCGCAUGAAAAACAUUCGUUUAUUAAAAAAAAGGUAAAUCGUCAAAAUGGUCCUUGAGAUUUGUAUAACUUAUCACUUUGAUCUCUAAGAUUCCAAAUCGAUAAAAGUAGUCCCUGAGAUUGUCUACCAUCCAUCAUUUUGGUCAUUCGGUUAAAAAAUCCGUUAAGUGUCCCGGAGCUCUUAGCCGGAGGUUUGGACAAUUUUCAAAACUUCGUAACUCAAUCGUUUCUUAACCAAAUUUGACCCAUAAUAUAUCAAAAUGAAGAUAGGAAAGUGUAGAAUAAGAUUAUACCUAUUUCAAAGCCCAAUGGUUGCCGAAGAUUGUCAGAAAAUAGCCUCAAAGUUGACUGGUUCGAGUGAAAACUUGAAAACUCGCUGGAAACUGAGUAAACUUUAAACGUUCAUAACUUCUUCAAUACUCAACGAAAUCAAGUGAUUCAAAAACAAAAAUCAUACUUCUCGAUGAGAUGAAGAGAAUGAUACCUUUUUAGAUGGCUAAAUCGUCGUGGUUUGGCCGGAAAGCAGCUCGAAAGUGGCUAACUCGAGACCAAGAUAGCCACUUUCAAGCCGUUUUCCGGCCAAACCACGGCGAUUUAGUAGUUAAAAAAGGUACCAUUCUCUUUGUCUCAUCGAGAAGUAUGAUUUUCAUUUUUGAAUCACUUGAUUUUGUUGAGUAUUGAAGAAGUUAUAAAGGUUUUGAAGUUUACCCAGUUUCCGGUGAGUUUUCAAGUUUUCACUCUGACCAAUCAACUUUGAGGCUAUUUUCUGGCAAUCUCUGGCAACCAUUGGGCUUCGAAAUAGGUAUAAUCUUAUUCUACACUUUCCUAUCUUCAUUUUGAUAUAUUAUGGGUCGAAUUUGAUUAAGAAACGAUUGAGUUACGAAGCUUUGACAAUUGCCCAAACUUCCGGCCAACAGCUCCGGAACACUUAACAGAGUUUUUAAUGGAAUGACCAAAAUGAUGGAUGGUGGACAAUCGCAGGGACCACUUUUAUCGAUUUGGAAUCUCAGGGACCAAAGUGAUGAGUUAUGCAAAUCUCAUGGACUAUUUUGACGAUUUAUCCUUAAAAAAAAUUCAGAUAAAGAAAAUGAGAAAUUAAUUUCUCAUCCCUCUUUUUUCUAUUACAUUGAUUAAAAUCUUAUUUUUGAUCAAGGUCCUAACUUUCAAUGAACGUCAUUAUUUCUGUUAUAAAUUAUUUAUAUAUCAACAUAAUUAAAUUUUAUUUUUGAAAUAUAUUCAAUUAGUAUUAGAAACAUUACAUUUGGUACAUUUAUAUUUAUCAUUAAACUUUGUAUCAUAUAUUUCUAUUUUUAGUUUGUACCAUUUUUAAUUGGCAACCCUUUUUUAAUUUGUAUCAAUUUUCUUUUUAAUUUUAAUGUGUACCGAUAUAUUAAUUUCAUUUUGUGCCCAUAAUUUUUUUUAAAUUUUUUUAUACUCAUAAUUCAUUUAUAAUGUACCCAUAUUUCAUUAAAACUCUUUUUUUUUCUUUAUAAAUGUACCACUUUGUUAUAUGUAAGAUGUACCAAAUUGUUUUUUUUGUAAAUGUACCAUUUUUAUGUAAAAUGUUCCCAUAUUUAAUGUAAAAUCUAUUUAUUUUUUUAUUAAGAAUGUGUACAUAUUUAUAAUAAAACGUUCCCCUUUUCAAUUUUUUUGAACACUAUGGGUACAUUUGUUUGACAUUUAUUAUUUCAAAGGUAUAUUGUUACCUAUUUUUAUCUAUUUAUUCAAUCAAAAUUUUUGAGUAUUUUUUUUAUUGUAAUCGUUUUUAAUUUAUAUGCUAUAUAAUAUGGGAUUUUAAAUCUCAUAACAUGUCAAGUAAUUAAUAUCAAACAAUGAAAAUACAUAUUAAUAGCCAUAAUGAGGUGUACCUUUAAAGUCAAGGGACUUUGAUAAAAAAUUGAAUACUAUUAAAGGUUUAGUCAAAUAAUGUUAUUGACUAGGGACUGAAUCCAAAGUCUCUCUAAAAAAUAUAUAUAUAUAUAUAAGACAAACGUACGUAAUCACUUUCGGUUCGAUUAAGAACAUGAUUUGGAUCAAUAAUAUUAGGGUGCUAAUAUUGAUAUCAUUAGAUUUCAAUUACUAAUCACUGGUUUUUUUGCAAUAUUAUACUUUUACUCAACUACCACAUUUUUUCCCUUCUGGAUGUAUGAAAAUUUAGGUAUUGCGUUCGUUCUUUUUUGAGAAGUCAUCGCCAACUCCCUUGCCCUACUAUUUUUAUCAAGGAAAAACUCCCCAUGUUUAAAAGCUGUAUAAUUAACCAGGAUGAAUGCUGGACAACUGUCGAAAGCAAAACUCAAAGUUCAUUGUAUAAUUAUAACAGUGAGACUACAGCCUGACGAAGAACAUGAUUGUCAAAAGUUAUAUAAAAAAAAUGAUAUCAGAGUAAAUCUCCAAUGAAUCGGAAAGUGAGUCUUUAAAAUAUAGAGUCUUAAGUGGAUUAGUGUAGAAUAUCUUUUGUACUAAAAAAAAAGUUAUGUAUAUAAUGUUGAGAAUGAAUCCCACAUUGAUAGGAGGAGUGAUAAGGAUUUUUAUCACCUGCAAAUAUAAGGAUAAAAACACUUAAAAAUACUUGCAAAAGUACAAGGUUGUCGUAGUAUAGCAGUUCAAGCAAGGUCAUUUUUCACAGGAAUUGAAUGCAUAGUUUAUGUUUAUACUAAUUCUUAGCUAAUUAUUUAGAACAAAGAUUGGAAAAGGUUGAUUUUGAAUUUAAAAAUAAUAAAAACGAAUUUAAUUAAAAACAAUUAAAGGAAUUUACUAGAGAACAAUUUAAAGAAAGUCAAUUUGUAAAGAUUAGGGUUCCGCCGUUCCCUUAACAAUCCUACGCAAUUUUACCAAUUACUUAUGAAUUUCCACACACAUGCUUUGAAGGUUAGGUUUUCCUAAUGCAUAUUUUUCUCGUGAUGUUCAAGCGAAAACAUAAAUCUAACAUGCAACCCUUUUGUAAUGUUCAGAUCAAAUAUAAACAUGCAAGACUCAUUAAGCUUUGUGAAAACCCUUUGAAAAACCAUGGAACCCUUAAGAGCGUGAUGUUCGCCUUAAGUGAACUUACAAUUACUAAUCAUAAGAAGCCCUCCUCAAUUUCAGGGUGAUGUUCUGUCACAUCCCGGCAUCGUGCUAGGUAGAUAUGAGAAUAUACAUAUAAGGAUCACUCCCCUGGGCGAUGUGGGAUCUUACAAUCCACCCCCCUUAGGGGCCUGACGUCCUCGUCGGCACACCACAACCAGGGUUAGGCUCUGAUACCAAAUAGUCACAUCCCGACCUGGGCCCCCAUCACAUCCCGGGCUCGACUCCACCGUAGCACGAUAUUGUCCGCUUUGGGCCCCGACCACGCCCUCACGAUUUUGUUUCUGGGAACUCACACGAGAACUUCCCAGUGGGUCACCCAUCUUGAGAAUGCUCUCGCGCGAACUCGCUUAACUUCGGAGUUCUUAUGGAACCCGAAGCCAGUGAGCUCCCAAAAGGCCUCGUGCUAGGUAGAGAUGAGAAUAUACAUAUAAGGAUCACUCUCCUGGGCGAUGUGCGAUCUUACAUGUUCCAACCGAAAUUGCAUCAAAUUACUUGUCUAAAAAUCCUAAUGGUCGCAAAUUACUAAGACAAUUAGAUAGCUUUAAUCGCAAUGAUUAAUAAUUCAAAGCAAGCAUGCAUCCAUUCAUAAGGAAAUUAAUAAAAUCACAUAUUCAUGCUAAGGCUCAUGGCUUCGCCCUAGCAAACAGAAAUUAGUUACGAACUAUAAAAACUAAAGAAAAUAUAUUAACUAGAAAAAGGAUUGAAAACACCUUGUAGGUAAAAAGUCUGAAAUUCUCCAAAAUAAUGUGUGCCUUCUCCCCCUAACCUUAAUGGCUAAAAAGCCUUAUUUAUACUACUCCAAAUUAAAACCCUCAUAGAAAAGGUUUUCUAAAAACUAGGAAAUAAAAUAACAAAAGGAUAACUAAGAAUUGCAUUCCUAUUAUGACUAUGAAAUCUGCCCAUAAAAAAGAUAGCCAUGUUUCUGGAUCUUCAGGGUUCCAAAACAGACCCAAAAUGGCUAGAAUUAAAGAUUAGGACCUCCUCUUCAAGUUAGAAGAAGAACCCAAGUCCAAAAUCCAUCAUCUUCCAACCCAAAAGUCACAAAUAAGCUCUGCAGCCCAAUCUGCCAGCACUGCACGCUGGGCAUAAAUUAAUUCACCACGAUCUGAUGCUUUGAGAUAAAAUUAUGAAAUUCUGAUACAAUCUUCUUGACAGACUCACGAACCCACUCCAAUUGGAAUCACUAAAAAAUUCCACCGUUUGAGUACUUUAUGAUCAAAACAAGUUCGCAUGUCCUACAAUAAAAACAUAGAGCAAAGCCUCAAAAUCUCACUAAAAUAAUAACCAAAAUAUACCAAGAAUAGGGAAUAAUAUAUAGUAUAAAAUUGACUCAUUAGGACAUUGCAUGAACUUAUAAGUAAGUUGGGCUACUUUCUAUAUUGCCAAUUGGUUUUAUGGUGUAACCUUAACUUUCUUCAUACCCAUGUGUGAAGCCAAAAGACCACGCACGCUCCAUGUCACCCAUUUGUGUUGUUCACGUAUUAGACUUGAAAAUUCGCCACACGUGAGGGCGCGUAUUAAGAAUGAAUCUCACAUUAAUGGGAGGAUAAAUCUUGCAUGCACCUAUAAGUAGGUUGAAAAACAAUAUUGGACAAAUAUUGUAGAGUACACCACAUUUUAUUUUAUAGAUGCGAUCGACAACCAUAAUCUAUUACAUCACAAUGUCAUAUAUGACAUCCUUCGUACAUCUUUUACAAUACACACAAACCUAAUUAAGAAAAGCAUUUUAUUUAAGUAGGUACGCAUUGAUGAACAUAUGCAUGCAUGAUUACAUAUAAUUGAACCCUUUUUAACAAGACCAGCAAAAGCUCUUUCCAACCGUUGCAUAUGACGUAUGGUUUUUAUUCAUUAAUUAAUUAAUUUAUGCUCCCAGAAGGUGAGCGUCAAGAUCCUGGACGAGUUUAACCAUCAAACCGACAUAUCUAUCUGGAGCUUUAACAUUCUCAUGCAGUUUCUCGUAUUCGAUCCACAGGUUGGCAAUGCAGGUGCCUUCAUCUUUUUGAGUGAAUUUAUAGACACCCUUGAAGCUCUUAUAAUACUUGAACACUUCUCCUUCCAAUCCUUUCAGAGUUGCGGCUUGUUCCCAUCGUCUAGCUCCACCUGUUCCUUGAAUAUCCCGACAUGAUCCCCUAUAUAUAUGCAUGCAUGCAUUCAUGGUUAAUUUCAUAACAACAAAAUAUAUAAACUUUCUCACCCUCUCUUAUUAGGAUCUUGUUUCCACUGUAGCAAAAAGGGGGCAAUAUGACUUAUUUAGGAAACAUGUAUUUACUGUAUAUGACUCUCAUUGUCUAGAACAAAAAUUGAAGGAAGCAUUGAAAUAUAUAUAAGAGGUCAUAUAUGGUAAAUACAUGAUUUCUACGAUUGUUCUAUCUCGACCUUGUUUUUGCUACAAUAAAUCAGAAUUUCUGCGAAAAAGCUGUAAACAUUGAAACUCGUGCUAUGAACGUAUGAUGAUUUGAGCGCAUCUGUUAAGGUAUACAUACAUAUAAAGUGAAUAAUUAAACAGGAAAAUUGAAUUAAGUAGCGGUACCUAGUUCAUAUUUCCAAAUCUUAACAGAGCCGUGUGUUUCCCAAUCUCCUUCAUGCACAUCAACUCCUUUGAUAUGGGUAUUAGAGAUGUUUGGGAUGAGGUGGGCGCUCUUGAACAUGUUGUACAACUUGUCAGCUGGUGCCUUAAUUUCUAUUUCAGUCCCAAUUUUACCAUGCAAAACCAUGUUUAUGAGCAGUUUUGAUGGGUGCUACUCAGAAAUUAUAAGAGAAGAAUGUUAAAGGAUAUGUAUAAUUUGGGCUCCUACCCUCCUUAAAUAGAAGCGACUAGAGUUAAAUUGCGAGAUAAAACUUAAUAUAUCCGGAACACGAUACAGUACGCCAUAUAUAUAUAAUAUGUAAUAUAAAUAUGGAGGGAAAGUUUUUUUUUUUUUUUUUUUUUUUUUUUGCAAGUGUUUCUCUACUUGUGUAGACGUAUGUACCCGUGUUCUAGAUAUUAAAAAUUCUCCCGUAAUAUUUUAAUAGUGGGUAAUCCAAUUUAAAAACCAAAUCAUGCAACACGUGAUAAAGAUUAAGUCAUAUAUUUUUUAAAUCAUACUUCUCGGAUAAUUGGAAUCCUAUGAAGUAAUGAUCACAAGUUCACAAUAUGCAUGGAUAGAUGAAGGGUUUGCUCAUGAUUAAUGUUAGGGAGACCAAAUUUCUAAAUCAAAAUUUGUAAACAAAAUAAUGUGGAGGUAAAUGAUUGAAUUAUUAUUUAAGUGUUAAUUAAUAUGCUUGUUUCUUAUUAAUAACAUAUCAUUUGAUUUGCAUUCACGCAUGCGAUAAAGAUUAGAUUAGUACGAUCACACUAAAAAUUUAUAUGUAAAUGUUUUAAAAUAAAAUGUAAUUUAUCUGCAAAAUGUUUUUUUUUUAAAAGGUACGAUAUUCUUUAAUAACAAAUUUAUACGUACAUCAAUGAGGAUAGGGUGUAAACAAAUGGCCUCGAUAAAAACCUUGCCGGGGUUUUUAACCCGAUCGAAGAGAGAUUUUUCAAUGUGACCGUCACACAAGGAGGUACACCACGUGUCUCUAUGUAAAUGGUUAGAUAUGUGUGUUAAAAGAUUAAUAACUUAAAAAUUAAAAUUUUCCACCACUUACAUAAAAAUACGUGGUGUACCAUCCGUGUUCCUGUCACAACUAAAAAUUUUCCCCGGUUGAAGGGAAAAAGAGUGUCCCACACCAACAUAAUUAAUUAAGAAUUGCUAUCCUAAAAAAGAAGAUCAAGAAUUACAUUAGGAAGUUCCUCAGACCAAACCACACAUUGUUACCAUAACUCAAGCUCAUACGUGCUAGCCUGUGUGCCACCUUGUUCGUCUCCUUUUGACUAAAUUCAACCUUCCACUUGGACAAUGAAUGAAUAAUUGCGUGUGUCGUUUAGAAUGUUUCCAAAGUGUGAGGUGUCAAUACUUCCUUCUGCAAAAUGUUUUAGAAUAAAAAGUUUUAUAUCUUGUAGGAUCACAUCUAUUUAUUUAUUAUCAUUAUUAUAUUUUUGGAAAGAUCGAUACGUAUGGGCCAUGGCGUCUGGUUCUUUUGUUAAAAAGCCAUCAAAUGGGGAGGCAUGGAUGAGGUAUUAGGUAUCCACAAAUGUCAGUUCACAAAAUAUUAUACUAAAAGUAAUUGAAAAGAAUCAAACAAAUAUUAAUUCUUUUCCCAAGAUAAUCCACUAAAAUGAGGGUCCACAACAUAGUUUUUCGGGAACUUUAACGAAAAACACCCGGUACUGUUCACUUUAACGAAAAACCACAUUUUUACACUAAAAAAUCAAUCCUGGUACUAUUCACUUUACCCUUUAUUUUGUCCUUAUCAUUAAAGCUCAAAGUUUUCAAGCCCUUUUCAUUAAUUUUCCUUAGUUUUUUCCACUAGAGUUUAUUGAUCCUUGAAGACUAUCAUUGACGAUUGAUCAUCCAACAGGUGCAUUAUUUAUUUUUUAACAAACGGUAAUAGUUACUAUUUCUUGAAUUGGAUAGGGGUAUCGAUACUAUUUCUUAAAUAAAACAUUAAUACUAUUAUUAUUCUUAAACUGAAUACUGGCACUAUUACUAUUUUUUAAACUGAACAUUCAUUAUUUCUUAAACCGAGCGCUGGUACUAUAACUAUUUCUUAAACUGAACAUUCAGUAUUUCUUAAACUGGACAUUCACUAUUUCGUAAACUGAACACAAAUAUUAUUACUAUUUCUUAAACUGAAUAUUCAUUAUUUUGUAUACUGAACACGGAUAUUAUCAUUAUUUCUUAAACGUAACACUAAUAUUAUUACUAUUUCUUAAGCUGAAUACUGACUAUUUCUUAAAUUGAACAAUAACUAUUUUUAUAAUUGAAUACAAGCACUGUCCCUAUUUCUUAAACCAAAAAUAGUGAAUUAGGGUUUAGUUAUUACGAUAUAUUACUGGAUUAUGAUUAACAUAUAAUUGUGUUCUGGCCUUAGAGAAAAAAGGUACACACCAUGUUAAAUACAUGUAGGCAUUUAUAUAUAAAUAUAUAUUACAUACGUAUAUAAUUCCAACUUUUGAUAGAUCAAGCCAUGAGUUUCCCAGUCUCCUUCUUGCACCUGAACUCCCUGGAUACUGCCAGAACAAAUUUUUGGGACGUGUGGCGAGCCUGGCUCUUGAAGAUGUUGUAGAACUUCUCAGCAGGUGCCUUAAUUUCGAUCUCAGUCUCAACCUUACCGUGCAGAGUCGUGUUUAUGAUCAGUUGGGAUGGCACUCAACAAUGCGUACAAGGCCUGUUCUAAAGAAACUUAAGGGCAGCCCUUUUCUGCUACAGUUAAAUUAUACAAUAUUAAUUUGAGGUAUUCAUCAAUUUACCUCCUAACUUAUAAGAAUUGGUCAAUUUUCCUUAUCAACUUUCAUAAUUAAUCAAUUUGCACCAUACUAUUAAUUUUUUAAAAUUUUUCAUCCUUUCUUCUGUUAAGUAUGUCAAGUGUUAUCCGCAUGACUGCCUUUAAAGGGUAAAAAGGUCAUUUUACCUACACCUUCCGUCUUCUUUCUCUUCUCCGAACUUUCUUUUCUUCUUCUUUUUCACCAAGCCGAGCCCGUACUGUUCCACCGUGCUCCACAGGCACGAUUUUCCCGGCGAACACCAAAAGAAACAGUGGGAGGGAUCUGAGCUCGUAGAUCCGCGUUCACUACAUCCCCUUCUUGCACUCCUCGCAAACCCUACCCUCCGAUUCUAAUGGGACACCUCCCCCGUCGCCACUGAGUUCCUGAAGAAGAACCGCGCAUACGACUUGGCCACCACCGCCGCCACUCCAACCACUCCCAGAGCCACAGGCGCGUGCUCCCCCGAAGACCCGCACCUGAAGUUGGCGCCCCCAAUUAUGAUCGAGUACUUGGACUUUCUCUUUCCCGGAUCCACGAAGCGCGUGGAGUAGGAGGCGGGGAGGUUGCAUAGCGUGUAAGACCCUAGCUUGGCGAUGUGGGGAGAAGAUGAGAUGGAUUUGAUCAAAGACUUGCCGAAGAAUCUGGGGAGAAGAUGCGGGGACUUUCUCUCCCGUAUUACUUAUCCUAUCAUUUUCCUUGUACGGGCUGCCAAACGAGGCCUUAGUAUGCUAUUGCCUUGUAUUUGAAAUUAGACAAUCGUUUUAUUUAAAAAAAAACAAACUUACUAAGUUCACACUUAAACAUAUUUAAACAAACUUACUAAGGUCAACACACUUGCAGAUAACACAAUUAAAACUAAACAUACCAACAAACAUGGAUCACACUUACAAGGCCAAACAAAGCAUAUAUAUAUAUAUAUGUAUGUAUGUAUGUAUAAUGUAUGUAUGUAUAUAUAUGUAUAUUAUAUUUAUGAACAGUAUUGCCCUUGCUCUUGUCUUUGCCCAACUGGUAGUAGAGUUGCACAGAGACAAAGUUGUUGGUAUAUGGUCCAGCCCAUGAUCAAUGUUCUAGAUUAUUCUAGUAAGCAAGAGAUGAGGCUGAAGCUUGCUAGACAAUUCUAGAAUGUUAUUAAGUUGAUGGAAGAAGCUAGAGAGUACUAGCUUCCUUGGUUGCAAAUGGAAAGAUCUAGAAGCUACAAGUAUAUGGCUAGUCUAGAUUUUUCUAUACUAGAGGUUUGAAGAAGGAACUAGAAACUAGUAGAAUGCCAAACCCUCACCUAUAAAUAUGGGUGUGAUGUAACCAAUUGAGAACCAAGAGUGAGUAGCAAAGGAUCAAGUCCAAAGCUAGAGUUCCACUCCAAGAGUGAGAGUGAGAGUGUUCCACUACACAUUGUGUGAGUGAAGUUUAGAGUGAUAGAAAGUGUGUGUUAUACUUUCUUGUAUCCAUCAAGCCUUGUCUUUGGCUUGGUAAGACUACUCUUGUUGUAUUCAUCUUUUUCAUAUAGUGAAGAUUGAUCCUUGUUUGGUGGACGUAGGCAUAAAUUGCCGAACCACAUAAACUUUUCUUGGCGUCCAUUUUCUACUUUACCUUGUGCAUUCUCUAUCUUGUAGUACCGACAUUCCUAACAAGUGGUAUCAGAGCCCGGUUGGCUCGUACUACGAGAUGGAAGGAAGUGGCACUAUGAUCAAACUCACCAACUCCAAUUGGGUAACAUGGAAGCCAAGGAUGGAGGACAUUCUCUAUUGCAAGGAUUUGCAUGAGCCAAUUGAAGGAGAUGCCGCUAAGCCCGAGAGCAUGUCCGAUGCCGAGUGGAAGAAGAUGAAUCGCAAGGCUAUUGGCACAAUUAGACAAUGGGUGGACGAUAGUGUUUUUCACCAUGUGUCUAAUGAAACCAAUGCUCGCGAGUUUUGGACAAAGCUUGAGUCCUUGUUCGAGAAGAAAACUCCAGCUAAGAAAGCCUUCUUGAUCAAAGAGCUCAUCAAUGUGAAGUACAAGGAUGGUUUAAGUGUAGCAGAACACUUGAACAAUUUCCAGAAUAUCAUCAACCAGUUGGCUACUAUGAAAAUGAUGAUCGAGGACGAGCUACAAGCGCUCUUGUUACUUGGAUCCUUGCCAGACAGUUGGGAGACCUUUGUGGUGAGUAUAAGUAACUCUGCUUCUAAUGGUGUUCUUACUCUUGAUAAUGUUAAAAAUAGCAUGCUCAAUGAAGAAACAAGGAGAAAGACUUCUGGCACAGAUAGCAGCCAAGUAUUUGUCACAGAGAACCGCGGAAGAAGCAAGAGUAGAGGGCCUAGAGGUCAUGGCAGGAGUCCUAGCCGAUCCAAGUCAAAGUUCAGGGGUGCAUGCCACCACUGUGGCAAAGAAGGCCAUAUGAAGAAAAAUUGUCGAGUUUGGAAGAGAGAGCAAAGGGAAGGAAACAAUCAGAAGAAAGAUGAUACUGGCAAUACCACCGCUGUCAUCUGUGGUGAUGUACCAGAAAUAUUGUCUGUUGGUGAAUGUCUGCAUAUGGGCAACUCUGACAGAGACAUUGAAUGGAUCUUUGAUAAUGGAGCUUCCUUCCAUGCUACGUCCAAACGGGAGUUCUUCAGUACAUACAAAGAAGGUGACUUUGGCAUAGUGAAGAUGGGGAAUGAAAGCUAUUCCAAAAUUCUUGGAAUUGGUGAUAUCUGCUUAAGAACUAAUCUCGGCUGCCAAUUGAUGUUGAAAGAUGUGAGACAUAUUCCUGAUAUACGUCUCAAUCUGAUAUCCAUCGGUACCCUUGAUCGACAAGGAUAUUAUCACCAUAUUGGCGAAGGAAAAUUGAAGCUUACUAAAGGCUUAAUGGUGGUAGCAAAAGCACGACUUUGUUGUACGUUGUACCGGUCAAAUGCACAGGUUUUUGAAAGGUGAGUUGAAUGCUGUGGAGGACUCAUCUCUAGACUUAUGGCAUAAGAGGCUGGGCCACAUAAGCGAGAAAGGCCUACAAGUUUUGGCAAAGAAGUCUCACAUUCCCUUUACCGAAGGUACGUCGUUAAACUCUUGUGAGCAUUGUUUAUUCGGAAAACAAAGAAGAGUUAGUUUUUCUGUUCCAUCUACAAAGAAAGGAAACUUGUUAGAUCUUGUUUAUUCAGAUGUGUGUGGUCCCAUGGAAGUCGAGUCACUUGGAAGAAAUAAAUAUUUUGUUACUUAUAUUGAUGAUGAUGCUUCACGAAGGGUGUGGGUGUAUUUGUUGAAAUCCAAAGACCAGGUGUUUCAGACAUUCCAGGAGUUCUAUGCCAUGGUGGAGAGGGAAACUGGGAAACCUCUCAAGUGCCUUCGUAGCGACAACGGCGGCGAGUACACAUCUCACCAGUUUAGAGAGUAUUGUGUAAAACAUGGCAUACGUCAUGAGAAGACAGUUCCUGGAACUCCACAACAUAACGGUGUUGCUGAAAGAAUGAACCGAACCAUCAUGGAGAAAGUCAGGUGUAUGUUGAGGACUGCAAAGUUAUCUAAGCAGUUCUGGGGUGAAGCUGUAAGGACAGCCUGCUAUUUGAUCAACCGAUCUCCAUCAGUACCAUUAGGUCUUGAUGUUCCAGAGAGAGUAUGGACUGGUAAUGAUGUGUCUUACUCUCAUCUGAAGGUGUUUGGUUGCAAAGCUUUUGUGCAUGUGCCCAAAGAGCAGAGAUCGAAGUUAGACUACAAAGCUACACCGUGCAUCUUUCUUGGUUAUGGCGGUGAAGAUUUUGGUUACAGAUUAUGGGACCCAUACCAGAAGAAGUUUAUCCGAAGUAGAGACGUGGUCUUUUAUGAAGAACAAACAAUUGGGGAUUCGGAUAAAGAGGCACAACCAGAUGGCGCAGUCAGAGGAGUUGAUCCAUUAGCUUCAGAUGAAGAAAGUCACGAUGACAUCCCUGAAGCAACUGCCAAUGAAGUGCCUGCAGAAUCAGAUAAUGCUAAUCAAGAGGAGCCUGAUCAAGAUGUGCCAAACCAUGAGAUUGCUCAUCAGGGGAGCCUAGUCAAGAAGAGCAUAUUCAAGGAGAACCCAAUCAGGGGGAGCCUCCAGCCCUACAAGAGAAUGAAGAUCAGGUCAGAAGAUCCAUCAGAAGUCGAAGACCGUCUACCAAGUAUUCUUCAUCAGAGUAUAUCAUGUUGACUAAUUAUGGAGAGCCCGAAACAUAUGAGGAGGCCAGAGCUCAUAACGACAGUGACAAAUGGAUGAAGGCAAUGGAGUCGGAGAUGGAUUCCUUAUCAAAGAAUGAUACCUAUGAGCUGGUGGAGCUUCCAAAGGGCAGGAAAGCAUUGAAAAACAAGUGGGUGUUCAAAUUGAAAAGAGACGACAACAUGACAAGGUACAAGGCUCGUUUGGUUGUCAAAGGUUUUGGUCAAAAGAAAGGAGUUGACUUUGAUGAGAUUUUCUCACCGGUGGUGAAGAUGACUUCCAUUCGAGUUAUCCUUGGUAUGGCAGCAAGCAUGGAUCUUGAGCUCGAGCAGUUAGAUGUUAAAACUGCAUUUCUCCACGGCAAUUUAGAAGAGGAGAUAUACAUGGAGCAACCCAAAGGCUUUGAAGUCAAAGGUAAAGAAAAUUUGGUGUGCAAGCUCAAGAAAAGUUUAUAUGGUCUUAAGCAGGCUCCGAGACAGUGGAAUAAGAAGUUCAACUCACUCAUGGUGAGUAAUGGGUACAAGAGAACUCAUGCUGACUCUUGUGUCUAUAUCAAACAAUUUUCUGGAGGUAAAUUCAUCAUCUUAUUGCUUUAUGUUGAUGACAUGUUGAUUGUCGGACAAGAUACCUCUAUGAUUAAAAAGCUCAAAGAAGAGUUAUCUAAGUCCUUUGACAUGAAGGACUUAGGGCCAGCCAAGCAGAUUUUGGGCAUGGAUAUAAUUCGUGACAGAAAAUCCAAAAAGUUGUGGCUGUCACAAGAAAAGUAUGUUGAACGGGUGCUUGAAAGGUUCAACAUGAAAGCAGCCAAAUCGGUAAGCUCACCUUUAGCCAAUCAUAUCAAGUUGAGCAAAGAGUCAUGUCCAAAAACAUAUUGAAGAAAAGGAGAAAAUGGCAGUUGUUCCCUACUCUUCAGCAGUAGGAAGUAUCAUGUAUGCAAUGGUGUGCACACGGCCAGAUAUUGCUCAUGCAGUAGGUGUGGUGAGCAGGUUUCUCUCUAAUCCAGGGAAGGACCACUGGGAAGCUGUUAAGUGGAUUCUCAGAUAUUUGAAAGGGACUUCUAAGAUGUGCUUGUGCUUUGGCGGUUCCAAACCAAUCUUGGAAGGAUUUACAGAUGCUGACAUGGGAGGUGACCUGGAUGGUAGAAAAUCUACGUCUGGGUACUUGUUUACUUUUACAGGGGGAGCCGUGUCUUGGCAAUCCAAGUUACAAAAGUGCAUUGCUUUGUCCACAACCGAGGCUGAAUACAUAGCCGCUACAGAAGCAUGCAAGGAGUUGUUGUGGCUGAAGCGGUUUCUCCAAGAGUUGGGUUUGAAGCAAAGUGAUUAUGGCGUUUAUUGUGAUAGUCAGAGUGCUCUGGACUUGAGCAAGAACACUACAUAUCAUUCACGCACUAAGCACAUUGAUAUUCGUUAUCAUUGGAUUAGAGACGCUAUCGAGAACAAGUUGCUGCAGCUGAAGAAGAUUCAUACCGAUAAUAAUUCUUCAGACAUGUUGACAAAGGUAGUCACAAAAUCAAAGUUGGAAUUCUGCAUUAAGGCUGCUGGGAUGAACUCCAGGUAACUUGGAGUCAUGAUCGGAAUUCCUCCCUCAUGGACUGGAGGGGGAGAUUGUUGGUAUAUGGUCCAGCCCAUGAUCAAUGUUCUAGAUUAUUCUAGUAAGCAAGAGAUGAGGCUGAAGCUUGCUAGACAAUUCUAGAAUGUUAUUAAGUUGAUGGAAGAAGCUAGAGAGUACUAGCUUCCUUGGUUGCAAAUGGAAAGAUCUAGAAGCUACAAGUAUAUGGCUAGUCUAGAUUUUUCUAUACUAGAGGUUUGAAGAAGGAACUAGAAACUAGUAGAAUGCCAAACCCUCACCUAUAAAUAUGGGUGUGAUGUAACCAAUUGAGAACCAAGAGUGAGUAGCAAAGGAUCAAGUCCAAAGCUAGAGUUCCACUCCAAGAGUGAGAGUGAGAGUGUUCCACUACACAUUGUGUGAGUGAAGUUUAGAGUGAUAGAAAGUGUGUGUUAUACUUUCUUGUAUCCAUCAAGCCUUGUCUUUGGCUUGGUAAGACUACUCUUGUUGUAUUCAUCUUUUUCAUAUAGUGAAGAUUGAUCCUUGUUUGGUGGACGUAGGCAUAAAUUGCCGAACCACAUAAAUUCUUGGCGUCCAUUUUCUACUUUACCUUGUGCAUUCUCUAUCUUGUAGUACCGACAUUCCUAACAAAAGUAUUGUUCAUAGUAAAAAGUACGGGCAAGCCAACUGCCUUGUUCUUACACUUGCGUUCUCCAAACGGGUGAAACUGCUAUUAUGAUCGGUCUGAAGUAGACGCGCUUAUUCUUGCGUGAGGAAAUUAUCAGUCUCCUUAACAAGAUAACAGCUAACUGGAGCUGAAGUUGGGGAUCCGGAACCCAUCAUGUAGCUUUUCAUAUUGUAGAACCAAAUUCACCACGCUGCCCUCAUCAUGAACGCCUAAUUUUGGAGUAACUUGUAAAGUGAUCUUAAAGCUCUUGUAUCGAUCUAGAGGGUUUCCUUCAAGCACUGUGAAAGUCACCGAAUGAUUUACAUCGUCUAUGGCUUCAGUUAACUCCUUGGAAAAAGUUGGUUUCCCAUCUGCUAACAUUUCAUCACAAAUCAAUUACUUGCUUCAUCCACAAAAAAACAUGUCGACAUAUAUAGUAAGAGAACAAUCUUUCAGCCACACUUACCUUCAAUAUAAUCCCACAAGAAGACACAACCCACUUUACCCCAUUCACCUUCAAGUAAUUUAUGACUCGGAACUUUGUCGGGGCUGAUGUUGCAUAUUUCGUACGGUGUUCGUGCAAAGAAUUCAUGGAACCUGUUUGCUUCAGACUUGAUUUCAACACUCGUCUCCACCUUGCUAGAAUUUGACAUUUUCCACAAGUACCAGAGUUGAAGGAAAAACGACUUUGGUGGUUCCCAACGUGAAAAUGGCGGGGUUUAGUGCAGCAACAAAGAAAAUGGCGGUGGCUGCUGCAAAUGGAUGUGGUGAUUCCCUCUCCCGCAGAAAAGAAGAUAAGUUUUUCUUACAAUAUUCUAAUUAUUCUCCAUGAUGAUGUCUGCCAUCUGCAAUAAAAAAAUAAUAAAAAGAAAAAAGACAGCCACUGAUGAUUGGUGAAGUGACGAGAUAAUCAUCAACUAGCUCAGCUCCACCCUCAGCACAACUGUGACGAAACCCACUUUUCUGAGAAAAUCACGAGAAAAGCAGAAAGCAAAAGAUAAAGCAAAAGGAAGACACAUGGGGACACUGCAAAAGUAAGGAAUAAACAUCCCACCAGAAUGAUGUAAUUUAUUUUUAUUAUCUUUCGGAGACAUCUGUAUAAACCCCAUCAGAGGGUAAUUAAAAAAAAAAAGCCCAAAAUAAUGGGCUGCAAACCCAAAAUAAGGGGCUACAAUGUCAUGGGCGAAGGCCCAUAUGCCCAAAAGACCCAUACCCUCUAUUACCACCAACCAGGUGAUCAAAAGUACGCCCAGUACUCCACAAUUAUUCGACAACCUGCCGCUAUUACCACCAACCAGGUGAUGAAAUGUACAACCCGUACUCUAAAAUCAUUUGGCAACUAGUCAUUCAUGCCACCAACCAGGUGAUGAAAUGUACAACCCGUACUCUCCUUCAUGCCACCAACCAGGUGAUCAAAAGUAUGCCCAGUACUUCAUAUUAUACAUGAACAUUACUCAUGUCAAUCAUACACAAACAUUCAUGAGUAUCACUCAUAUCAAUCAUACAUAUACAUUCAUGAGUAUCACUCAUGUCAACAUUCAUGAGCAUCACUCAUGUCAACAUCCAUGAGCAUCACUCAUAUCAAUCAAACAUUCAUGAGCAUCACUCAUGUCAAACAGCUUCAAAAGCUUCAUUUACAAAAGCUCUAGCUUCAAAAGCUUCAUUUACAGAGCUUCAGCUUCAAAGCUUCACUUAUAAAGCUUCAGUGCAGGGUAUACAAAUACCGCCUCCGAACAACCGCCACUUCGGCCCAUACAUGGAUUCAAUUUGAAGUCUCCAGCUAACAGACUCUAUUGACCGAAAAGACUUGGGGGACUACAUUAUAUACCAUAUAUUGGGCCUCAACUGGGCCUCAUAAAAAAUACUUGGGGGACUUAGCCCAUUAUCUAUGUACUGAGGAGCGAACCCUUAUUCUAUAAAAGGGACUUCCUCACUUUCAUUAGAGAGCAUCGCCGCCAGCUGAGCAACCGCCUCGCCGCGAGCAUCACUCCUAACCCAUCACUUAUGUAUUGAGGAGUGGGCCCUUAUUCUAUAAAAGGGACUCCAUCACCAUCAUUAGAGAGCAUCAACUCUAGCCCAUUAUCUAUGUACUGAGGAGCGAGCCCUUAUUCUAUAAAAGGGACUCCAUCACUUUCAUUAGAGAGCAUCGCAGCCAGCUGAGCAACCGCCUCGCCGCGAGCAUCACUCCUAACCCAUCACUUAUGUAUUGAGGAGCGGGCUCUUAUUCUAUAAAAGAGACUCCCUUACCAUCAUUAGAGAGCAUCAACUCUAGCCCAUCAUUCAUGUAUUGAAGAGCGAGCCCUUAUUCUAUAAAAAUGACUCUCUCACCUUCAACGCCACAAGCCGAGCCAACCAAGGCAACAUAAGCCACGAGCCGAGCAGCCUCGCAGCAUGUGCUACUUCUAGUUGAGCAUCAUCUCAGAUUGAGCACCGCCUCAUAUCGAACAUCAGUUCAAGACAACGUCUAGUUACUUCGGCCCACACAUGGACUGAAUUUCAAGUCUCCAGCCAAAAGACUCUCUUGACUGAAGACUUGGGAGACUACUGUUUAUACCAUAUUUAGGGCCUCGUAUUUAGAUCUUGUACAAAUACUCAGGGGACUUAAAUGUAAUUAUGUGAUAAAAGAAGGGGCAAAUAUGUAAUAAGUGAGGAGUCCUUAUUCUAUAAAAGGACCCCUCACCCUCACAAUUAGAGGAGGCCAAUUCCUAGGCCCUCUCACCCCCUCUCAACGCUCUCACUAUCAGUGCUCCCUCUCCCUCAGAUAAAUACAUAAUCAAAGUGGACGUAGCCCAAACCUUGGGGUGAACCACGAUACAUCUUGUGUCAUUUACAUUACUUGCAGAUUCACGGUCGGAUUUACGUUGUUCCAAAACCUCCGGUUUUGUGCAUCAACAGCCCUUACAUUUAUAUAGAAGAAAAGAGGGAAACAAAAACUUUACAAGAACCUAACAAUUUGCCCAUGCCAUCAGACAUGGAUGUAUUUAUUCACUAAAAAAAAUGCGUUAGUUGUAUUAUUUUACUAGAACCGAACAAUUUGCCCAGUAGACAUGGAUGGUGGAAUAUCUUGAUCAAUAUUAUUCCUCGUUUGCUCUCGUCGUUUCUAAGAAAACAAUGUUUUGUGGUUUUAUUAAAUAGCUGGAGACAAAAUGUUUCGAUCUUGUUCGUUUCUCUGUUUGUAUGCUUUUAUACAUGUUAUUUCUAAACAAUUUGUUUGUUUUAUGGUGGGCAUCUUUAAAAGUAAGAUACCCAUUUGUUUUUAAAGAAAUGUUAUUGUCACCUAAAAAUUUAAGUGUGUAUUUAUAAUUAUUUAUAUUUAAAAAAAAAUAUUCUUACAAUGAAUGUACAAUUAGAUUUUUGUAGUGUAAAUUUUCUGUCUUCAAUUUCGACUACUCGAAAUAUAUGAUCCGAUUGACCCCCAAACAUUGAGGUUUAAAUAUUUAUGGCUGGGGAAGACGAAUUCACCCAAACCUCGAACUCCUUUUCUUAGGAAAUAAAUUGAAAGUUAUAAUCUAAGGCCAAAUUCAAACCGAAACAACAACAUUCUAUUCUAUAAUUUCUCCUAGUCCUGAUCGGUUAGGGAUUCUAGUUAGUUCGUUUACAAACUACGUUGGCUAAUAUAUUUCAGUUACAACUUCAUAUAUAAAUGCAUUCUUCGUCGAAUUAACAAAUAAUCAGUUUGUAUCUAUAUAUAUAAAGUGAGAGCCCUAGUUUGGUGAAGCAUUUGAUAAACCAAAAAUGCCCUCACUUCAUACACUAUACCAACGUUAAUUGUCCAAUAAAAUUAGGGUCAAAAUUGUAAUAUAAUACAACGAAAUUCUACUGUGCGAAUAAUACAUGCACUCAUCUGAACAAUGACAAUUUUCAACCACUAGAUAAAAAUAUACACACUUAAAAUUCAUUGUGACCCUUAGAUCAAUCCUCCCACAAAUACUGCAUCACAUUCUAUCUUUCCACCAAAACCAAAAUAACAAAUAAAUUGAUAAAAACUGACAAACACUCCCUCCAAAUUAGAGUAGAACUGUCAAACACGUUGUCGCACAAAACAGAACACCGGUUGCAGCAGUUGCAAAGAUCGGAGAUAGAACCACCAAUCUACCACACGUUCUAGAGGGGAUAGCGAUCAUUCCAACCCCAAAUGCACAGAAAAGAGGAAGAACUCAUUUUCGUCUUCUGCACAAACCUCUCAUCCACGUGUUUUUCCAGAGUUUCUUCUGCAUCCACACUCAAUUUACACAAAUUCAGGUGAUUUUUUUUUCAUAAUUUCUACCCUCCAAUUAAGUAAUAUUACCCACAUGAAUCUGCUUUUCCGCUUGUUUUGUUUAUUAUUCUAUAUAAUUUAAUAAGGAAAUUCGAAUCAUUGAUGGCGUAGGAUGGGAUUGCUGGGCGUUCAAAAUUGCUCAGUGAUUAGUACUUAAUCGACCACACUGCUUAUAUUAUUUAAACUUAAUUGUUGUCAUAUGGGUUUUUCUGGAUUCCAUUUCUCUUAUUUAUGUGAUUUGAGUCAGUGGUAGUCAGGUGCAUGCAAUGAGAGACAUUUGAGGCUAUAGCUGGGAAUUUGGUUUCUAUAAAAUUACUUCUGCAAUUGGUCAGAAUUUAUAGGAGUUACUAAAAUUACCCCAUUACCAGUUUUUGUUUUACUAUAGUUGGUAAUGAUUUGUAAGCAGAUUGUACAUUGAGGUAAUGUGUGAAUUGAAUUCUGAUGGUUAAACUAAUACGACAAACUGGUAAAAAACCAUCACUGAAAAAAGAUAAAGCAUCACAACUGUAGAGUUUUGCCUAAUGAAGAAUUAGAACCGCGACGUGGGAUUCAACCACCCUCCACGUUCUGCAAACUACAAACCAGAUUGACAAAGACUCUUCCUCUACAGAAAACGAGGGGAGGGAGAAAUAGAGAUACAUAUUGACAAAGACUCUUCCUCUACAUCGACUGAUUCUUAUCGCAGGUAACUUUCAAACUUGAUUCUCAAUUUUCUAUGUAUUCCUUCCAGCGUUUGUUCAAACUUUCAAACUUGACUCUACUCGCCGUGAUCAACAACUGCAGCUUCUUGAAACAGCCUUUCACUCGUCAUAAACGACAAGUGUGGCUUCUUUACCAGUAUGUUUAUUAGUCUCUUUUCUAAUCAAAUUCAUUGCCAUUAAUUAACUGUUUCUCAUCGAUCAUUCAUUUCUGAUCAUAUUUUCAAUUUCCGUUCUAUUCCCAUUUAUACAUCUUUUUCAAUUGUGUAUGAAUUAUUUGCUUUGAUGAAGCAGAAUUAGAUUUGCGUUCAUAUUCAAUUCUAAUUAAUUGACGAUGUCCUUUGAGAGCGAGCCCAAACUAUCUAGCGAUUCGAUAUAAUCGGAGAAAGAUUUUCCAGGGUGAACCAUAUCCUUUACCUGACUAUUGAGCCGUAAAGUUUCCGGUUUCUUAAGGUUUCGGAUAUCCACUCAAUCUAUUGGGACCUGUCUGGAAAUCCCCACAGCCAUGUGACUUGCGAUUCUUCUUCUUAAUAAACGACUUAGUUUUUGCAUUUUUUGUUCGAAUUCAAAGUUUUUUUUAUACAAAUUUGAAGCUUUUCUUCAAGCUUAUUCAUUAUAUAGAUUCCAAAAUUUUUAAAUCCUCUCAAAGUAGUAGGGAUUUGGAAAUGAACUCUGCUAGAGAAGGUGGCUUGCGUUGAAAUUACCAUAAUAACAGUGUUGGGUUGGGAAUUUUUUACUGGUUUUUUAUUUAAUAUGUUUUGAAUCUUAUCUUGCAACCUGUUGUUUUUCUUCAUGGGGUUCAGGAGGAGGAACUUCACCAAGUAUUCAAAGUAAUCAAAGAUUCUUCAAUCCCGAGUUUUACCGAUCAUUCUGUUUGAUCAGGUUGCUACUUCACCCUUUAUGAUAAGUUAUUAGAUGCAUUUCAGUGUGUCCUGCAUUUGAUAACUGAGUUAUUUCGUUAUUGCUAGAAAGGUAAAUUUUACGCUAGAUUGCAAUGCAAGGUAUGUAACUCGAUAGUUUGAUGAGUUUGAAUUAUUUUUUUUAUUAGGGCUGUUGCUACUUAUUUAAUUAUGCUUGGCAAUUAGCCUGCUUGAUCGGGGGUAUGAUCGUUGUGAAUGCCGUAUGAUUGCAAUGGCAAAAUUUUAUUGAUUCAAGUGUGAAAUAGAUAAACAAAUAAGAAAAAACCAUGUUCAUGCGUAAACCAUGUCAUUGUCAUUGAAAAAACUAUAGGUAACCCUCUAAAAAUUAAUAGAUGAAGUCAAUGGAAUUGAGAGCUAUGUAAUCCAAGUCCCAGUUGCAUAUGUUAUUGGUGCAUUCAAGAGCUAGCUAAUUGAGGAAGAAAUUCAGAGGUUGAUGUAAGUUGUCUGCAAAGCAUCAUAACCUAGGGUUGAAGCACUUAGCUUUUCUCUACCCUCUUCCAUAUAAUUAGGAUUACAAGUUGUUUUAGAUAUUCAGUUAAUUUUGAAGCCAUUGGCAAUGUUUCAGUUGCAGAGUUUGAUUUAUCAAUUAUCUGCUAAAUGCAUGGAAUUUCAUCUUUUUUACUUUCAAUUUUGGGUCAAAUGUUGGGAAAUUUUUACUGGUUUUUUUAUAUAAUAUGGUUUAAAUCUUAUCUUGCAGCCUGUAGUUUUUCUUCAUGGGGUUCAGGUGGAGGAACUUCACCAAGUAUUCAAAGUAAUUAAAGAUUCUUCAAUCCCGAGUUUUACCGAUCAUUCAAUUUGAUCAGGUUGCUACUUCAUCCUUUAUGAUAAGUUAUUAGAUGCAUUUUAGUUUGUGAAACUAGGAAGGGCAUUCUUUUUGCUUAGUUGUAAGAUACUUGAGAAGCCGAAUAUUACACUUAAUCAAAGAACCGAAAUGGCAAUGUGCUAUUUCACUUUGUUUCUUUGAUGACUCAAAAUUGUAAUAUGAUUGAACUGAAUGAUUACCUGUUUUCAUCUGCAUCUCCAGAUUCAUUUCUUUCAUUUUUAGAAUCAUCAACUCCAUGAUUACCUGUUUUCUUUCAUAUAUGUUUUUCUUUUACUAAUUUAUGUUUUAACUUUUCGUUCUCUUUCAAUUUUCGUAAAUCUGAGUUUUAGAAAACACAUACAAUUCAUGUUACUAACAAAACUUUUGAUGCUUUUACACACUCAUUGGGAUUGUGUAAUGGUACAAGAUUAUUGUGUCGUGGUAAUUACCAAAAUCUUAUUGAUGCUGAAAUUCUAACUGGACAAUUUGUCGGAUCCAAAGUUUUCUUACCAAGAAUCCCUCUCAAAAGUACUAAUACUGCUGGGCUUCCAUUUAAACUUACAAGAAAGUAGUUUCCAGUGAAACUAAGUUUCUCUAUCACUAUAAACAAAUCUCAAGGUCAGACAAUACCACAUGUAGGCAUUUACCUUCCAGAUCACAUCUUCAGUCAUGAACAAUGAUAUGUGGCUUUAUCGAGGGGGGUCUCAAAGUCAACCACAACCGUGUUAGUAAAAAAUGGCUCCAUAAUCAGCCAACAAGGUGUAUUUACACGGAAUGUAGUAUACAAAGAAGUCUUGCUUCAUUCCAGCUAAUUAUGGUGAUUUCUAAUAGGUAACAAUUUUAUUAUCGAUAACCUUUCAGUAUGCAUUUCUCACUUAUCAAUUAACUCUUUUUAUUUGAUUUUUAAUUUUCUCACUAUCAUUUGUAGAUUGGCAAUGAAAAUUUGAAGCAUCAAUCAUGAACAAAUGGGUGGAAAUUGCAGCAUUGAUAUCAAAAUGAAAACUUUUUUUUCAAAAGAAACGGUGACAUAUAGACUCUAUGGGUAUUGUGAAUAAUGUACAUAUUGUUAUGCAAGAUUUAUAUUUUGACAUUUAAGUUGUUUUGUAUUUUUCUACGAGUAAUGUUUUCAUCUACUCUUUUUUUUACAUCUACUUACUAUUGUCCAUGGACUUUAGGUAGGAACUUGCGUCUAAAAUCCCAUGUUGUUUGACAAGUGCAUGAAUAACAUUUAAAUCAUUACUUUACGCAAAGUAAAAACGAAAAACAUGAUAACUUUUUAGGAUAUGCAUGAUAAAAAAAGAGUUCCUCUUUGCACAAUACAUUUAAAAUAUAUCUUGACAAUUACGAUGGGAAAAACUAACACAAUACACAUUUAGGGGCGCGUAGCACCCGUGAUGUAAAAAUGCCUCUCGCACGCACAUUAGUGGGUGCGGAGAGGCUAGUAAUUAAUUAAGAACAAGAGGACUCGAAACAGAAGCAGCAAAACAUGACCAUGACCAACAACGACAACGUUUUGGAGCCGCCCAUCAAUUUCUCGAUGGUGGAUGAGGGCGUAUUCCGAUCAGGCUUCCCGCAGCCGUCAAACUUCCCAUUCCUCCAAUCCCUUCAACUCCGUUCCAUUAUCUAUCUCUGCCCCGAGCCCUACCCGGAGGAGAGUUUGGAGUUUCUUCGGUCGCAAGGCAUUCGGCUCUUCCAGUUCGGAAUCGAGGGCAAGAAGGAGCGGUCUACGUCUCCGCUGAUUCCAGCAGAGACCAUCUCCGAGGCACUGAAAGUUUUGGUUGAAAUUGAGAAUCAUCCGGUGUUGAUCCACUGCAAACGCGGCAAGCAUCGGACUGGUUGUCUGGUGGGUUGCCUGAGGAAAUUUCAGAAUUGGUGUUUGUCUUCGGCGUUAGAGGAGUACCAGCGGUUUGCCGGCGAAAAAUCUAGGGGGACGGAUUUGAGAUUUAUCGAGACGUUUGACGUAUUGGGCCUCAGGGGGGAUGCCUUCACGGCAUUGUCCGCCAUUAUUAUUAAGUUUAUGCUUCCGGAAAGAGGCGGUUGUUGUACAAACAAGAGUUGCAAACCCAUAAACCCUAGGUGAUGUUUUAGUUUUUACGUGUUGAAAUUUUAUGCCCUUUUAGUUGUACCAUAAUGAAAAUUCAUUCAUUCGCUUAGUGACGGGUCCCACGUAUGGGAGUGAUUUUUUUGUUGUUGUUGAUUUAGCAUAAUCACGAAAUUUAGACAUGCUUAUAAAUUUAGUCCUCAAUUUAGGAGUAGGAAAUUUUUAAGAAUAUAUGGACAUGCAUGUUUACUUAAAAAAUUAGAAUGAAAAAUUAUGAAUGGAGAAAGUCAAAAAUACAAUGAAAGAAAUUCAUAUAAAAUUAACUACCCCUGAUAAAUUUGAUACCUGGAAUGAGAAUAAAAAGUCAUGAAUUGAGAAGUUGGAAAUAAGAUAGAAUAAAUCCGUACGAAAUCAACUACUCCCUGAUAAAUUUGAUUCUUGGCAUGAGAAGUCAUGAAUUGAUACGAAGUCUAAUUCUAAUUCUUUUGACAUAUUUUUUUCUAUUUUUAUUUUAUUUUUUAGUUGUUAAAUUAUCAAUGUAAAGUAGAACUCAAAUACUUUUUGACUCCACAUAACCACAUAAAAAUCAAGAAUUGAAACAGAGUAAUUCUAAUACUAAUUCGUACUCUAUCCUAGUGCAAAAAGUUAGAAUUGUAAAAAUUUAGAGCUGAUCUUGGUGAAAUAUAGAACGUCAUAGGACCAUGAUUCUGGAACUCCUUUCCCUCCUUCGACUGUGGUCGGCCUGGGUCAGAUUUCUUCGUUCAGGGAUUUACCUGUUCUGAAUAGUCUGCCCUUGAUGGGUCAACUCUAGUUAGUUAAUCCAAGCAUAGGAAGAUGAGACAAAAUACACACAAAGUUGUUAGGAUAUCUUUUCUUUUUAUAUUUGAGCGAUAUUCUAGUCUAAUCCAAAUUCAUGGAAGGAGGAUUCAAAUUUGGCUACAAUCGGAUUCACAUAUUAGGAUUGAUUUUAAAUUAAAUCCAGGUUGAUAAAAAUAUUUCAAAAUUUUUAAUGGAAACUUUUUUGUGAAGGUAUUGAAGUUGGGAUUGAAACAGAAGAUAGAGCGUAAUAUAAAGUUACAAUAACAUGUUCUAUUAAAUGAAAGUGACUAAAUAUUGAAAAAAAUGCUACACUGCGUGAUCAACUCCGGCAACGAGCAUUAGCACUGCAUCCACGGUUGUAGGGAUUACUCUGAUUCUGAGCACCCGGCUUGCAGUUGUUGGAGGAAGCACCUCUCUGAGAGCAAGGCACAGUGUUUCUCUGCAGAGCUUCAUAGCUUAUGUUUCGUGAGGUGGCCAAGAUGCGCCUGCUAAUCUCCGAGUCCAUGCCAAAUUCAUCAUCACGAUCAUCCAUACACUCUGCUACAGAACCCUCGCGGCGAGGUCUCACUGGAACCCAGCUCACCCCAUGAUCGCCGCCUGCAUCAACGGAGAUGAUCAGAGCGGCCACGAAGGCCAAGGAAAAGAUAAUCGCUGAGGAAUUGGCCAUAGGUUUUGGUAUGGUCUGUGUUUUUAGCUGCCAACUUGUAUUUUGUUGUACGCCUGUUUAAUUACUGAGGGAGACAGAUGGGGCGGCAAGAGAGAGAAGAGUUGGUGAAUUCUGAUGUAUAUAUUAUUGCACUCUAUUGUGUUAUUUAUAGUAGUAAAAAGUAUAAAAAAGGGAAAGUCCUAAGGGAAAAUCCUUAUCUUUCAGGCAAUCCAUCUUAAAUAACACACAAUCUACAAGAUAUUCUGCAGUCCCAUAAGGAUUUUUUACACAAAAAUUCCUAGUAAGUUUGGACUUUGAUACAUUUAAAUUUGAUUAAAUGGAAAAUUGGAUGCUGAUUUCUUCAAGGAGGUGAUUGUGGAUGCAAAUUUCUUCCUCCUUGAUCUUGGACAAAAUUGGACCUACAAAACAAUUAACACCUUAGGGUCAAGGCCAAGAGCCUCACGUGUCCACGAUGAACGCGGGGGGGGGGGCUUUGGCCGUUUGGCCGAAGAACCUCUGAUGCCAAAGUUAGAAUUUAGAGAGAAAAGUGUUUAGAGAGUAUUGGGAAUUUUGCGUGUUGGACCUAGGUUUUGGUGAAAAUGGGAGCCAAUACAUAGGGCAUAGGGUGUAACUUAUGGUUUAAUGUGUGAUUUAAUGGAUUAAUUAGGCAAUUAAUCGAUUAAUUGGUUAAUCAACACAUUUUUGGCAUAAAUAUUUUGGGGGUUAUGUAAUUUAUACCUUGUGGAAAAUAUAGGAUGAGGAUGGAUGAAAUAACUUUGAAUUUGUUACUUAUUUUGGGCAUGCUUGAUUUGGUUGAAGGAUGAUUGCCCGCUACUCGCGCGUAGGAAUCCCGUUGUACCUCAAGGGUAUUUUUGUCUUCUUUUGUCCAAAAAUCCACGUGUCGCCUUGUGAUUAUUUUUGGCUCCAUAGUGAUUACUUAAAUGACUUGCACUAAUUAGCCUUAGGGCUAGUUUGGUAUUACUGUGCUUUGAAAAAAACUGCUUCUGCUGUGCUGCGAAAAUAAACAACUGUGAAAUAAAGCGGUAGAGUGUUUGGUAAACUUUUUUGUAAAAAUGCUUUUAGCAAAAAAAUCAGUGUUAAAGUGUUUGGUAAAUUUUUAUAUAAAACUGCUGUGAUUAGGUUAAAUGACUAAAAAUGAUAUAAUGUUAAAUUUAAUAUAUAAUUUUUUAUUUUUUAAUCUCUAUAAUUGUUGAGUCAUCCAAACUCUUCCAUUUUCCAAAUCCCAUUUAUAAUUCUAGAGUCAUCCUUUUCGCCUAAUUUUUUUUUUCAUCUGACGUUCAGAUCCGAUACGUUAGCGUUCCGUUGGUUAUCAGACAGGAUCAAACUAAGCGUAGGCUGUUUCCGGAUCAGAUCUAGUCGAAGAGCUCUCCCCUAUCGUACUUAACUUGAAUAAGGCAGUUUCCCACUAGCCGCUUAAAGGAGUACUCAAGGAUUACCCUAUUACCGAUCUCGAACUGGCCUCCUACUGUCCUCGCUAAGAAAGAGUCUGCCCGCUUAAUUCAAUGAAGUAGUUGAUAUUUAUCUAUUAAAGUAAUUUAUCAAUUACGGCAUUCAAGGUCGGAUGAUAACAGUUCUCUUUACCCAAGAAGCUCGGGGAAAGGAAACAGAAGCCAUGCAGACUGAAAUUGACGAACUCCCCACCCACACUAAAAAGCAAAUAAAGACCCAUGUUUAGCGUCCUCCACUCUAAGGACCACAUCAUCCAGAAGUUCAAUCUCAUUUACCUCAAGAUCAUCGACAAGAUCGAUCUUCCAAUUUCUGAGACUGAUAUUUCUACCAUUUUUUCCCCUAGUUAUAUAACUUCCACUACCACUAGUUUCCCAGUUUCAUCUCCCCUACCAUCCAUGGCGUCUGCAAGCUCUCACAAACACCCAUCUCUUCUGUCAUCCAUUACUUUCCCCAUCACUUUCCCACCUUCCUCUUGGAGUUGCAGAAGGAGCUUGCUAUGAAGAUCUGUUGUGUGAAAUUGUGCAUCUUGGAUCGAGCACUUUUUUGACAACUGGGUUUUGGAUUUGUUUCCUGGUCUACAAUGCCACGAUGAGUUGAAAAAUACUCUGAUCAGAUUUCGAUUUCGAAAAUUGAAAUCCGACAAAACAAAAAUAUCAAUGAUGAAGAUUCAAUCUCAACCCAGCGAGAAGGAGAAACGGAGGAGAGUAUUUUUGAGAUUGUGAAAGUUUCAUUAAAAUAUACUGUUCACCCGCCUCCUUGAAAAAAUAAGUUGGUUUUGAGAAAUAACAAAAUGUAGCUUCUGUUUUUUGCCACUUUUCAGCUUUUAAUGAUCUGUGACUUUUAAAAUAAGCAGUGUUACCAAGCACAAAUUGUACUCCAAUUUUUUUUCAUCCCAGCUUUUAAAAUAAUUUAAGCAGUACCAAACCUUACCUUAUUCUAAUUGCAACAAAGAAAGCUGAAAUUGGAAUAAUUCGUGAUUUGUUCAAACCAAGAAUACAAAAGCAACAACCUACUAGAAAAUAUGCUCGUAGAGAUUUACGGGUUGUUUCUGCAAGUAAUUUUGCUAAAAGCGCUUUUAUUAGAACAACAUUGAGAAAUCAAUUUUAUAAUGAUAUGAGCAUGCCAAGAGAUUAAACUAGUUUACAACAUCAAUAUUAUAAUGAUAGUACUCUCAGUUCAUUCUUGCUCAUAGAAUUAAAGAGAGAAACCGAACUAAACAACAAUGCGGACUAGCUUGGUCAACUCUCAGGCCUUUAUUCUUGAAGAUAGCAAAAUUACUCAAAGUUCCAUAUCAUAUGUAUGCAUAAAUCUUGUGCUUGGCACUUAUUCCUUGAGAAGAUGUGCAUCAAUAUCUUUAAUGACAUUGACCAUAAAGCUGAGGUACUUCUGUGGAGGCGGAUCGUUCUCGUUGAGUUUUUCAUAUUCUAAAGUAAUUUUCACAAAACCUCCUUCACUCUUUGGAGUGACCUGGAAAAUGAUCUUGUAGCUUUUGUAAUUGUCCAGCACAUGUGAUCCUUCCAGAGCUGUAAGACUCACCCACUUGUUUACUUCAUCUAUUUCCACCUUUUCCUUGAAUGUCUCGACAUUUCCAUCUACACGUCACAUGGAAAAUUACAAUGAUACAUCUAUUCAUGGAGAGAUUUUUCAAUGCUCAGAACACUGGGUGGUACAACACAUGUUAUUAUACAAACGAAUGAAAAUUAUUUUCAAAUGUCUCUUCACUUAUAUAAUGAAAUAUAAUUUAUAUAUCCAUGUUCUGAGCACACUAAAAAUUCUCUCCUGUCCAUGAUCCGAUUCUUUAUAUAUUCAUCGUCAGGUAAUGCAAACCUAAUGGCGCAUGGAUGGCCUGGUCAAUAUAUUUCAGUUUUAAUUCUAGAAGAAUCUUAUACGUACAUAUACAUAUCACGUUAGCAUGUUUAUUUCAUAGCAGGUUAGUUUGUGUUAUUCAAUAAUAAUAAUAAUAAUAAUAAUAAUGUUACAGUAUUAACUAUAAACGUAACAUUAUUAUUAUACAACUUUUUUUAACAAACAAUAUUAUCUACAUUAAGGGAAAGAGGUGAGCUUAGCCUCACAAUGUUUGAAUGAUGGAAAUAAAUUUGGACUUUUGACAAAAUUUAGAAUUUAUAAAUUAACAUGCACCAAUUCUCUUGUCUAGAUUCAUAAACAUAGAAAUUUAGAAUUUCCGCGUGAAAAAAAGGGAGAAUUUGAGACCUCCAAUUCCCAAGUUUAAAUUUCAUGUAAAUAAGUCACUCAGUACUACGGUCUUGUAGUAUUUCUCUUCACUUGAAAGUGAGAGGUUAUAAGUUCGAAUCUUGUUGAUGACGAAUUUGAUACCAAAUUAGGCUACCCAUUGUGUGGCUUUGCCGAACUCCUUAGUGUAAAAAUAUCGAUGUACUAAAAAAAAUCAUGUAAAUAGGUGUUAUUCCAAAUUUUUAUGAGUGAGAGUUUAAAGAUAACAAAAUCUAUAUUGAAUUUAUAUUAUUCUUUUAAGUUAGUCAAACAAGAAAAUUUACAAAUUCUAGAAAUAAAAUUUCUUAGUAAUUUUAAAUUUUCUCAUCCAAACAGAAUGUUAGAGUCAUGAUGUAACACCCGUCGCUUUUUAUUUAACAAAAUUAAUUAUUAGUUUAACUAGGUUAGGAGGAGAGAGGAGGGUGAUUAAUUUCAUAUUACCUAGGGUGUAUUUCCAGAGCUUGACAGAGCCAGAAGUUUCCCAGUCACCUUCAUGUACUGCAACAUCGUGUAUUUUAUCAGAGGCUGCUUUGGGGACGUCGUGGUGCUGGUUGCUGAUGACUUUGUACAACUUAUCAGCGUUGGCUUUGAUCUCUACCUCAGCCUCCACAGUCAGCUUGCAAGCACCAGCUCCACUCACUGCCAUUUUCUUUUAUUUGUUAUUAGUAAUAUGUGAUUAGUCUGGGGAAAUUGUAGGAGACGUAUACUAACCUACAGGUUUCAACUUCUUAUAUAGAGUCGCAAAGUUGUAAAUUAACAUGUUAUAAACUGAUAGUUAUGGAGGCAGCGUGUGGAUAUGAUCCGAUCACUUAAUUAAAUAGUUAUAUAAUAAUAUUGUGUCUGUGGAUCUUCCAGGCAGAGUUUUAUUAAUUAUUACAUCUAGGGGUGGAAUUUUUUCCCGAAAAUCCCGAACCGUCCCGAUCCCGUCCCGAAAUUUGACUGAAAAAUUCCCGAACCGAAUUUUCCGAAACAUUCGGUACCCGAAACCGAACCCGUCCCGAAAGUUUUGGGUUGGGAUUUGGCCACAGCUUUGAAAGCUUUCGGUAAUCCCGAACCGAACCGAUUAUUAUAUAUAUUUAUUUUUAAUUUUUAAUUAGAAAUUACUUGAACCGUUGGAUUUGUUAAAAUCUAAUCCAACCGUCCAUUAGUUAGGUCAUUUUAUUAGGUUGUGAUCAGAUCUCUCGGACUCACUCACUCUCGGUCUCUCCGCUCCACUCUCGCUCACUCUCUGCGCUCCGCUGUCACUCACUCUCUCCGCUCUCUCUUGCUCACAGUCUCAGUCUCCCUCACACGCACUCUCACAAACAGUCUCGCCGCCCGUGCUCCCGCCGCUCUACUCCUCCGUCGAAUCCACGCUGCUCCUCAUCCUCCACAACUCACGCAAACACAGGAAGGAACCAAUUGAGUCCCAAAAUCCAGGAUAGGGUUUUUAAUUUUCACUGGGGUUUUGUCCUUUCUCUCUCUUUAACUCUUCAGACAGCAUUUCACAGAAACCCAAUUAAACAUAUGAAAAUAUACAAGCAACAACCUGUAAAAUUUAACAUAAAUAAACAAUGGUAAACUACAAUUAACAUAAAAAUUGCUCACAGAGAGAGAGAGAGAGAGUUCUUACAUGAGGUGCUGCAAUUGCUUGAGAGAGUUCUUACAUGUGGCUUUGUAGCUAGUGUGGAUUGUGACCUACUUAUUUGUGUGUUUAGAUACGCAAGCUAAGUAUAGCUGAUUGGUUUCGUAUCUGUUUGAGAUUUUUAUUUUAUUUUAUUUUGCUGUCAUAAUGUGCAGGACAAUCCCAAUUUCGAGGGUGAAACAUGUAGGAUCACUACUAGAAAUUUCCACUUUGCCGACAAAAAUAGUUUGUAGGCAAAAGUCAAAAUUCGUCGGCAAAGAGCCUUUCCCAACGAAAAAUUUUGUCGGCAAUUUUGUCGCUAAAAGCAUGUCGCGCAAGAUCUUUCUCGACAAAUCUUGAUAUUUCGUCGGCUCAUUUUUAAGGCGACAAAUCUCAGCCGUCAAACUGUGCCCAUCACCAAAACAACAUUGCGACAAAAUAUUUUGUCAGCAUAGGUUGUUUCUUCGCGAUGAAAUUAUUUGUCGGCUUAGUGAUCUUGUCGCGACAAAAUAUUUGUCGGCUGAGUAAUCUUGUUGCGACAAAACAUUUUGACGGCUAAGUAAUCUUGUCGUGACAAAAUGGUUUUUCGGCUAUGUAGUCCUAUGACAACAAAUUGGUUUGUCAGCUCAAAUGACUUGUGUAGACAAAAUAAUUAGUUGGUUGAAUCUUUUGUGAACAAAAACAUUUGUCGGCUAAUUAAUUUUGUGCCGACAAAACAUGUCAAGUCCAAUAUUUUCUAAUUUUUAAUAAUAUUUUUAACCAUCACAAACAAGCAAGCUUAAGAGAUCGAGAAGGGGCGUGAAUGAAGAAUUAAUGUAGGAACAACACAAAAUUCAUGUAAUAUAAACUAAUGUAAGGUUCACAAUUCGGUGUAGCUACAAAAUACAAAAAUAUCUAUGUUUUCAUUUCGAGAUUACUAUAAUAUAGAUAAAAUAUCCUUAAGUAUCACCAUUCUCACUAUAGUCCUCAUCAAGUUGAUAUGCAGCAUCAUGAAAUCGGGAAACGAUAAGGAUCAUCAUGAAACACUCCAGUAUCAAACAACUGUAGAAGAAAAACAAAUUAAAAAACUUGAUUAGCAAACGUUAAGGGUGCUAAAUAUCAUUGACAUUAAGGAACGCAAGGCCACACUAGUGGUAUUUCUAAACAAAUAACUUAUGAAACCAUAAAUGUGUAAACAACAAGAUAAAGAUAUCUACUAAUCAAGUUAACUUACCAACGCCAUGCAGCAUCACAACCUAGCAAAAUUACAUGUUUAAUAGAUACCAGGUAAUAACCAAGUUAACAUCAACUACUUAUAUGUCAUUCAUCAUUGUAAACAACAAGAUAAACAUUAUAAACAGCAAGGCAACAUGAUUAUCACUCUGUAAACAAGGCAGCAUGAUAAGUAGAUCAUAUAAAUCCUUGAAAGGUAUAUAAUUUAUAUAAACAUAACAAUACCAAUCACCUAUCUAAGUAGGUUAUAACUCUAGAACAUAAGCAUAUGCACCUGGAAACAUAAAUAAACUAUACUAAAGCAUCCUAAUUCAUCAUUGUUUAUAAUCUUUAUCAGUGUAAACAAGAAGAUAUAGACAUCUACUAAUCAAGUUAAUCCUCAAAUAUCAAAAUUACCUGGUGUGAAUGAUCCUCACAUUGGUCUCCAUGCCGUGCUGAUACCAGUUGUAAGCUAUCUAGCCCAGAAUUCCACUGAGCCAUAGACAACCUGCAAGUGUUAUAGAAAGGAAAAACAAAUAUGUCAAACCUAGACCACAAUAUCGAAAAAUUACAGUGGAAAUCUGGAAUUAAAGUCAAAGGACAUUGUUUUCACCAAUAUUAUACAAAUGGAUUGCCAAAUCAACCAAAAAUUGGAAACCUAGAUCAUAAAACUCGAACCCAAAUGAAAUAGUUCAAUUAAGAACAUGUUUUUCAUCCAUAUAUGCGAUUCAAUCAAAGCAAAUACAAUUAUUUCAUUUUCCAAUAAAAACAUGGAAAACGAAUACAAAAACAAACAAACAAGUUAGCAAAUUAAUGUGGUAAGGAAAAUGCAUAUACAAAAUCAUGAUAAAACCUGCAAUCAUGAUAAAAAAAUAUAAUAUUACAAAGAUAGAAAAAAAUUCCAGCCUUGAAUAUUUAUAACACAAAGAGAAUGAAAACUUCAUUUUAUAUCCAAUUCUACUCUCUCACUGACUGAUUAAUUAUGUGUGUUCCCCAUUUCCCAUAUACCAUUCCAUUCCAUUAGUUUUAAUAGGAAAGAUCAUCCAAAUCAUCUAAAACAAUGAAAACUUCAUUUUAUAUCCAUGAACAAAAGCUCCAAACUCUGAAAAACAAAACCAAUUUUAAUUCAUUCCAGAGCAACUGAAUAAAACAGAACUAAACACAACUGAGAAGAAAAACUGUUUAAGCCAAUCACACAGACUAUAUUAAAUCUUUACAAACCAACCGAAUGAUGCAGAAAUGCUUAAUAACAAAAUAGUUAAGCAACAAAUCAUGUAAAAUAAUCAUAAGUCAACUCAACAAAACCAAACAAAACACCGACACCACUGAAUAAACCCUGCCCAUUGGAAAAAAAUAAUACCUAACAAAGAACCCAACCACUGCAAGUGUAAAUUCAAAAGACAUAAGCGUUCAAACACUGCAAAAAUAAGUGGAAGAAAAACACAAAGUCACCAAAGACAAAAGCUUCCUAAAACGAAAAAUCAAACCAGAUGGAACAACCAUAGACAAAUGAUCACAAAAUAGAAGAAAACAUUUGAAAGAAAGAGCUAACAGACCUUUAUUCGAAAGGGCUUGCAACGCUGUUCACAAAACCCCCAAACUCUGGAGACCAAUAUUUUCUGCAACACAAAAGCCAAUCAGAUUAGGGAACCACACCGAAAUCACUAAAAAAAUAACCAAACAAUGAAUGAAAAACGCUAAAAGUUCAAUUUCACACCGAUCAAGCAAUAAUGUAUAGGAAAACCCUAAACCCGAAAGACCCAAAUUUCCCAAAACGAAAAAUCGAAUUAGAUCGAACAGCCACACCAAAAUAAGCAGAAAAAAAGAAGAAAACAUUCGAAACAAAAAACUUACAGACCUUAAUCACAUAUGCUCUGCAAGACUAUUCCCAAAAACCCUAAAAUUCACACACCAACUUUUGCUGAAACCAAAAACCCAAUCGGAUUAAACAAACACGCUAAAAACAAAGAAAAAAUUAGGAAACAACCAAUAUAACACAAACACUCUAAUUUUACAGGCAUCAAUCUGCAAAUUUUCUUCCCAAUCAAAGAAAACACACACACACACACACAAAAAAAAAAAAAAAAAAGAGAAACGACCUCAAACAGCGCAAUGAAUCAGAAAAAGAAACUCUUCAGACAACAGAGGAUCGAUGCAGAGAGAUAAGCAGAGACACGAAAGAUCAAGGCAGGCGGAAGAACACAUAAACAAAGAGGAAGAAAAAAGGGAAAGCUACGGAAGAAAAUAAGCGAUCCCUCGCUUCCGCACCAAAAACGACGGAGACCACGUGGUAGAUGCAGCAAUUGAAAUUAAACAGACCAAGCAGGGGCAAUUGCGUCACAACACUGUUACUUUCACUGUUCAUCAACAGUGUUCCACCCGUUUGGGUUUUAGUAUAUAUAGAAUUUAUACUUUCAUUAAGUAUAACAUAAGAAUCUGUGGUAUCCACAAGUGUAAAUAUUUUAAAUUGAAGAUCGAGCUCAUUCAUUGUAUUCAUAUAGGAUCAAGGAGUGUAGCUGUACAAAAUCAUCAAAAUCGAAGUUAAAAUAACCGUUAAAUCAUGAUUUUUCGUUUAUAACCGUCAGAACGUUUUGUCUCCUUACAUGAUCUCUGAAGGUUUUUUUUUUGCAAUUUUUGGCGUAUACGAUCUCGAAACAUAUAUAAACAAGUUUGACGGUUGGAUCGUUGAAACUAGUUUCGUAUAAUGCGUAUCCUAUGAAAAUGAUAGAUUCACUAACACUUAGAGUUUAUUUAUACUUUCAUUAAGUAUAACAUAAGAAUUUGUGGUAUCCACAAGUGUAAAUAUUUUAAAUUGAAGAUCGAGCUCAUUCAUUGUAUUGAUAUAGGAUCAAGGAGUGUAGCUGUAAAAAAUCAUCAAAAUUGGAGUUAAAAUAACCGUUAAAUCGUGAUUUUUCGUUUAUAGCCAUCAAAAAAUUUUGUCUCCUUACAUGAUCUCUGAAUGUUUGUUUUUUGCAAUUUUUGGCGUAUGCGAUCUCGAAACAUAUAUAAACAAGUUUGACGGUUGGAUCGUUGAAAUUAGUUUCGUAGAAUGUGUAUCCCAUGAAAAUGAUAGAUUCACUAACACUUAGAGUUUAUUUAUACUUUCAUUAAGUAUAACAUAAGAAUUUGUGGUAUCCACAAGUGUAAAUAUUUUAAAUUGAAGAUCGAGCUCAUUCAUUGUAUUCAUAUAGGAUCAAGGAGUGUAGUUGUAAAAAAUCAUCAAAAUUGGAGUUAAAAUAACCAUUAAAUCGUGAUUUUUCGUUUAUAGCCGUCAAAAAGUUUUGUCUCCUUACAUGAUCUCUGAAUGUUUGUUUUUUGCAAUUUUUGGCAUAUGCGAUCUCGAAACAUAUAUAAACAAGUUUGACGGUUAGAUCGUUGAAAUUAGUUUCGUAGAAUGUGUAUCCCAUGAAAAUGAUAGAUUCACUAACACUUAGAGUUUAUUUAUACUUUCAUUAAGUAUAACAUAAGAAUUUGUGGUAUCCACAAGUGUAAAUAUUUUAAAUUGAAGAUCGAGCUCAUUCAUUGUAUUCAUAUAGGAUCAAGGAGUGUAGCUGUAAAAAAUCAUCAAAAUUGGAGUUAAAAUAACCGUUAAAUCGUGAUUUUUCGUUUAUAGCCGUCAAAAGGUUUUGUCUCCUUACAUGAUCUCUGAAUAUUUGUUUUUUGUAAUUUUUGGUGUAUGCGAUCUCGAAACAUAUAUAAACAAGUUUGACGGUUGGAUUGUUGAAAUUAGUUUCGUAGAAUGUGUAUCCCAUGAAAAUGAUAAAUUCACUAACACUUAGUUUAUUUAUACUUUCAUUAAGUAUAACAUAAGAAUUUGUGGUAUCCACAAGUGUAAAUAUUUUAAAUUGAAGAUCGAGCUCAUUCAUUGUAAAUAUUUUAAACUGAAGCCCUUUUGUGACGCCAGCAUUAGUGUCGCUAUUCCAAUCCGACAUUACAUUGUUUUAUGUCAGAUUUUUUUCUAAAUUUCCGAUAGAAAUUGGGUUUCUUGUCGGUUUUUGCUUCGCCACUGAUAAGGUAUAUUGCAGUAGUGGGUGUUGGUACCAAGUAACAGAUUCAUGAUAAAUCGUUCAUUUAUUUGAUUCACAUACAUUAUCUCUGAGCGGGAAGAUCCCCGCCAAAAUAUUACAUGAUAUUUUAAAUGAUUUUUCGUUAGUUUUCAUUUUUUAUUAAAGUGUAACAAGGUAUGUUUAUAUCUUUCGCCAAAAAAGUAACCAAAAAUUGUUAGAGAAGGGAGACAGAUAAUAGGGGCGUGGAUGAUAAUCAGUUAAGAGUGCAAGAAUCGUAAACCUAGGGAUAGAAAUCGUCAAAAUUGUUUCUGAGCGGGAAAGACCCCGCCAAAUUGUUAGAAGAUAAAUAAGAAUUCUUAUCAAACUGAAAUCGGAUGGCGUGAGCGAAGAAUGUGGGAGGGAAGUCAUGAGCAAUUGGGAUUAGCAUGCAAUUGGGAGGGAGAUCAUGAGGCGACAAAAUAGGAAUAGCAUGCAAUGGGAGGGAGAUCAGGCAAUUGGGGGAUGUGAACCGACAAUUGAGGGAUGUGAACUGACAAUUGGAAUAAUAGAAAUAUUAUGGGAGGGAGAUCAUGAGGCGGCAAAAUAGGAUUAGACAAAAUAUGGGAGGGAGAUCAUGCAAUUGGCAGAUGUGAACCGACAAAUUAGGUUUGGAUUGCCACGGGAAAUUUAUAAGUUUGUUCUUAUAAUCAUAUGUUAUGUUUUUAGAAAACUUGGCAUGCUUGUCGAAUUAGAAUGGAUGAUUACAUACAACUGUAUUCAAAUUUACAAUUGUAAUUGCUAAUAAUUGAUCAUAGCCUAAACCAAGUUAUAUGUUGCUAGAAAGUAGUUUGGAGUUAGAAUUGAUAGGAAGAACUUUUUCAAACACUCACAUAUUAUGAAAUCAAAUUGUCAAUAUAGAUUAUUGAUGGCAUAAAACUACAAUCCAGAAAUAUGAAAUGCUAGAUAUCUCUUUAUCUAUGCUCCCGUUCAUAUAGAGAAACAAGAGAGAAUGACAGCAUAAAUAGUUGCCAAGAGCUUUGAUUGUGUUCCCCGGAAAAAAAUGGAUAGGUGCACUGGUGAAAACCUCUCACGUAGAGUUAUUAAUACCUUACCAAUGACAUACUUUAUUGCCUCUCUAAUCAAUUUGCCGAUGAAAUACUUUGUUGCCUCACAUCAUCGGCUAAUAUUUCAAUAUAGUGGGAAAAGUUCCCGCCAAAGUUUACCCGUCAAAACAAAAUUUGUCAGGGUAUCGAAUUUACGCCUACAAAAUGAUCGUCGGCUAACGUUUCAAUUUUCUCGGCUAAGAUUGGCAUUGUAAAUUGGUUCUAGUGUGAGUAUUCAGCCGACAAAUUAAAAAUUUCGUCGAGAAAGGACUCUUGUGCCGACAAAAUUUUGCUUUGUCGGUUUAAUUUGUCGGCAAAAUUAUAAUUUCUAGUAGUGGAUAUGCAUGAAUGCAAUAAUCGACAGGGGUGUUCUCGAUUGCUGCCAGCAUUGGUAUGUGCUUUAGUGUGGUUUUGUGUGUGUGAGAGAGAGAGAGAGAGAGAGGAAUUUUAUUUUAUGACAUGGGUUCAUCUUGGGGUUUUCAGGUUCUGUUUCUCAUGCAUUGACAAUUGGGCUACCAUUACAAACCUCUGCCCGCUUUGCCAGAAUGAAUUUCAAAUGAUCACAUGUGUUUCGGAGAGUGAUGCAAAUAAACAGUUAUCGCUUUAGUAUUAUUUCUGUUAUGAUUGCUAUGGAUUAUAGAAUGGUAUUAAUGUACAACCAGUUUAAAGCACAGUUGUUACUUUGAUUUCUUAACUAUCUGUUUUCAAUAGUUUUCUUUUUGUUGCAAACAGAAUUUUUAUUUUGAAGUUUUCUCAAAAUAACGAUUUGAUGCUGGUUUGAAGUGGCACUAAAUCAUAAGAGUUUGAUUUGUAUGUGAAGGUAUACGAUACUAUUGGGAGCAUCAAAGCGGACGAGGACUCAACUUAUAGGUACUUUCAUAAUUAUGGAUAAUGUGUUUAAGUCUAUUGGUGAGGGUUCUUUGUUCACAUUUAUGCGGCACAUGUUCCCAAUUUGGAAGCUUGGUUUGUAAAACUUAACUUAUUUCAUUUUGGUUGCAUGCACUUUUAAUUAAAUAGUUUGGUAGACAAAUACAAUUGUGAACUUAAGCUUAACUUGUUAGUUGCUUCCUUUGUAUGAAAAUUGAAACAUGUGGUAUUGUGAUAUUCAUAUUGUGGUGAAAUUGAAACAGGUGGGCUGGGCAGUGGCUGUGUAACCUUAAUUUUUUUUUUUUUUGGGGGCAGUGGCUGGCUGCAAUCUUAAAAGCCCAACAUUUUGGGCUUCAAGGCCCAAUCCCGAAGUAUCCCGAAAAUCCCGAAACACUUUCGGGAAUCCCGAAUUUCGGGAAAUGCACAUAUUCGGUUCGGUUUCGGGAUAUAAAAGCCCAUCCUGAAAUGUUUUGGUUUGGGAUUCGGGAAAGGAGUUUCGGUUCGGGAUCCCGACCCGAACCACCCCUAAUUACACCUACCAAACUUAAGAGCACGCGCAAACUUGAUGAGACAUAUAUCAACACGUGAGAACAAUGAUUGAUCAACAUUACCUCCAUAGUAUUAUUAGAGUGAAUGAUUGUAUGAUAUUAAUUUACUAGAGUGAAUGAUUGUAUGAUAUUAAUUAUGCGUUAAGAUCUUGGGAAUUUUAAUGAAAAAUUACUGGUAUUAUUCAUUUUAAUAAAAAAUUACAUUUUUACAUUAAAAAGUCAAUCUUAGUACUAUUCACUUUAUUCUUUAUUUUGUCCUUAUUGUUAAAACUCAAAGUUUUCAAGUCAUUUUCAUUAAUUUUCCUUAAGAUCUUUUGAUUUGGCAUGCGGAAGUGUGUGUGUUUGUAUAUUAUAUAGGGAUAAUACUAAGUUAGGUUCAUAUUAUCUUAACUAGUGAUAAAUUAAGGGUUCUUUCGAGUUAUUCGAAACAGUGGUUUAUAUUAUCUUGACUUACGUGCAACCUAAACACAAAAAAGAGAGGCUGUACUGGCUUCCAAAAUAAAACUAGAUGCAAACAAUAAUGUGGAGUUCCGGUUACUCUUUUGGAAUCAACCAAAGCUGAAUCAUUGAUGCCUAAUUUCAGAAAGUUUUCCUUUUCUGCAUGCAGAUCUUUUCAAUGGAUGUAGCUCAGUUUUGGGAGGUAACCACUUACUUCAUCGAGUUCAUUAAUUUUAAUCAAUCUAAAGUAAUUUAACUAAGUUUAUUAACCUUACAAUGUUGAGCGUUAAUACCCAAUUUUGGAGGAAUUGCAUCACGUUUAUGUAAAGGUAAUCGAAAUAAUAGAGCGGAAUUAAAUUCCAAUUACGGAAUACUCCAGUAUUUACCAAAUAUUGGAGAAUAAAAAAUUUGAUAGCACCCACUCAAUUUUUUAAUCCAAUACUAAUUCAUAUUCAAAUUUUGGAAUAAAAAAUCUAAUACUAAUUCGUACUCAUCAAAUGAAAGUAAAAUCUAAUUCUUCAUUUUUUAAGUAAUUAUUGUAAUGUGAGUAAACGCAUGAAAAUCAUGAUUUAGAAUAUUUUCUAAUGCAGACUCUAAGUCUGAAAUUGAAAUAUAAAGAUAGCCGUUGACGGGUCGAUUCUGGUUAAUCUAGGCAUGAGAAUACGAAAAAAAUACACACAAAGUUAUUAAGAUAGCUUUCCUUUUUUAUAUUUUAGCGAUAGUCUAGUCUAAUCCAACAUUAGACCACAUUCAGUGAUUCAAACUAAGAGAAGGGGGAUUCAAACUUGGCUACACUCGGAUUCUCAUAUGAGGAUUGAUUCUGAAGUAAAAGAAUAUAACCAAGUUGAUCAAGAAAUUUCAAAAUUUCUAAUGGAAACUUAUUAGAAAUUUUUUGUGAAGGUGUUGAAGUUGGGAUUUUUUUGUUUGUUUUCGUAUUGAAGUUGGGAUUGAAACAGAAGAUAAAGCAUAAUAUAAAGUUUCAUUACAAUUAACAACAUGUUCUAUUAAAUGAAAGUGACUAAAUAUUGAAAAACAUGCUACGCCGCGUUGAUCAACUCCGGCAACGAGCAUUGGCACUGCAUCCGUGGUUGUAGGGGUUGCUCUGAUUCUGAGCACCCGGCUUGCAGUUGUUGGAGGAAGCACCUCUCUGAGAGCAAGGAACAGUGUUUCUCUGCAGCGCUUCAUAGCUUAUGUUUCGUGAGGUGGCCAAGAUGCGUCUGCUAAUCUCCGAGUCCAUGCCAAACUCAUCAUCACGAUCAUCCAUGCACUCUGCUACAGAACCCUCGCAGCGAGGUCUCACUGGAACCCAGCUCACCCCAUGAUCGCCGCCUGCAUCAACGGAGAUGACCAGAGCGGCCACGAAAAUCAACGAAAAGAUAAUCGCAGAGGAAUUAGCCAUAGGUUUUGGUACGGUCUGUGUUUUUAGCUGCCAACUUGUAUUUUGUUGUACGCCUGUUAAUUACAGAGGGAGAGAGAGGGGGCGGCAAGAAAGAGAGAGAUAAUCGGUGAAAUUUUGAUGUGUAUAUUAUUUCACCCUAUUGUGCUAUUUAUAGUAGUAAAAAGGGAAAAUUUUUGUCUUUCAAGUAAUUCAUAGGAGUUAGGGAAAAUCCUUGUCUUUCAAGUAAUCCAUCUAAAAUAGGACACUACGUAAAAGAUAUUAUACAAUUCCAUAAGGAUUUACACAAUCACAUUCCUAAUUAAAUUAAGACUCUGACAUUUUUAAGUUUGGUUAAAUAAAAAUUGGAUGUUGAUUUCUUCAAGGAGAUAAUUACUUAAUUGACAUGCUUUAAUUCAACCUUAUUCCAAUUGCAACAAAGAAAGCUGAAAUUGGAAUAAUUCGUGAUUUAUUCAAAACCUACCAAGAAAACAAAAUCAACAACUACUACAAAAUAUGCUCGUAGAGAUUUCCGGGAUGUUUCUGCUCUUAAGUGUUUUUGCUAAAAGCUCUUUUAUCAGCACAAGGUUGAGACUUUAAUUAAAAAACUAAGUUUUUCUCGAAAAAAUAUAAGCAUGCCAAUAGAUUGAACUUGUUUACAACAUCAGCAUUAUAAUAAUAUUGUUGGAAAAUAUUAGGUUUACUUUAAUGUUUGGUUUUCUGGGCUUAGCCCGUUAGUAUUAGGGUUUCGUUUUCUUGCUUAUUAGGGUUAUGUUAGUUCUCUAUAUAUAUGGUGUUUUGUAGCUUGUAUGAUUAACAAGUUAGUCACAAUGUAGUCUCUAGGGUUUUUGUAGCCGUCUCGGCAUUCUAUGUUUGAUAUCAAUAAUAUUUCUAGUUUUGUAAUCCGUUUGUUUGUUCAUUGUGGUAUGUGCACUCUGAUAUUCAACUUGGUAUCAGAGCGGGUUUGAUUCCUCGGAAUUUAAUCUGUUUUGGAUGGAUAUCAAUUUGUUCAUCUGUUUGUCCACUGCGUAUCAGUUCGUCAUGGUAUGUUUUGUUGGUUUGUCUGUCUAGUAGUAGUUAGGGUUUUGUUAUAUGUUUAAAAAAAAAAAAAAAUUGAAUCAGUUUGCUGCGUCAUGUCAUCGUCCUCUGCUAAACUUGGAAUCGCCGCCACGAACCCCACAUCACCAGCGUGCUCCUACCAUCAGGACAUCACCGCGCCAACCCGCCAUGCCUGCACCCAGUGCCACCAUGUCCCGCCUACAACCCCGUUGUCUUACCACCACCUGCUGUAAACCCACAUCGCUCGCCUGCUUGCGCGCCGUGCAGACGGGAUUUGAUAAAGCCACACCAACUUGCUGCAAAUACAUGCAGUUGAUCCGUACCCAUGAGCCUGCUUGAAUCUCCGCACCCGACCCGCUUGUCGCCUGCACCCACUGCUUGCUUGCCGUUCCCAUUGUUCGUUGACCAGAACUCGCGCUUGGUUUACGCGUUCUGGAGAAAACCAUUGGAAAAAAGGAAGCAGAAUAAAAAGUAAGAAAAAGAAAAAAAAAGUGAUGUUUGAGGAAAAGGAAAAAAGAAAAAAAAGAAAAAGAAAUGCAAAAGUAUUAGAAGUUGGGCUUGCCGUUGGUCUUGUUGAUUGUUUUGGAGAAUGACUAUGGUCGUCUGCUAUUGUACCCACAACGAUUGUUCGAGUGCUUGGAUUGUUGAUUACUCGAGUGAUUAUUGUUGAGGUUUUCGUCUGCUUGUUUGUUGCCGUUGGGCUAUUGGAAUCUCGUCCGUUUAGUGACAAGGUCCAUGCUCAAACGAAAUAUGUCUGCCCUCUGCCAUGUGAAUCUAUAUCCACCUGCCUGUCUGUCUGUCCGCGUUGCGGAGCCUGCCUGCCUGUCUGUCUGUCCGCGUUGCGGAGCCUGCCUGUCUGUCCGCGUUGCGGAGCCUGUCUGCCUGUCUGCCUGUCUGUCUGUCCCCCUAACGGAGCCAGUCCACAUCUGCUUGUUUGCAAACCCAUGUCGUAUACCGCCAUGAGUUUGACUGGGGGUGUUGGAAAAUAUUAGGCACACUCAAUUCAUUCUUGCUCAUAGAAUUAAAGACAAACCAAAUCGGAAACCGAAAUAAGCAACAGUGCUAACUAGCUUGCUCAGCUCUCAGGCCUUUAUUCUUGAAGAUAGUUAUAUUACUCAAUGUUCCAUAUCGUAUGUAUGCAUAAAUCUUGUGCUUGGCGCUUAUUCCUUGAUAAGAUGUGCAUCAACAUCUUUAAUGACAUUGAAUAGAAAGCUGAGGUACUUCUGUGGAGGCGGAUCGUUCUCGUUGAGUUUUUUAUAUUCUAAAGUAAUUUUCACAGAACCUCCUUCACUAUUUGGAGUGACCUGGAAAAUGAUCUUGUAGCUUUUGUAAUUGUCCAGCACAUGUGAUCCUUCCAAACCUGUAAGACUCACCCGCUUGUUUGCUUCAUCUAUUUCCACCUUUUCCUUGUAA